rnacentral:lncRNA from 1 species
UCUUGCUUGUUCUUCGUUUGCUCGCAGGAAACAGACCCUCGUGGUCAGGUUGAUCGUGCUCCGGCGUGGUCAAUAACCUCUCGGAGUUGGUUUAGCGAUUGCUAAGGCGCGACGUCCUCGCACGUUCGUAGUCGGAUCGUCAAAGUCGACUUCCACCAAAGCGAAAUCCACCAUCUCAUCGAAAGACGGGACACCUUUGCCUCUAUCAUUGCUGCACCUCUCAAUGAGCUUACAAAGAAAGAUGUGCCUUUUCUUUGGGGUACCGCACAGGAAGAAGCCUUCACGGUAUUGAAAGAUAAGUUGACACAUGCUCCUUUACUCCAACUUCCUGAUUUUAAUAAGACUUUUGAGCUUGAAUGUGAUGCUAGUGGAAUUGGAUUAGGAGGUGUGUUAUUACAAGAUGGCAAACCUGUUGCAUACUUUUCUGAAAAAUUGAGUGGGCCUAGUCUGAAUUAUUCUACUUAUGAUAAAGAAUUAUAUGCUCUUGUUCGGACUUUAGAAACAUGGCAACAUUAUUUAUGGCCCAAAGAAUUUGUUAUACAUUCUGAUCAUGAAUCUUUGAAACAUAUUAAAAGUCAAGCUAAACUGAAUCGUAGACAUGCUAAAUGGGUUGAAUUCAUUGACACUUUCCCUUAUGUCAUUAAACACAAGAAGGGAAAAGAAAAUGUUAUUGCUGAUGCAUUGUCUCGUCGCUAUACUAUGCUUUCACAACUUGACUUCAAAAUAUUUGGUUUGGAGACCAUCAAAGAUCAAUAUGUGCAUGAUGCUGAUUUUAAAGAUGUAAUGCAGAAUUGUAAAGAAGGAAGAAUGUGGAACAAGUUUGUUGUUAACGAUGGAUUUGUGUUUCGUGCUAACAAGCUAUGCAUUCCAGCUAGCUCCGUUCGUCUUUUGUUGUUGCAGGAGGAGCAUGGAGGAGGAUUAAUGGGACACUUUGGCGUGAAGAAGACGGAGGACGUACUUGCUACACAUUUCUUUUGGCCAAAGAUGAGACGGGAUGUUGAGCGUUUUAUUGCUCGCUGCACUACAUGUCAAAAAGCUAAGUCACGACUCAAUCCUCAUGGUUUAUAUAUGCCUUUGCCUGUACCUAGUGUUCCUUGGGAGGAUAUAUCUAUGGACUUUGUUUUAGGUUUACCUCGAACAAAGAAGGGGAGGGAUAGCAUAUUUGUUGUCGUGGAUAGAUUCUCGAAAAUGGCACACUUUAUACCAUGUCAUAAAAGCGAUGAUGCUGUUAAUGUUGCUGAUUUGUUCUUUCGUGAAAUUAUUCGCUUGCAUGGUGUGCCAAAAACUAUUGUUUCAGAUCGUGAUACUAAAUUUCUUAGCCACUUUUGGAGAUGUUUAUGGGCUAAGUUGGGGACUAAACUGCUUUUUAGUACUACUUGUCACCCGCAAACUGAUGGACAAACUGAAGUAGUCAAUAGAACGUUGUCUACUAUGCUUAGGGCUGUUUUGAAGAAUAAUAAGAAAAUGUGGGAGGAAUGCUUGCGUCAUAUUGAAUUUGCUUAUAAUCGUUCAUUGCAUUCUACUACUAAGAUGUGCCCUUUUGAAGUUGUGUAUGGUUUCCUACCUCGUGCACCUAUUGAUUUGUUGCCUCUUCCAUCUUCGGAGAAGGUUAAUUUUGAUGCUAAACAACGUGCUGAAUUGAUUUUAAAAAUGCAUGAGUUAACUAAGGAAAACAUUGAGCGUAUGAAUGCUAAAUAUAAACUUGCUGGAGAUAAGGGUAGAAAACAUGUUGUGUUUGCACCUGGAGAUCUUGUUUGGUUACAUUUGCGUAAGGAUAGAUUUCCUGAUUUGCGCAAAUCAAAGCUAAUGCCACGUGCUGAUGGUCCCUUUAAGGUGUUAGAGAAAAUAAAUGAUAAUGCAUAUAAACUUGAGCUGCCUGCAGAUUUUGGGGUUAGUCCCACUUUUAACAUUGCAGAUUUGAAGCCUUAUUUGGGUUCGGAAGAUGAACUUCCGUCGAGGACGACUUCAUUUCAAGAAGGGGAGGAUGAUGAGGACAUCAAUACAAUUGUUACACCCACAGCCCCUGCUGCUAUACAUACUGGACCAAUUACUAGAGCUCGUGCACGCCAACUAAAUUACCAGGUACUUUCGUUUCUUGGUAAUGAUUCUAAUGUUCAUGAGAAUAUGAUGCUGCCUAAAUUGGAUACAUUUGUUUUGCUUACAAAUGAAGGGCCUAGCUUGGAGAAGGAUGAACAUUGGAGCAAGAACAAGCAUGGAGAUGAUGGCAUGCGCAAGGGGAACAAGAACGGAGUUACAAGUGAUGAUUUCAGGACUUUGAAGCCACCAUAAUGGGUGCAUGAAGCCUUGGACGAAAUAUACAAGAUGCCACUUCAUAAAUUUCGUCCCGAGGCUAUUUUAGGUGCUGCGUCACCUUAUUAUUGGGCCAGGUGAUAGAGGCAAAGGUGUCCCGUCUUUCGAUGAGAUGAUGGAUAUCGCUUUGGUGGAAGUCGACUUUGACGAUCCGACUACGAACGUGCGAGGACGUCGCGCCUUAGCAAUCGCUAAACCAACUCCGAGAGGUUAUUGACCACGCCAGAGCACGAUCAACCUGACCACGAGGGUCUGUUUCCUGCGAGCAAAUGAAGAACAAGCAAGAAACUAAGAUUGCAAUCUGGAUAUUGCGAAUAUAAGAUGAAAGCUUUAUUGAUCAAGGUGGGGUUCUGUGACGCCUUUGUCUGGUCGUUGAACACAAACGAAGUACGCGAAGUUGCAGCUAUGGCAAACUUUUAAUCUAAACAAAACCCAAAGUCUAAACGAUGCCCUAAGGGCUGUAUAUAUGGAGGAAGAGGGGGGAAUUUCGUGGCCCUUGGUGGAGGGGUCCGAAAUCAACCCUAUCUCUUGUUUCCCCACACAUACGGACUCUAAACAUAGCCUAUACUUAUGUAUUUCGAAAUUACAUGGGCCUGGCCCAAUAAUAAGGUGACGCAGCACCUAAAAUAGCCUCGGGACGAAAUUUAUGAAGUGGCAUCUUGUAUAUUUCGUCCAAGGCUUCAUGCACCCAUUAUGGUGGCUUCAAAGUCCUGAAAUCAUCACUUGUAACUCCGUUAUUGUUCCCCUUGCGCAUGCCAUCAUCUCCAUGCUUGUUCUUGCUCCAAUGUUCAUCCUUCUCCAAGCUAGGCCCUUCAUUUGUAAGCAAAACAAAUGUAUCCAAUUUAGGCAGCAUCAUAUUCUCAUGAACAUUAGAAUCAUUACCAAGAAACGAAAGUACCUGGUAAUUUAGUUGGCGUGCACGAGCUCUAGUAAUUGGUCCAGUAUGUAUAGCAGCAGGGGCUGUGGGUGUAACAAUUGUAUUGAUGUCCUCAUCAUUACAAGAUGGCAAACCUGUUGCAUACUUUUCUGAAAAAUUGAGUGGGCCUAGUCUGAAUUAUUCUACUUAUGAUAAAGAAUUAUAUGCUCUUGUUCGGACUUUAGAAACAUGGCAACAUUAUUUAUGGCCCAAAGAAUUUGUUAUACAUUCUGAUCAUGAAUCUUUGAAACAUAUUAAAAGUCAAGCUAAACUGAAUCGUAGACAUGCUAAAUGGGUUGAAUUCAUUGAGACUUUCCCUUAUGUCAUUAAACACAAGAAGGGAAAAGAAAAUGUUAUUGCUGAUGCAUUGUCUCGUCGCUAUACUAUGCUUUCACAACUUGACUUCAAAAUAUUUGGUUUGGAGACCAUCAAAGAUCAAUAUGUGCAUGAUGCUGAUUUUAAAGAUGUAAUGCAGAAUUGUAAAGAAGGAAGAAUGUGGAACAAGUUUGUUGUUAACGAUGGAUUUGUGUUUCGUGCUAACAAGCUAUGCAUUCCAGCUAGCUCCGUUCGUCUUUUGUUGUUGCAGGAGGCGCAUGGAGGAGGAUUAAUGGGACGCUUUGGCGUGAAGAAGACGGAGGACGUACUUGCUACACAUUUCUUUUGGCCAAAGAUGAGACGGGAUGUUGAGCGUUUUAUUGCUCGCUGCACUACAUGUCAAAAAGCUAAGUCACGACUCAAUCCUCAUGGUUUAUAUAUGCCUUUGCCUGUACCUAGUGUUCCUUGGGAGGAUAUAUCUAUGGACUUUGUUUUAGGUUUACCUCGAACAAAGAAGGGGAGGGAUAGCAUAUUUGUUGUCGUGGAUAGAUUCUCGAAAAUGGCACACUUUAUACCAUGUCAUAAAAGUGAUGAUGCUGUUAAUGUUGCUGAUUUGUUCUUUCGUGAAAUUAUUCGCUUGCAUGGUGUGCCAAAUACUAUUGUUUCAGAUCGUGAUACUAAAUUUCUUAGCCACUUUUGGAGAUGUUUAUGGGCUAAGUUGGGGACUAAACUGCUUUUUAGUACUACUUGUCACCCCCAAACUGAUGGACAAAUUGAAGUAGUCAAUAGAACGUUGUCUACUAUGCUUAGGGCUGUUUUGAAGAAUAAUAAGAAAAUGUGGGAGGAAUGCUUGCCUCAUAUUGAAUUUGCUUAUAAUCGUUCAUUGCAUUCUACUACUAAGAUGUGCCCUUUUGAAGUUGUGUAUGGUUUCCUACCUCGUGCACCUAUUGAUUUGUUGCCUCUUCCAUCUUCGGAGAAGGUUAAUUUUGAUGCUAAACAACGUGCUGAAUUGAUUUUAAAAAUGCAUGAGUUAACUAAGGAAAAUAUUGAGCGUAUGAAUGCUAAAUAUAAACUUGCUGGAGAUAAGGGUAGAAAACAUGUUGUGUUUGCACCUGGAGAUCUUGUUUGGUUACAUUUGCGUAAGGAUAGAUUUCCUGAUUUGCGCAAAUCAAAGCUAAUGCCACGUGCUGAUGGUCCCUUUAAGGUGUUAGAGAAAAUAAAUGAUAAUGCAUAUAAACUUGAGCUGCCUGCAGAUUUUGGGGUUAGUCCCACUUUUAACAUUGCAGAUUUGAAGCCUUAUUUGGGUGAGGAAGAUGAACUUCCGUCGAGGACGACUUCAUUUCAAGAAGGGGAGGAUGAUGAGGACAUCAAUACAAUUGUUACACCCACAGCCCCUACUGCUAUACAUACUAGACCAAUUACUAGAGCUCGUGCACGCCAACUAAAUUACCAGGUACUUUCGUUUCUUGGUAAUGAUUCUAAUGUUCAUGAGAAUAUGAUGCUGCCUAAAUUGGAUACAUUUGUUUUGCUUACAAAUGAAGGGCCUAGCUUGGAGAAGGAUGAACAUUGGAGCAAGAACAAGCAUGGAGAUGAUGGCAUGCGCAAGGGGAACAAGAACGGAGUUACAAGUGAUGAUUUCAGGACUUUGAAGCCACCAUAAUGGGUGCAUGAAGCCUUGGACGAAAUAUACAAGAUGUCACUUCAUAAAUUUCGUCCCGAGGCUAUUUUAGGUGCUGCGUCACCUUAUUAUUGGGCCAGGCCCAUGUAAUUUCGAAAUACAUAAGUAUAGGCUAUUUUUAGAGUCCGUAUGUGUGGGGAAACAAGAGAUAGGGUUUAUUUCGGACCCCUCCACCAAGGGCCACGAAAUUCCCCCCUCUUCCUCCAUAUAUACAGCCCUUAGGGCAUCGUUUAGACUUUGGGUUUUGUUUAGAUUAAAAGUUCGCCAUAGCUGCAACUUCGCGUACUUUGUUUGUGUUCAACGACCAGACAAAGGCGUCACAGAACCCCACCUUGAUCAAUAAAGCUUUCAUCUUAUAUUCGCAAUAUCCAGAUUGCAAUCUCAGUUUCUUGCUUGUUCUUCGUUUGCUCGCAGGAAACAGACCCUCGUGGUCAGGUUGAUCGUGCUCCGGCGUGGUCAAUAACCUCUCGGAGUUGGUUUAGCGAUUGCUAAGGCGCGACGUCCUCGCACGUUCGUAGUCGGAUCGUCAAAGUCGACUUCCACCAAAGCGAUAUCCAUCAUCUCAUCGAAAGACGGGACACCAUAGCCUCUAUCAUAAUGAAUAGAUUUUUUUGGUGGUUUGAACCAUGAUAUUCAGGCAAGAUUUCAGUAUAUUCCUCGUUGCAUUACUGGUAUGUAUGUCCGUGCUUGUACAUUUGAGAGACAAAUACAGGAGGAUGCAUUGGGUGACUACAACAACUACUAUUCCAGUUCAUGCUCACCACCGCCGGUUGGUUACUUCACUAUUGCACCUACUAGAGCAGCCCCACCUCGGAUUGUGAAUGCCAUAUCAUCUCAAGAGUAUGGUACGUUGUAAACGUCCGUACCUACAUCAGCUACAUCUCUGCGAGGUAACAGUAAAGGUCUUGAUGAUAUAACUUCACAUGAGAAUGAAGCAUGCCUAGUUAACUUGAAUGCAUCAUGUGUUGAGUUACCUGUUGAUUUGAGCACACCACCUAUUUUAGAGACUCUUGUUACUGUCAUGAAUGCGUCAUGUGAUCAAACAACUGAAAUAUCAACAAUUUUGAGUGCACCCAUUGAAUUAACUGUUGAUGCAAAAGAACCAAUGUUUAAUCAUUUUGAUAUGACCUCUAAUCUUGAUGAUGAUUCUGUGUCCAAUGACUUAUUGCAUGUUUGCUUAUUUAAGCAUGUUGUAGCAUGUAAAUUUGAUGCAAGUAAGGUUUAUUCAUCGAAGUUAGGAUGGUUCAAUGAUGAACAUUGCCAAUCUUUUGAAGUGAAUAAGAGCUUCACUUAUAUGUGCAAACUGAGUUGCAAUAUUUUCAUGCCUUCUACUUCUUGUGAUAAUAUUUUGGCUUUAGAUUUUAUGAACAAUGAAAGUUACUCAUGUAUACAUGUGACAUAUGUGCAAAAAUCAAGGGAAGUUAAAAUGGAUGACAUAUACAUAUACAACAUGUACACCUUGUCUCUUUUGUUAGCCACAUUUCAGAUUAAGCAAUGCCGAGGACGGCUUUGUUUUCAAAAAGGGGAGGAUGAUGAGGACAUGACUACCUUGGAUACGACCAAAAAUAUUGCAUACAUGCAUAUUUGUCAGGUGAUUUCUAAUGCAAACUAUUCAAUAGUCUAUUUAUGUUAUCCAGAACAAAAAUACUUCACACACUUUUGUGUUUUGUCUGAUUGCAGGUGUAUGGGACAUUUGUAUAAUCCACAUAUGAAGAUAAGGGAAAAGGAGAUGUUUAGGUUGUGUUCAAAAAGUCCUCUCACGUCACUUUUGGGCCAAGAGAAGAUAGAGUCCAAGUCUCUCACGUUCUGGAUUUAGAUUCGGACUGCACAGACAUAUCUGACUCAAAACGCCAACAACUUUUUCAUACGGACUCCGAAUUGGGUGAUUCUUUUUCUGUUGGAAACUAGAUUUCGUGCUCUUUCCAACCCAGUUGGAUCACCUUCAAAUUCGUCCGGAGCGUUGAGUUACGGACGAAACAAUCUGACGUUGCAGCAGAAUCCGAGUCAAACUACAAGCCCAAAGGUGUUGCAUCACCUCCACUUGGGCCCAUGAGCCUUGUACGACCUAGGGUUAGUUUUAGGAUGCCUUGGGACGUCCUCCCACCUCCUUGGCCGCCACCCCUUGCUCCUAUAUAAGUAGAUCCAUCUAGUAGCUUUUUCCUUGGGAUUUGUUUAGUUAAAAGUUAGCCAUUGCAACUUCGUGUACUUCAUUUGUGUCCAAAGACCAGACCAAGACCGCUUCUGGAUCCCCACCAUUAUCAAUACCUCAUAUAUAUUUGCAAUAUUCAGAUUGCUUUAUCAUAUUCUUGCUCGUUCUUCGAUUGCUUACAGGAAUAGACCUUCGUGGUCAGGCUGACCGUGCUUCCGGCAUCGUCAGUAACCUCAGGAGAUUGGUUUAGCGAUUGCUAAGGCGCAAAGUCGUGCACGUUUGUAGUUGGAUCGUCAAAGUCGUCUCCACCAAGUCGAUAGUUAUCAUCUCAUCGAAAGAUCGGGACACCCUCGCCUCUAUCAUGUGUUGAUUAUAGAGGCAUUAAUAAUAUUACUAUUCGUUAUCGUCAUCCUAUUCCUAGGCUAGAUGAUAUGCUUGAUGAAUUGAGUGGCUCUACAAUAUUCUCCAAAGUUGAUUUGCGUAGUGGAUACCAUCAAAUUCGUAUGUAAUUGGGGGAUGAAUGGAAAACAGCAUUCAAAACUAAGUUUGGAUUAUAUGAGUGGUUAGUCAUGCCUUUUGGGUUAACUAAUGCACCUAGUACUUUCAUGAGAUUAAUGAACGAAGUUUUACGUGCUUUCAUUGGACGAUUUGUGCUAGUUUACUUUGAUGGCAUAUUGAUUUAUAGCAGAUCUUUGGACGAACAUUUGGAACAUUUACGUGUUGUUUUUAUUGCUCUACGUGAUGCACGUUUGUUUGGUAACCUUGGGAAGUGCACCUUUUGCACCGACCGAGUAUCUUUUCUUGGCUAUGUUGUUACUCCACAGGGAAUUGAAGUUGAUAAAGCCAAGAUUGAAGCUAUUGAGAGUUGGCCGCAACCCAAAACGGUCACACAAGUGAGGAGUUUUCUUGGCCUCGCUGGAUUCUAUAGGCGUUUUGUGAGAGAUUUCAGCACCAUUGCUGCACCUCUCAAUGAGCUUACAAAGAAAGAUGUGCCUUUUCUUUGGGGUACCGCACAGGAAGAAGCCUUCUCGGUAUUGAAAGAUAAGUUGACACAUGCUCCUUUACUCCAACUUCCUGAUUUUAAUAAGACUUUUGAGCUUGAAUGUGAUGCUAGUGGAAUUGGAUUAGGCGGUGUGUUAUUACAAGAUGGCAAACCUGUUGCAUACUUUUCUGAAAAAUUGAGUGGGCCUAGUGUGAAUUAUUCUACUUAUGAUAAAGAAUUAUAUGCUCUUGUUCGGACUUUAGAAACAUGGCAACAUUAUUUAUGGCCCAAAGAAUUUGUUAUACAUUCUGAUCAUGAAUCUUUGAAACAUAUUAAAAGUCAAGCUAAACUGAAUCGUAGACAUGCUAAAUGGGUUGAAUUCAUUGAGACUUUUCCUUAUGUCAUUAAACACAAGAAGGGAAAAGAAAAUGUUAUUGCUAAUGCAUUGUCUCGCCGCUAUACUAUGCUUUCACAACUUGACUUCAAAAUAUUUGGUUUGGAGACCAUCAAAGAUCAAUAUGUGCAUGAUGCUGAUUUUAAAGAUGUAAUGCAGAAUUGUAAAGAAGGAAGAAUGUGGAACAAGUUCGUCGUUAACGAUGGAUUUGUGUUUCGUGCUAACAAGCUAUGCAUUCCAGCUAGCUCCGUUCGUCUUUUGUUGUUGCAGGAGGCGCAUGGAGGAGGAUUAAUGGGACACUUUGGCGUGAAGAAGACGAAGGACGUACUUGCUACACAUUUCUUUUGGCCAAAGAUGAGACGGGAUGUUGAGCGUUUUAUUGCUCGAUGCACUACAUGUCAAAAAGCUAAGUCACGACUCAAUCCUCAUGGUUUAUAUAUGCCUUUGCCUGUACCUAGUGUUCCUUGAGAGGAUAUAUCUAUGGACUUUGUUUUAGGUUUACCUCGAACAAAGAAGGGGAGGGAUAGCAUAUUUGUUGUCGUGGAUAGAUUCUCGAAAAUGGCACACUUUAUACCAUGUCAUAAAAGCGAUGAUGCUGUUAAUGUUGCUGAUUUGUUCUUUCGUGAAAUUAUUCGCUUGCAUGGUGUGCCAAAUACUAUUGUUUCAGAUCGUGAUACUAAAUUUCUUAGCCACUUUUGGAGAUGUUUAUGGGCUAAGUUGGGGACUAAACUGCUUUUUAGUACUACUUGUCACCCCCAAACUGAUGGACAAACUGAAGUAGUCAAUAGAACGUUGUCUACUAUGCUUAGGGCUGUUUUGAAGAAUAAUAAGAAAAUGUGGGAGGAAUGCUUGCCUCAUAUUGAAUUUGCUUAUAAUCGUUCAUUGCAUUCUACUUGAUAGAGGCAAAGGUGUCCCGUCUUUCGAUGAGAUGGUGGAUUUCGCUUUGGUGGAAGUCGACUUUGACGAUCCGACUACGAACGUGCGAGGACGUCGCGCCUUAGCAAUCGCUAAACCAACUCCGAGAGGUUAUUGACCACGCCGGAGCACGAUCAACCUGACCACGAGGGUCUGUUUCCUGCGAGCAAACGAAGAACAAGCAAGAAACUGAGAUUGCAAUCUGGAUAUUGCGAAUAUAAGAUGAAAGCUUUAUUGAUCAAGGUGGGGUUCUGUGACGCCUUUGUCUGGUCGUUGAACACAAACGAAGUACGCGAAGUUGCAGCUAUGGCAAACUUUUAAUCUAAACAAAACCCAAAGUCUAAACGAUGCCCUAAGGGCUGUAUAUAUGGAGGAAGAGGGGGGAAUUUCGUGGCCCUUGGUGGAGGGGUCCAAAAUCAACCCUAUCUCUUGUUUCCCCACACAUACGGACUCUAAAAAUAGCCUAUACUUAUGUAUUUCGAAAUUACAUGGGCCUGGCCCAAUAAUAAGGUGACGCAGCACCUAAAAUAGCCUCGGGACGAAAUUUAUGAAGUGGCAUCUUGUAUAUUUCGUCCAAGGCUUCAUGCACCCAUUAUGGUGGCUUCAAAGUCCUGAAAUCAUCACUUGUAACUCCGUUCUUAUUUCCCUUGCGCAUGCCAUCAUCUCCAUGCUUGUUCUUGCUCCAAUGUUCAUCCUUCUCCAAGCUAGGCCCUUCAUUUGUAAGCAAAACAAAUGUAUCCAAUUUAGGCAGCAUCAUAUUCUCAUGAACAUUAGAAUCAUUACCAAGAAACGAAAGUACCUGGUAAUUUAGUUGGCGUGCACGAGCUCUAGUAAUUGGUCCAGUAUGUAUAGCAGCAGGGGUUGUGGGUGUAACAAUUGUAUUGAUGUCCUCAUCAGGCGUGGUCAAUAACCUCUCGGAGUUGGUUUAGCGAUUGCUAAGGCGCGACGUCCUCGCACGUUCGUAGUCGGAUCGUCAAAGUCGACUUCCACCAAAGCGAAAUCCACCAUCUCAUCGAAAGACGGGACACCUUUGCCUCUAUCACUCUUUGCCUCCUGCUGUCACUAACAUUUUGCAGGAGUUCGCUGACGUUUUUCCACAAGACGUGCCACCGGGAUUACCGCCUAUUCGAGGGAUUGAGCAUCAGAUUGACUUAAUCCCGGUGCUUCACUGCCAAACCGUGCACCAUACCGUACCAAUCCAGAGGAGACGAAGGAGAUUAUGCGUCAAGUACAAGAGCUUCUCGACAAAGGUUAUAUACGCGAAUCCCUUAGUCCUUGUGCUGUUCCUAUUAUUCUAGUGCCGAAAAAGGAUGGUACAUCACGUAUGUGUGUUGAUUGUAGAGGCAUUAAUAAUAUUACUAUUCGUUAUCGUCAUCCUAUUCCUAGGCUAGAUGAUAUGCUUGAUGAAUUGAGUGGCUCUACAAUAUUCUCCAAAGUUGAUUUGCGUAGUGGAUACCAUCAAAUUCGUAUGAAAUUGGGAGAUGAAUGGAAAACAGCAUUCAAAACUAAGUUUGGAUUAUAUGAGUGGUUAGUCAUGCCUUUUGGGUUAACUAAUGCACCUAGUACUUUCAUGAGAUUAAUGAACGAAGUUUUACGUGCUUUCAUUGGACGAUUUGUGGUAGUUUACUUUGAUGACAUAUUGAUUUAUAGCAGAUCUUUGGAAGAACAUUUGGAGCAUUUACGUGCUGUUUUUAUUGCUCUACAUGAUGCACGUUUGUUUGGUAACCUUGGGAAGUGCACCUUUUGCACCGACCGAGUAUCUUUUCUUGGCUAUGUUGUUACUCCACAGGGAAUUGAAGUUGAUAAAGCCAAGAUUGAAGCUAUUGAGAGUUGGCCGCAACCCAAAACGGUCACACAAGUGAGGAGUUUUCUUGGCCUCGCUGGAUUCUAUAGGCGUUUUGUGAGAGAUUUCAGCACCAUUGCUGCACCUCUCAAUGAGCUUACAAAGAAAGAUGUGCCUUUUCUUUGGGGUACCGCACAGGAAGAAGCCUUCUCGGUAUUGAAAGAUAAGUUGACCCAUGCUCCUUUACUCCAACUUCCUGAUUUUAAUAAGACUUUUGAGCUUGAAUGUGAUGCUGGUGGAAUUGGAUUAGGCGGUGUGUUAUUACAAGAUGGCAAACCUGUUGCAUACUUUUCUGAAAAAUUGAGUGGGCCUAGUCUGAAUUAUUCUACUUAUGAUAAAGAAUUAUAUGCUCUUGUUCGGACUUUAGAAACAUGGCAACAUUAUUUAUGGCCCAAAGAAUUUGUUAUACAUUCUGAUCAUGAAUCUUUGAAACAUAUUAAAAGUCAAGCUAAACUGAAUCGUAGACAUGCUAAAUGGGUUGAAUUCAUUGAGACUUUUCCUUAUGUCAUUAAACACAAGAAGGGAAAAGAAAAUGUUAUUGCUGAUGCAUUGUCUCGUCGCUAUACUAUGCUUUCACAACUUGACUUCAAAAUAUUUGGUUUGGAGACCAUCAAAGAUCAAUAUGUGCAUGAUGCUGAUUUUAAAGAUGUAAUGCAGAAUUGUAAAGAAGGAAGAAUGUGGAACAAGUUUGUUGUAAACGAUGGAUUUGUGUUUCGUUCUAACAAGCUAUGCAUUCCAGCUAGCUCCGUUCGUCUUUUGUUGUUGCAGGAGGCACAUGGAGGAGGAUUAAUGGGACACUUUGGCGUGAAGAAGACGGAGGACGUACUUGCUACACAUUUCUUUUGGCCAAAGAUGAGACGGGAUGUUGAGCGUUUUAUUGCUCGCUGCACUACAUGUCAAAAAGCUAAGUCACGACUCAAUCCUCAUGGUUUAUAUAUGCCUUUGCCUGUACCUAGUGUUCCUUGGGAGGAUAUAUCUAUGGACUUUGUUUUAGGUUUACCUCGAACAAAGAAGGGGAGGGAUAGCAUAUUUGUUGUCGUGGAUAGAUUCUCGAAAAUGGCACACUUUAUACCAUGUCAUAAAAGCGAUGAUGCUGUUAAUGUUGCUGAUUUGUUCUUUCGUGAAAUUAUUCGCUUGCAUGGUGUGCCAAAUACUAUUGUUUCAGUUCGUGAUACUAAAUUUCUUAGCCACUUUUGGAGAUGUUUAUGGGCUAAGUUGGGGACUAAACUGCUUUUUAGUACUACUUGUCACCCCCAAACUGAUGGACAAACUGAAGUAGUCAAUAGAACGUUGUCUACUAUGCUUAGGGCUGUUUUGAAGAAUAAUAAGAAAAUGUGGGAGGAAUGCUUGCCUCAUAUUGAAUUUGCUUAUAAUCGUUCAUUGCAUUCUACUACUAAGAUGUGCCCUUUUGAAGUUGUGUAUGGUUUCCUACCUCGUGCACCUAUUGAUUUGUUGCCUCUUCCAUCUUCGGAGAAGGUUAAUUUUUAUGCUAAACAACGUGCUGAAUUGAUUUUAAAAAUGCAUGAGUUAACUAAGGAAAACAUUGAGCGUAUGAAUGCUAAAUAUAAACUUGCUGGAGAUAAGGGUAGAAAACAUGUUGUGUUUGCACCUGGAGAUCUUGUUUGGUUACAUUUGCGUAAGGAUAGAUUUCCUGAUUUGCGCAAAUCAAAGUUAAUGCCACGUGAUGAUGGUCCCUUUAAGGUGUUAGAGAAAAUAAAUGAUAAUGCAUAUAAACUUGAGCUGCCUGCAGAUUUUGGGGUUAGUCCCACUUUUAACAUUGCAGAUUUGAAGCCUUAUUUGUGUGAGGAAGAUGAACUUCCGUCGAGGACGACUUCAUUUCAAGAAGGGGAGGAUGAUGAGGACAUCAAUACAAUUGUUACACCCACAACCCCUGCUGCUAUACAUACUGGACCAAUUACUAGAGCUCGUGCACGCCAACUAAAUUACCAGGUACUUUCGUUUCUUGGUAAUGAUUCUAAUGUUCAUGAGAAUAUGAUGCUGCCUAAAUUGGAUACAUUUGUUUUGCUUACAAAUGAAGGGCCUAGCUUGGAGAAGGAUGAACAUUGGAGCAAGAACAAGAACGGAGUUACAAGUGAUGAUUUCAGGGCUUUGAAGCCACCAUAAUGGGUGCAUGAAGCCUUGGACGAAAUAUACAAGAUGCCACUUCAUAAAUUUCGUCCCGAGGCUAUUUUAGGUGCUGCGUCACCUUAUUAUUGGGCCAGGCCCAUGUAAUUUCGAAAUACAUAAGUAUAGGCUAUUUUUAGAGUCCGUAUGAGAAUGAUGAAUGCCUUGUCAAUUUGAAUGCACCAUCUGAUGAGCUACCCACUACUUUGAUCACACCACCUAUUUUAGAGGACUACGUUUAUAAUUUGACUUUGCCAUGUGAUCAAACAACUUAAAUACCAACAAUUUUGAGUGCACCCAUUGAAUUAACCAUCUGAUGAACCAAUGUUUAAUCAUUUCGAUAUGACCUCUAAUCUUGGUGAUGAUUCUGUGUUGAAUGACUUAUUGCAUGUUUGCUUAUUUAAGCAUGUUGUAGCAUGUAAAUUUGAUGCAAGUAAGGUUUAUUCACCAAUGUUGGGAUGGUUUAAUGAUGAACAUUGUCAAUCUUUUGAAAUGAAUAAGAGCUUCACUUAUAUGUGCAAACUGAGUUGCAAUAUUUUCAUGCCUUCUACUUCUUGUGCUAAUUUUUUGGCUUUAGAUUUUAUGAACUAUGCAAGUUACUCAUCUAUUCAUGUGUCAUAUAUGCAAAAAUCAAGGGAAGUAAAAAUGGAUGACAUAUACAUAUACAACAUGUACACCUUGUCUCUUUUGUUAGCCACAUUUCAGAUUAAGCAACGCCGAGGACGGCUUUAUUUUCAAGAAGGGGAGGAUGAUGAGGACAUGACUACCUUGGAUAUGACCAAAAAUAUUGCAUAUAUGCAUAUUUGUCAGGUGAUUUCUAGUGCAAACAAUUCAAUAAUCUAUUUAUGUUAUCCAGAACAAAAAUACUUCACACACUUUUGUGUUUUGUCUAAUUGCAGGUGUAUAGGACAUUUAUACAAUCCACAUAUGAAGAUAAGGAAGAAAGAGAUGUUUAUUUGCUGUCCAAAAAGUUCUCUCACGUCACUUUUGGCCCAAGAGAAGAUAGAGUCCAAGUCUCUCACGUUCUGGAUUCAGAUUCGGACUGUACAGACAUACCUGACUCAAAACGCACACAAGUUUUUCAUACGGACUCCGAAUUGGGUGAUUCUUUUUUUGUUGGAAACUAGAUUUCGUGCACUUUCCAACCCAAUUGGAAUCACCUUCAAAUUCGUCCGGAGCGUUGAGUUGUGGACGAAACAAUCUGAUGCUACAGCAGAAUCCGAGUCAAACUACAAGUCCAAAGGUGUUACAUCACCUCCAGUUGGGCCCAUUGGCCUUGUAUGACCUAGAUUUAGUUUUAGGCUGCCUUGGGACGUCCUCCCACCUCCUUGGCCGCCACCCCUUGCUCCUAUAUAAGUAGAUCCAUCUAGUAGCUUUUCCUGGGGAUUUAUUUAGUUAAAAGUUAGCCAUUGCAACUUCGUGUACUUCGUUUGUGUUCAACGACCAGACCAAGACCGCUUCCGGAUCCCCACCAUUAUCAAUACCUCAUAUAUAUUUGCAAUAUUCAGAUUGCUUUAUCAUAUUCUUGCUCGUUCUUCGAUUGCUUGCAGGAAUAGACCUUCGUGGUCAGGCUGACCGUGCUUCCGGCAUCGUCAGUAACCUCAGGAGAUUGGUUUAGCGAUUGCUAAGGCGCAACGUCGUGCACGUUUGUAGUCGGAUCGUCAAAGUCGUCUCCACCAAAUCGAUAGUUAUCAUCUCAUCGAAAGAUAGGGACACCCCCGCCUCUAUCAAUAUCCCCAAGUUUCACCUUACCAGACGUCCGGAGCCGCAGGAACUACCGGACGUUAGACCUUGCUGGACGACCGGAACCCCCUAACCCGAGCAGAAUCGGCGGAUUUCCGACCCGACCGGACGUCCGGCAACCGGACGACCGUUUUUUCCGGACGUCCGCUACCUGUAGAUAUCACCUUCGGCUGAAUUUUGUUUCGGCCAUAACUAAUUCAUCCGGAGUAUGAUUUUCGCGUUCUUUAGCUCGUUUUGAAGCCCUUGACAUCCCCCUUCCCAAAAAAAUACCACAAACACCUUUUGACUUCAUCAAAGUUUGUGAAUUUUGGCAUCUUUGCCUAGGGCUUCCACCACAUCAUCCGCUACACCACCACCGACUUCCGCAACCUAACCAAUUUUGUUCCCCAUCGCAUUAGUGGUUGCUUGAGGAGUGAUUUGAGUCUCCUAAGGUGUCUAGGCUACUUAGGGACGGUUGCUUCUUCAUCAACCACCACCACCACUUCCGCCACACCGACUUAACCCAAUUUUGUUUGUGUUGUGAAUUGUGUCUCCUAAGGUGUUUCGGCUACUUAGGGACCGUGCUUUCAACUCCGACACCGUGUAUAGUCCACCAACAUAACCUCCACUUCCGCAUUGCCUAGUGCAACACCACCACCGCAUCCUGCUACCACCAUUUUGACAUUUGAGAUUUUGAGUUCGCGGUUUUUCCGUUUCCUAAGGUGUUUCGGCUACUUAGGGACGAGUCUCCAUCAUCUUGGUAUCUACAUCAAGAACACUGCUACUCAUCAUCGCCAAGGACGGUAACCUCCAUAUCAUCUUGGUAUCCCUCCAUUGUACAUUCCCUUGCCAUUGCAUUAAUAACCCCUAGCCCAUUUUGCGUUACUUGCCUAUCGAGACUAGCCAUUUCAGUAUUGCUGGCAACGUUACUUGUGCACAUUAGUGAUCCACCGUUCCAUUGCAUACAUACCAUAUCAUAUUGGUAUCAUCAUAUCAUCCGUUGUGACUCAAGAUUGUUCCCGCAUAUACACAAUUACUAUCUUGGUUUGUGCAUUUCGCAAAGUAAUAUAUAUAUAUAUAUAUAUAUAUAUAUAUAUAUAUAUAUAUAUAUAUAUAUAGGGUCACGCUAUUCAUCACCCUGGGUGAGGAAUAGUUAUUCUUCACCCCUCUCUAUUUUGACAUCAAUGCACCGUAUUUUUACGUUUCGUAAAUUUUAUCUUAUUUCAUACAUAAAAAGAGAACGUAAGAAAACAUGUACUCACCGUAAAAAAUAUUUUAUGUUACAUAAAAUUAUGAAUGUAAAACCAUAGUGUAAAACAUAUAUAAAAUGUGAUUUUUCUGGUCUUAUAACCUAUAUUUUUUGUUUUUCUAUACCAAAUUUUACAUAUUGAAUCAAGAUACAUGUAACUAUUUAUAGUCUAAACGUAAUUUAUUUAGGAAGUGAUUGUAAAAUUACCUCGGGUGAAGAAUAACUUAUUCUACACUCUGGGUGAUGAAUAGUAACACUAUAUAUAUAUAAAAGAAUAAGCUUUUAAGAAAAAGAGAAAGAGCAAAGAAGCUUGUAAGCAAUAGCCAUAACAUCCACCACAUUGCAUAAGAUUGUCAUAUCCGAUCAUCUUGGAUUAAACACCGGGAACCAUACAUACACAAGUGUCGUAUCCGCCUAUAGAGCAAUCGUGCUAGCAUCUCUCUUGAGUUGUGCAACACGAGCAUUUUCCGUGGAUUCCACAUUUUGUGCUCAUCCUUGGUUGCACGACCCCAUUUAUCUAUCCGUGUGUGUGUUUCCGUGUGCCACAUAUUGCUAUUGGUCUACUUGUUACACUUGCGAAUUUGUGAAUCUCUUUCAACAUUAUUGACUCUUGCUAACAUUUUACAUCAAAUUUUUGUGCCACUAUCCUCACCGAGCUCCACCAUAAGCCUUACUUGUGUAGGUGUGAGAAACCGACAAGAAUUGGUACCAAUUGUGCUAUUUCCUUGUCCACAUUGGAGUGAUCAUUGAUCCACUUUCAACUUCGGUCAAGGUACAUUCGGUAUUCGUUCUUCUCUUUCUCCACUCAUAUUGGCUCGAAUCUUGUGAUGGAUAGGCAAGGCAUUUCAUCUCCGGUCUUCCACAACAACGACGACGUGUACAACUACAUCAACAACAAGCUUUCCGCACAAAAGGAGGAGCAAGAUGCAAGGAUGGAGGAGAUUCGGACCUUGUUGAUCAACCGUUCUUCCCCUUCAUCAUCCUCAAGGCGGCGACGUUCAAUCACAAGUCUUCGGAGCGCAAAAAUGAUGCAAGCACAAGUCGUCCUCGUCCACAUCUCCAUGGCGACCACCAUCACGUUUGUGAUCCACCUCGUCAUGAAGGGCAAGUCACCUCCAAGCAACAUGUGCACGACGACAAACGACAUCUACAUCGAGCUCAAGCACGACAACGACAACAUCAUCAUGAAGAUGCUCGAGAUGCGCCUACCUACAAGUCGCAACAAGCCCUACUUCAUGCCAAGUCCAAACUUCAUGACCACAAGAGAAGACCGCGAGACAAGCACCACCAAGACGGAGCUACGGCUACACCAACCACUUUGGCAUCUUCGCCAAGCGACUUCAAGGCAUCUUCGCCUUCGGAUAUAUGGCAUCUUCACCAACAAGCACCUCAAGACUACGCUCAAGAGAAGCUCCCCAAGCUCAAGUCCGUGACUUCCACGAGCUACUACGACCUCGACAUCGACCACACGAUUCCUUUCUAUGGGACUCAAGAACCCGAGGAGUAUCUCGAGUGGGAGCAUUUGAUGGACGACUACCUCAAGCUACAUCAAGUCCCUCCCGAAGAUCAAGUGAAGUGCGCCACAAGGAACUUCCACGACUAUGCGUCCACAUGGUGGCUUCACACACCUUCGGAGAGCUACGACAUGAGUUGGCCCAAGACGAAGAGAGCUUUGCGGCGAGAGUUUGUGCCUCCAACCUACACGGAACAACUUCAACGCUAAUUGGAGAACACCAUCCAAGGAUCCCAGUCCAUCGACGAGUACUUCAAGGAGAUGAAGAUUGCCUUGCGACGAGCCGGCGUGGACGACCCCAUUUCAAUGAAGUUCCAGUUCAUGAUGGGAUUGCACAACGACAUCUCCAAGACGAUCUUCCUCGAGAACUACAAGUCCCUCGACGACAACUACAUUGGUGCUCUCAAGGCGGAACAAGAACUCAUGAAGGCCAAACUUUCUCCACCCCAAGCUCACUUCGCGAUAACCAAGCUCCAUGAGAACGAGCAUGAGGCUAGUACCACCACGAUGUCCAAGCCUGACGAGCUCCAAGACGGUACUCCCAAGUUCAACGCCAUCCCUCUUUGUGGCAUUGACGAUGCCGAGUCCUCCAUGACUCUUUUUCAAGACGGUGCGGCGACGAGUACAACUACGGAGACCCUCAAGGACCAAGCUUUGGAGGCGAGCGACAAGGUGGCAAGCAAGGAUGAUGCUUCCAUCUUAGGAGGUGAGAGUGAUGAUGUGCCAUCGUCGGCCUUCAUCCAUGGCGACGAUGAUGAGAUGGUUGAGCAUGGGAUUUUCCCUUCGACCACGGCAACGUUUGAUGACUUGAGUGACUUUUGCCACCAUAUUGAGAGUGAGAGUGACUUCACCACUAGCCCCAUAUAUGAUGUGUUGCAUCAAUUCUCAUGUGAGGAGAGCCACAACCCCCACCACUUAAGUGAGAUGAGUGACUCCACCAUACGUGAGAUUGAGUGCACCUAUUUUGAGGGAGUGCGUGAACCACCACCUAGAGAGAGUGAGAUAGUUGAUAGGUCAUGUGAGGCCACUUUCAACACUAACGACUUGACCUCUACCUCUAUUGUGUCUUCUCAUUUGGUGCUAGGUCCCUUAUAUGAUGAUGCGCCGCUUCUCGACGACUUCAUCCUACCUUUGGACAAGACGAUGGCCAUGGUGGAAUAUGAUGCACCCCCCACAUGGUUCCAUCACAAUGAUGAUCUUGACCACCAUUUGGUCUUUCCCACCUCACCUACACCACUUGAGUGGAAUGGACAAGGUAACAUAGGUGAAGGUAAUGCUCUAGUCCCACCAGUGGACAUUCAUGACAUUGAUUGCUUGCAUGAUGUUGAUCCCCCUAUUGACAUGCUUCAUGCUAGUAUGAUUUCCCCAUACAAUGAUUUACCCAUUUAUGAUGAGUAUGAUGAUUGCCAUGUGGAGUCUCUUAGUUGUGAUGCCAUGUUACAUAGGAUUUCUUGUGACAAUUCUCUAGGUCACAUCAUGUUUGACAAUCCGCUUGACUUGUCAUAUGCUAUGCACGAGAUCAAUCAUAUGUCAUAUUUGCAAUCUCUUCAUAGUGACUAUGCAUAUUCCAUUAAAAUUAACCCAAUUUGCACUUAUGGCAUAGAUGACAAGCCUGUGGUUAUUGGCAUUUGUUUCUCUUGUGAUGAUAUUGACAUGCUACCUUUGCAUUAUUUAUCUCAUAUGCCAUGCCAUAACCACCUAGCUUCGGAUAUGCAUUGUUUUGGAUGUUGUCCAUUUUCUCCAUAUGAUGUUUCCAACAUUGCUCAUGAGGAGACCCCCAUAGUUUCCUCAAAAAAUUUAGGAGAUUUUGAUCACUCCCAUCCAUUGCAUGAUCCUCAUACUUAUGUGCACAAUGUGCUUCCCAUGAAUAAACAUGCUAUUGAUGUGCCAUAUACUUGUAUGCUCAAUUUGCAUCCCCAUCAUGUUAUACACAAUAACUAUUCUUUCAUGAUGGAUGACAUGUUCUUAUACCAUGCUUCAAAUUUCUUUGAGCGAUGCUUAUCUUUUGCUAACUCUCACGAGCACAUACACAUCAUGAUGGAUGAUGUGUACAUUUACCACACACACAAUUUCUUUCAUUUGUGUUUCUCUUGUGUAGGUACCCAUGAAUGCUUGUAAACCUGGCAACCCCAUGAGUUGACAAAACGAGCUCUAGAGAGCAAUGAUGACUUGGGAUCCCAUGGAUUGACUUUCCCACCGCUCUCUUCACGCGAAGUCUUCGCGCAUUUCUUCUACAUGACCCUCACUUGGCUAUGGGUUAUUGUGCAUUACAUAUUAUAUGCCCAUCUUGCCAUGUUCACUUUGCAUGAUAUGCUCAUUACUAUGCCUUUGCCAUGCAUUUGUGACCCACGCUUUGCAUUACACAUGAUGAUUGAUUCUCAUACUUGUAUGUGUAUUUGCAAGCUUGGUGGAGAUAUUUCUUGCUAUUGCUAUGCUUGCUUUGUACCCCAUGCCUAUGAUGAUACUUUCAUCUUGCUUUGUGUUCGUGCUUGUGAUAUGUCAUGUGCAUUGUCUAUGUUUAUUAUUUGCUCACAUGACAUGAUUGCCAUGAUUUCCUCUAGUAUGUUGCAUCUUCGCACUACUAGCUUGCACGACUUGAUUACUAUGCUUUCUUAUGUUGCAUCACCAAUGAUUCAUACUUGCUCAUUUCAUGCGGUUGAUGACAACCAUCUACAUGCUUUGCACAUGCUUGUUGUUGCUUCUUGUCAUAUAUCUCCAUAUGUUGCCUCUGUCAUGCUAGAUGAUUUUCCAUGUAUUGAAUGCACCAAUGAUUUUAGUCUUGUUAAUGAGAUUGCCCCCAUAGCAUUCUCGCAUAUGUUUGGAGAUUUUGACAUAUUCCUUGUGAAGCAUGCUUGUCUUGCCUCUUUGCACCAUAUACCUAGUGCCAUGAAUAUAGCCAUUGUUGCAUCAUAUUAUUCAUGCACUUGUACUUCUAAUGGUUAUGUGCAAAAGAAGAGAACCAUCACGAUGGAUGAUGUGUUUAUCUACCAUGCGCAUACAUUCUUUGCUUUCUUUUGUGCAUGUGUAGGAUACUUGGACCUUGUGUCGACUUCAGCUUCACAUGAGUUGACCAUUCGAGCUCUUGAGAGCGAGCCUCAUACAUUCUACCACGACUCGCUUCUCCAACACCUUUCCUACCACUUCGGCAUUGUGAAGAAUGCACAAGGACACGCCCUCAAGUGUUUGUUGUCUUUGCUCCUUUUGAAGGAAUCCCAAGAUGGUGCGACAUUGGAGAGUGCCCAUUUCGAGCUUCAAUAUGACGAGAACUGAUGAGGACAUGACUACCUUGGAUAUGACCAAAAAUAUUGCAUAUAUGCAUAUUUGUCAGGUGAUUUCUAGUGCAAACUAUUCAAUAAUCUAUUUAUCUUAUCCAGAACAAAAAUACUUCACACACUUUUGUGUUUUGUCUAAUUGCAGGUGUAUGGGACAUUUGUACAAUCCAUGAUGAGGACAUGACUACCUUGGAUAUGACCAAAAAUAUUGCAUAUAUGCAUAUUUGUCAGGUGAUUUCUAGUGCAAACUAUUCAAUAAUCUAUUUAUGUUAUCCAGAACAAAAAUACUUCACACACUUUUGUGUUUUGUCUAAUUGCAGGUGUAUGGGACAUUUGUACAAUCCACAUAUGAAGAUAAGGAAGAAAGAGAUGUUUAUUUGCUGUCCAAAAAGUUCUCUCACGUCACUUUUGGCCCAAGAGAAGAUAGAGUCCAAGUCUCUCACGUUCUGGAUUCAGAUUCGGACUGCACAGACAUACCUGACUCAAAACGCACACAAGUCUUUCAUACGGACUCCGAAUUGGGUGAUUCUUUUUUUGUUGGAAACUAGAUUUCGUGCACUUUCCAACCCAAUUGGAAUCACCUUCAAAUUCGUCCGGAGCGUUGAGUUGUGGACGAAACAAUCUGAUGCUGCAGCAGAAUCCGAGUCAAACUACAAGUCCAAAGGUGUUACAUCACCUCCACUUGGGCCCAUUGGCCUUGUACGACCUAGAUUUAGUUUUAGGCUGCCUUGGGACGUCCUCCCACCUCCUUGGCCGCCACCCCUUGCUCCUAUAUAAGUAGAUCCAUCUAGUAGCUUUUCCUGGGGAUUUGUUUAGUUAAAAGUUAGCCAUUGCAACUUCGUGUACUUCGUUUGUGUCCAACGACCAGACCAAGACCGCUUACGGAUCCCCACCAUUAUCAAUACCUCAUAUAUAUUUGCAAUAUUCAGAUUGCUUUAUCAUAUUCUUGCUCGUUCUUCAGUUGCUUGCAGGAAUAGACCUUCGUGGUCAGGCUGACCGUGCUUCCGGCAUCAUCAGUAACCUCAGGAGAUUGGUUUAGCGAUUGCUAAGGCGCAACGUCGUGCACGUUUGUAGUUGGAUCGUCAAAGUCGUCUCCACCAAAUCGAUAGUUAUCAUCUCAUCGAAAGAUCGGGACACCCUCGCCUCGAUGAUGAGGACAUGACUACCUUGGAUAUGACCAAAAAUAUUGCAUAUAUGCAUAUUUGUCAGGUGAUUUCUAGUGCAAACUAUUCAAUAAUCUAUUUGUGUUAUCCAGAACAAAAAUACUUCACACACUUUUGUGUUUUGUCUAAUUGCAGGUGUAUGGGACAUUUGUACAAUCCACAUAUGAAGAUAAGGAAGAAAGAGAUGUUUAUUUGCUGUCCAAAAAGUUCUCUCACGUCACUUUUGGCCCAAGAGAAGAUAGAGUCCAAGUCUCUCACGUUCUGGAUUCAGAUUCGGACUGCACAGACAUACCUGACUCAAAACGCACACAAGUUUUUCAUACGGACUCCGAAUUGGGUGAUUCUUUUUUUGUUGGAAACUAGAUUUCGUGCACUUUCCAACCCAAUUGGAAUCACCUUCAAAUUCGUCCAGAGCGUUGAGUUGUGGACGAAACAAUCUGAUGCUGCAGCAGAAUCCGAGUCAAACUACAAGUCCAAAGGUGUUACAUCACCUCCACUUGGGCCCAUGAGCCUUGUACGACCUAGGGUUAGUUUUAGGCUGCCUUGGGACGUCCUCCCACCUCCUUGGCCGCCACCCCUUGCUCCUAUAUAAGUAGAUCCAUCUAGUAGCUUUUUCCUUGGGUUUUGUUUAGAUUAAAAGUUCGCCAUAGCUGCAACUUUGCGUACUUCGUUUGUGUUCAACGACCAGACAAAGGCGUCACAGAACCCCACCUUGAUCAAUAAAGCUUUCAUCUUAUAUUCGCAAUAUCCAGAUUGCAAUCUCAGUUUCUUGCUUGUUCUUCGUUUGCUCGCAGGAAACAGACCCUCGUGGUCAGGUUGAUCGUGCUCCGGCGUGGUCAAUAACCUCUCGGAGUUGGUUUAGCGAUUGCUAAGGCGCGACGUCCUCGCACGUUCGUAGUCGGAUCGUCAAAGUCGACUUCCACCAAAGCGAAAUCCACCAUCUCAUCGAAAGACGGGACACCUUUGCCUCUAUCAAGUGGUAUCAGAUUUCCAGGUUGCUCGGUGAGAUUUUACAGUUUUUCGUAGUUUAGAUCGAGUCUGUUCUUCAUACCUAUAGUCCACGAAAAAGCCACACAAAAAAAAAUUUAGGGUUAGUUCAUCAUAUCCGAACCAAUCUGAGCCUUUGCAUAAUCUUUUUAGGGUUUUGAAGAUAAGGAAGAAAGAGAUGUUUAUUUGCUGUCCAAAAAGUUCUCUCACGUCACUUUUGGCCCAAGAGAAGAUAGAGUCCAAGUCUCUCACGUUCUGGAUUCAGAUUCGGACUGCAUAGACAUACCUGACUCAAAACGCACACAAGUUUUUCAUACGGACUCCGAAUUGGGUGAUUCUUUUUUUGUUGGAAACUAGAUUUCGUGCACUUUCCAACCCAGUUGGAAUCACCUUCAAAUUCGUCCGGAGCGUUGAGUUGUGGACGAAACAAUCUGAUGCUGCAACAGAAUCCAAGUCAAACUACAAGUCCAAAGGUGUUACAUCACCUCCACUUGGGCCCAUUGGCCUUGUACGACCUAGAUUUAGUUUUAGGCUGCCUUGGGACGUCCUUCCACCUCCUUGGCCGCCACGCCUUGCUUCUAUAUAAGUAGAUCCAUCUAGUAGCUUUUUCCUUGGGAUUUGUUUAGUUAAAAGUUAGCCAUUGCAACUUCGUGUACUUCGUUUGUGUCCAACGACCAGACCAAGACCGCUUACGGAUCCCCACCAUUAUCAAUACUUCAUAUAUAUUUGCAAUAUUCAGAUUGCUUUAUCAUAUUCUUGCUCGUUCUUCGAUUGCUUGCAGGAAUAGACCUUCGUGGUCAGGUUGAUCGUGCUCCAGCGUGGUCAAUAACCUCUCGGAGUUGGUUUAGCGAUUGCUAAGGCGCAACGUCGUGCACGUUUGUAGUCGGAUCGUUAAAGUCAUCUCCACCAAAUCGGUAGUUAUCAUCUCAUCGAAAGAUCGGGACACCCCGCCUCUAUCAAGUGGUAUCAGUUUUCAGGUUGCUCGGUGAGAAUUUCCAGUUUUCCUAGAUUAGAUUUAUUUACUUACCUAUUGUCCAAGAAAAAGCCACAAAAAAGAGUUAGAUCUAUUCAUCCUUGGUCCAAGCCAGUCUGAGCCUUUGCAAUUUUCUUUUCAUUGCUUGCAUAAUUGAAUUAUCGGUUGCAUCGUCGUGUCGAGUUGCUGGUCUUAGUGUCUAGUUCGUUUAGAGUUUCGAGUUCUGUUCACAUUAAUCACGCCACUGCUGCAUCAUUAUCUCUUCCGCUGUCCACCACCCAUCCAUCAAUUUCCACCACGUGCUACCCACCAUUCAUUGUCAUAAUAAUAGUUGAGAUCGUUCACAUCUUCACUUGAUCCAAUCUGCAUCUUAUCUAGUUUGUUUUGGAAAGAGGGAGAAAAAAAGAGAGAAAAAAAAACGAGAAAAAAAGGAGAAAAAAAAAGUCAUAGAAAAAAAAGGAGAGAAUGAAAAAAAAAGUGUGAGGAAAAAAAAGAGAGAAGAAAAAAAAACAAAAAAAUCGGCACAAACUUUUUCAGAGGAAAGUUGGAGACAAAGUUGUUGAUAUAUCCUGCUUGGCUGUUGUUUCACCUCAUUAUCUUUACUGCCGUUGUGAUCUUUACUUAUAUCUUGCUGUCCAGAGCUACUUAGUAUCCUUCAUUGAUGCUAGUUGUGCUACGACGUGACCUCAUUAGUGUUCUAGGCUCGCGUCUCUAGUCCGGUCUAGCCUAGGACCAGCACAGUAUCGUCGUUGAGCGUUUAUUCAACAUUGCAUCUUUGAAUUGAUUAUUGCUAAUCUUUUGCUACCAUAUAUAGCCAACCCAGCUCCACAUAUUUCUACACCGUGUAUACGUACGUUCCCUUGGCAAUCGUUUUACACAAUCUUCGGAGUUAUUUGACACCGCUGGUUGCCUGUCACCACCUGCCACAUGGUAAGAACUUGUAAGAUAUUGAUAUUUGCUUUACUGUGAGCACUUUACAACCACAUCCUAGUAGUUCAUAGGAACAUUAUUCUCGAAUUUUGGUUCUUGUUUCUACUAAUCAUGACAGGUUCCAGAGAUAAAAGUUCUUGGAUGACGGACACAUCUUCACCAUCACGAGAGUUGGGACAACACACACAAGCAUAUGGUCAGGUUAUCUCUUUUCCAUCAUUUGAGGGUAGAUUUAAUCCUGCUAUUUAUCUAGCUUGGGAGCUUGAAGUAGAACAAGUUUUUGGUCACCAUGAUUUUUCUGAACUUGAGAGAGUACGAGCUACCAUUAGAGCAUUUACUGGUUUUGCUUCUGUUUGGUGGAGUGUACAUUGUAAGAAAAACAUUGAUAACCAACCCACAACUUGGAAAGUUUUGAAAGCUGUAAUGAGACAACAAUUUUUUGUAAGACAUUGAUAUUUGCUUUACUGUGAGCGUUUUACCACCACAUCCUAGUAGUUAUAGGAACAUUAUUUUUGGGUUUUGUUUCUUGUUCUACUAAUCAUGACAGGAUCCAGAGUCAAUUCAUGGGCUUUGUCGAUCGCGGGAGACGUGCCACCACCUUUAUCAAUACCUCAUAUAUACUCGCAAUAUUCAGAUUGCUUUUAUCAUAUUCUUGCUUGUUCUUCGAUUGCUUGCAGGAAUAGACCUUCGUGGUCAGGUUGAUUGUGCUCCGGUGUGGUCAAUAACCUCUCAGAGUUGGUUUAGCGAUUGCUAAGGCGCAACGUCGUGCUCGUUUGUAGUCGGAUCAUCAAAGUCGUCUCCACCAAAUCGAUAGUUAUCAUCUCAUCGAAAGAUCGGGACACCCCCGCCUCUAUCAAGAACUUGGUGAUCGACCACUCCUACACGGUGACGCCAUCUCUUUCCCAUGGUGAUUUGGAUUUCGAUCCGAGGUCGGAUCUUCCCCAAGGGAGGGGAGAUGAUGCGGAGCAUCCUAUGGACAUCACCAUGUCAAGAGUCAGUUCGACGAGUGACACGUGCGACAUCUACUUCACAUAAACAAAGGUGAAUCAUCUCCUUUACAUGUGCUCACUUGACCCCUUCAAGGAUGGUAUACUACUUGAUACUUCUCCCGUGUGCAUGCAUAGGUAUUGUCGGAACGCUACGGACGACGUGGAGGAGUGCAAGCGCCAAGGAACACCUACACCAUCCGCGAGGGAAGCGUGGAAACAAAGACACAAGAAGAAGAGCUGUCGAAGAAGCUCCAGCCACCGGACGACCGGUCGGGUCCGGACGUCCGGCGCCUGAAGAUCCACCGGACGACCGGUCCAGACCGGACGACCAGUGUCCCUACACCCGAGCCAAAUGAGCGGACGUCCGACGCCACCGGACGACCGGCGGCCGGACGACCGGUCCAGACCAAAAAUCCGCUACACCAGCAUCCGAGCCAGAACGAGCGGACGAUUGGCCCCUUCCGAACGUCCGGCCGCCCACGAGCCACCGGACGACCGGUCCCCAGUGGACGUCCGGUAUCUGGCUGUGUCCAGUUGCGGGCUGAGGCCCAUGUACCCCUUCACUUCACCCCCAUUUGCACUAAGACUGUAAAUAGACCUCUCCCUCCUCCUUUCUAGGGUUAGCGUUGGUUUAGCUCAUUUGAGAGAUAGAGCUACGCUCAUCCAUAUCAGAUCUCCUCCGUGCGAGAGACUGCGGCCUCUUCGGAGAAGAUCCCUUUGGAUUCAAGCCCCCUUUCUAAGGGAAGAUCCCCCCGUGGAUUCAAGACCUCCUCGUGGAGAAGACCGGCUACCCUUGUAUCAUCCUUAGUUGUCCAUGGAUCGUGUAUCUUCUCUUAUGUAUUCGAGGAUCUAGCGCAUGUGUGAUCAUUCUUGUUGGUUUGAGUGUUCUCUCGUGAUUUUCCCCUCGUUUUCCUCCUCGUGUUCUUCGCAUUCUUCGCGGGAUCCGCUCCUUUCGUGAAAGAUUGGGCUAUAGGGUUCCUACCCUACAUCAUAUCUUCCCCUUUGUACUCGAGCAUCUAGCACAUGUGUAACUUGUUCUUGUUGGUUUAGUGUUUCUCUUGUGUUUCCCCCGUGAUUUCCCUCGUUUCCCUCCUCGUGUUCUUUGUGUUCAUCGCGGGAUCCGCUCCUAUCGUGAAAGAUCGGGCCACUAGGGUUCUACCCUACAUCAUCUUGGUAUCAAGAGCCACGUUGAUCACGAUUUCGGAGCCUUCCCUGUUGUGUUUUCUAGCCUAGUUUUGUUGAUUUCAUCCUAAAUUUUGAAAAUCCCCAUCAAAAAUAGCCCCCAAUUUUUUUUGUGAUUUGUUGGUUUGACGAAGUUUUGCUAGAUUUGAUCCAUGGAUUUUCUUGGUUUUGAGUGGAUCUAGCAUAUCCCCACUUUUCCCCACUUCCCAUCCACAAAAUCUCUCCAAUUUUGCCUUUGGAAUCAUCCAUUUCCGGCCCCAAUUCGAAAAUUUCCGCCCCAAACGAGAUCUGGAAUCGUCGGGCCGGACAUCCGGGCCUCAGGACGAACAUCCGGGCCAUCGGGCCGGACAUCCGGGUCUCAGGCCGGACAUCCGGGCCAUCGGGCCGGAGAUCCGGGCCCCAAGCCAGACAUCCGGCUCCUGGAGCACCAAAUCUGCACGGUUCUGGACAUCAGGUCCCGGAUUUCCGGCCCCGAGCCCAGAUGUCCGCCCCUGACAUCUCAGCCACCCCCGUUUCACUGUUUUGUCCAUAACUAAUUCAUUCGGAGUCCGUUUUUGAUGUUCUUUAGCUCGUUGAAAAGCUCUUGACAUCCCCUUCCAACAAAAAUACUACCGUAACCAUUUGACUCCAUCAAAUUUUUGGAACUUUGGCAUCUUUGCCUAGGGAUUCCACCACAACCUCCGCAUAACAACCACCGACUUCCCCAAGCUAACCCAUUUUGUCCCCCAUCGCAUUAGUGGUUGCUUGAGGAGUGAUUUGAGUCUCCUAAGGUGUCUAGGCUACUUAGGGACGGUUGCUUCUUCAUCAACCAUCACCACCACCAUAACUUUCGCAUAGGCUUGACCACCAUACACUUCGACCAUCCCAACUUAACCCAAUUUUAUUAGUGUUGUGAGUUGUGUCUCCUAAGGUGACGAGGACAUCAAUACCAUUGUUACAUCCACAGCCCCUACUGCUACAUAUACUGGACCAAUUACUAGAGCUCGCGCACGCCAAUUAAAUUAUCAGGUACUUUCGUUUCUUGGUAAUGAUUCUAAUGUUCAUGAGAAUAUGAUGCUGCCUAAAUUGGAUACAUUUGUUUUGCUUACAAAUGAAGGGCCUAGCUUGGAGAAGGAUGCACAUUGGAGCAAGAGCAAGCAUGGAGAUGAUGCCAUGCGCAAGGGGAACCAGAACGGAGUUAAAAGUGAUGAUUUCAGGACUUUGAAGCCACAAUAAGAGUGCAUGAAGCCUUGGACGAAAUAUACAAGAUGCCACUUCAUAAAUUUCGUCCCGAGGCUAUUAUAGGUGCUGCGUCACCUUUUUAUUGGGCCAGGCCCAUGUAAUUUCGAAAUACAUAAGUAUAGGCUAUUUUUAGAGUCCGUAUGUGUGGGGAAACAAGAGAUAGGGUUGAUUUCGGACCCCUCCACCAAGGGCCACGAAAUUCCCCCUCUCUUCCUCCAUAUAUACAGCCCUUAGGGCACAAUUUAGACUUUGGGUUUUGUUUAGAUUAAAGUUCGCCAUAGCUGCAACUUCGCGUACUUCGUUUGUGUUCAACGACCAGACAAAGGCGUCACAGAACCCCACCUUGAUCAAUAAAGCUUUCAUCUUAUAUUCGCAAUAUCCAGAUUGCAAUCUUAGUUUCUUGCUUGUUCUUCGUUUGCUCGCAGGAAACAGACCCUCGUGGUCAGGUUGAUCGUGCUCCGGCGUGGUCAAUAACCUCUCGGAGUUGGUUUAGCGAUUGCUAAGGCGCGACGUCCUCGCACGUUCGUAGUCGGAUCGUCAAAGUCGACUUCCACCAAAGCGAUAUCCAUCAUCUCAUCGAAAGACGGGACACCUUUGCCUCUAUCAAGUGGUAUCAGAUUUCCAGGUUGCUCGGUGAGAUUUUACAGUUUUUCGUAGUUUAGAUCGAGUCUGUUCUUCAUACCUAUAGUCCACGAAAAAGCCAAAAAAAAUUAGGGUUAGUUCAUCCCAUCCGAACCAAUCCGAGCCUUGCAUAAUCUUUUCUGUAUUUGCUUUGUUGAAUUUGUGGUUGCAUCAUCGUGUCCAGUUGCUGGUCUUAGCAUCUAGUCUUUUAGAGUUUCGAGUUCUGUUCACAGGUUGUCACGUCGCCGCUGGCAUAUAUAGCCACCACAUAUCCGCCGCCAUCACGCCAAUCCGAGUUCACCUACAACAUAUAUCCGCCACCUAUCCGUGUUCCACCAGAUUCAUCUCCGCCACCAGUCCGAGUUCCACCAGAUUCAUCUCCGCCACCAGUCCUAGUCCGAGUCUAGUAAUUGUUGCAUUGUUCUCGAUUUCCAGAUCACGCGAUACUCCGAGUCGUGACAGAGAAGGACUCCCCAACUUCCGAGCCAUCCGCAGAAGAAAAAUAGUUCCAAUUUCAAAAAAAAAAACUAAGUCUGGAAAAUUCUGGCUAGGCAGUUUUUAGACCAUUUGUAGACUUUUUCGAAAAAAAUUGUUGCGGAGCAAAAAAAAAGAGGAAAAAAAGUGCAAAAAAAAGAGAAUUUUUUUUUCAGAGUGUGCUCCUCCCUUGUUUACGUGCCGCGCCGUGAUUUUGUUGGUGUUCUAGGCUCGCGUCUCUAGCACAGUCUAGCCUAGGACCAGCACAGUACCGUCGUUCAACGUUUAUUCAACUUUGCAUCUCUCAAUUGAUUAUUGCUGACCCUUUUUGCUACCAUAUUAUAAGCCUUCCCAGCUCCACAUACAUCUACGUCGUGCGUUUGACUCUCCCUGGUUGAUGAGGACAUGACUACCUUGGAUAUGACCAAAAAUAUUGCAUAUAUGCAUAUUUGUCAGGUGAUUUCUAGUGCAAACUAUUCAAUAAUCUAUUUAUGUUAUCCAGAACAAAAAUACUUCACACACUUUUGUGUUUUGUCUAAUUGCAGGUGUAUGGACAUUUGUACAAUCCACAUAUGAAGAUAAGGAAGAAAGAGAUGUUUAUUUGCUGUCCAAAAAGUUCUCUCACGUCACUUUUGGCCCAAGAGAAGAUAGAGUCCAAGUCUCUCACGUUCUGGAUUCAGAUUCGGACUGCACAGACACACCUGACUCAAAACGCACACAAGUUUUUCAUACGGACUCCGAAUUGAGUGAUUCUUUUUUUGUUGGAAACUAGAUUUCGUGCACUUUCCAACCCAAUUGGAAUCACCUUCAAAUUCGUCCGGAGCGUUGAGUUGUGGACGAAACAAUCUGAUGCUGCAGCAGAAUCCGAGUCAAACUACAAGUCCAAAGGUGUUACAUCACCUCCACUUGGGCCCAUUGGCCUUGUACGACCUAGAUUUAGUUUUAGGAUGCCUUGGGACAUCCUCCCACCUCCUUGGCCGCCACCCCUUGCUCCUAUAUAAGUAGAUCCAUCUAGUAGCUUUUCCUUGGGAUUUGUUUAGUUAAAAGUUAGCCACUGCAACUUCGUGUACUUCGUUUGUGUCCAACGACCAGACCAAGACCGCUUACGGAUCCCCACCAUUAUCAAUACCUCAUAUAUAUUUGCAAUAUUCAGAUUGCUUGAUCAUAUUCUUGCUCGUUCUUCGAUUGCUUGCAGGAAUAGACCUUCGUGGUCAGGCUGACCGUGCUUCCGGCAUCGUCAGUAACCUCAGGAGAUUGGUUUAGCGAUUGCUAAGGCGCAACGUCGUGCACGUUUGUAGUCGGAUCGUCAAAGUCGUCUCCACCAAAUCGAUAGUUAUCAUCUCAUCGAAAGAUCGGGACACCCCCGCCUCUAUCAAGUCAUAGCACAACUAGCAUCAAUGAAGGAUACUAAGUAGCUCUGGACAGCAAGAUAUAAGUGAAGAUCACAACGGCAGUAAAGAUAAUGAGGUGAAACAACAGCCAAGCAGGAUAUAUCAACAACUUUGUCUCCAACUUUCCUCUGAAAAAGUUUGUGCCGAUUUUUUUGUUUUUUUUUCUUCUCUUUUUUUUUCCUCACACUUUUUUUUUCUUUCUCUCCUUUUUUUCUCUCUGACUUUUUUUUCUCCUUUUUUUCUCGUUUUUUUCUCUCUUUUUUUCUCCCUCUUUCCAAAACAAACUAGAUAAGAUGCAGAUUGGAUCAAGUGAAGAUGUGAACGAUCUCAACUAUUAUUAUGACAAUGAAUGGUGGGUAGCACGUGGUGGAAAUUGAUGGAUGGGUGGUGGACAGCGGAAGAGAUAAUGAUGCAGCGGUGGCGUGACUAAUGUGAACAGAACUCGAAACUCUAAACGAACUAGACACUAAGACCAGCAACUCGACACGACGAUGCAACCGAUAAUUCAACUAUGCAAGCAAUGAAAAGAAAAUUGCAAAGGCUUAGACUGGCUUGGACCAAGGAUGAAUAGAUCUAACUCUUUUUUGUGGCUUUUUCUUGGACAAUAGGUAAGAAAAUAAGUCUAAUCUAGGAAAACUGGAAAUUCUCACCGAGCAACCUGAAAACUGAUACCACUUGAUAGAGGCGGGGGUGUCCCGAUAUUUCGAUGAGAUGAUAACUAUCGAUUUGGUGGAGACGACUUUGACGAUCCGACUACAAACGUGCACGACGUUGCGCCUUAGCAAUCGCUAAACCAAUCUCCUGAGGUUACUGACGAUGCCGGAAGCACGGUCAGCCUGACCACGAAGGUCUAUUCCUGCAAGCAAUCGAAGAACGAGCAAGAAUAUGAUCAAGCAAUCUGAAUAUUGCAAAUAUAUAUGAGGUAUUGAUAAUGGUGGGGAUCCGUAAGCGGUCUUGGUCUGGUCGUUGGACACAAACGAAGUACACGAAGUUGCAAUGGCUAACUUUUAACUAAACAAAUCCCAAGGAAAAGCUACUAGAUGGAUCUACUUAUAUAGGAGCAAGGGCUGGCGGCCAAGGAGGUGGGAGGAUGUCCCAAGGCAUCCUAAAACUAAAUCUAGGUCGUACAAGGCCAAUGGGCCCAAGUGGAGGUGAUGUAACACCUUUGGACUUGUAGUUUGACUCGGAUUCUGCUGCAGCAUCAGAUUGUUUCGUCCACAACUCAACGCUCCGGCCGAAUUUGAAGGUGAUUCCAAUUGGGUUGGAAAGUGCACGAAAUCUAGUUUCCAACAAAAAAAGAAUCACUCAAUUCGGAGUCCGUAUGAAAAACUUGUGUGCGUUUUGACUCAGGUGUGUCUGUGCAGUCCGAAUCUGAAUCCAGAACGUGAGAGACUUGGACUCUAUCUUCUCUUGGGCCAAAAGUGACGUGAGAGAACUUUUUGGACAGCAAAUAAACAUCUCUUUCUUCCUUAUCUUCAUAUGUGGAUUGUACAAAUGUCCCAUACACCUGCAAUUAGACAAAACACAAAAGUGUGUGAAGUAUUUUUGUUCUGGAUAACAUAAAUAGAUUAUUGAAUAGUUUGCACUAGAAAUCACCGGACAAAUAUGCAUAUAUGCAAUAUUUUUGGUCAUAUCCAAGGUAGUCAUGUCCUCAUCACUGGUAAUCUCUCUAUCCAAGCUUUGAGAGUUUUGACUACAACGGUUGCCGAUCACCGCCUGUUGCUGGGUAAGAACUGGUAAGAAUUUGAGUUUCGCUUGACGGAUUUGUGACACCCACCACCACCACUUGUUAGUAGUCUGUAGGAUCAUAUUCUUGUGUGUUUCUAUUGCUGCUAACCAUGCCAGGAUCACAAGCCGACGAGAUUGACUGGGAGAAUUUAUCGAACAAGGAGCUUCAUGAUAAGUUUCAGCAAAUGAUGACUGAACAGGUGCAAGAUGUGCUGAACAAUUUUGAAGAGGCCAUGGAGAAGAUCACUGGCCUUGAGAAGACGUUCGAAACAAAGCUCGAUAACAAGUUUAAUGAAUUGCUCGCGCGUCUUCCACCACCACCACCCGCUGCACCUAACGCACCUCUACAACAACAACAACAACGACUACCUCCACAUCGCGAAACAGACCUUCGCCGAGCGAGUCGUGUUCCUCUUGCGUUUGGCCAAACUGUUGGUGCUGCUGUUGAUACUUCUGUGGCUCCUGCUGCUGAUGCGGAGGAGGAUGAUUAUGUGGGAGAUUAUGAGGAUGAGGUUGAUCAAAAUCAGCACUACGUGCAGCCACCUGCACCACCACCAGCAGGUCGACCUCAGGUAUAUAUUCGUAAUGGUAGGCCUGCACCACCACCUCAGGUACGAGAUGAUGUCCAUAUUCCUAAACUGAAAUUGAAUAUUCCACCAUUUGAGGGUAGAUAUGUUCCUGAUAUAUAUCUUACUUGGGAGUUAGAAACUGAACAACGAUUUACAUGUUUACAAUAUCCUGAGGAGAGACGAGUUGCUGCUGCUGUUUGUGCUUUCACUAGUUUUGCAUGUGUAUGGUGGUCUGAACAUUGUAGAUUAUAUCCUAUUCCAACUACUUGGGCUGCUUUGAAAACUGCUAUGCGUACUCGUUGGGUUCCACCAUAUUAUCAACGUGAAUUGCUUCAAAAAUUACAGUGUUUAAGACAAGGGAAAAAUUACGUAGAAGAAUAUUAUCAGGAAUUACAAACUGGCAUGAUUAGAUGUGGUAUUGUUGAGGAGAAUGAAGCUAUGCUUGCACGUUUUCUGGGUGGAUUAAAUAGAGAGAUUCAGACCAUUCUAGACUAUAAGGAGUAUACUAAUAUCACUCGUUUAUUCCAUCUUGCUUGUAAAGCUGAACGUGAAGUGCAGGAUCGACAAGCAUUGGGGCGAACUAACUUUUCUGCAGGCCGACCUUCAUCAUGGACACCACGUGCAUCUUCUACUUCAACUGCACCAGCACCUCCAUCCGGUGCCACCUCCAGCCGUGAUACAAGAAAACAGGCACAACCACCAUUAUCUGCCAAGAGCGCACCUGUGGGGCCUGCACAGCGUUCUUCUUCUUCCAUGGCAUCAACAGGGCACACAAGUGAUAUUAUUUGUCGUCGUUGUAAGGGAGGAGGUCAUUAUGCGAGAGAACGCAAAUCUCCGCGUGUGAUGAUUGCUACCGCGGAUGGUGGAUAUGAGUCCGCUAGUGACUAUGAUGAGGAGACUUUGGCUCUUAUUACACGUGAAGAACAUGGUGGAGAUGAUUCUGAUCAUGAGACGCAAUACAUGGCUCCUGAAGACGCUGACAGGUAUGAAUGUUUAGUUGCUCAACGUGUUUUGAGUGUGUAGAUCACACAAGCUGAGCAAAAUCAGAGGCACAAUUGUUCCAUACCAAGGGAGUUGUGAAGGAACGUUCUGUGCGCAUCAUCAUAGACGGAGGGAGUUGCAACAACUUGGCUAGCAUGGAGAUGGUGGAGAAGCUUUCUCUCACCACAAGACCACAUCCACAUCCUUACUACAUCCAAUGGUUCAACAACAGCGGCAAGGUUAAGGUAACACGUACUAUUCGUGUGCAUUUUAGUAUCUCUACAUAUGCUGAUUAUGUUGAUUGUGAUGUGGUACCUAUGCAAGCAUGUUCCUUAUUACUUGGUAGACCAUGGCAAUUUGAUAAAAAUUCUGUACACCAUGGUAGAAACAAUCACUAUACUCUUGUUCAUAAGGAUAAAAAUAUUACUUUGCUUCCUAUGACUCCUGAUUCCAUUUUGAAAGAUGAUAUUAAUAGAGCUAACAAAGCAAAACAGGAGACGAAUAAGAGUGAAAAUCAGAUUGUGGCAAAAGAAUUUGAGCAACAAAUGAAGCCUAAUAAUAAACCAUCUAGUGUUGCUUCUGAAAUUAAAUUGAAAAGUGCAUGUUUAUUUGCCACCAAAUCUGAUAUUGAUGAGCUAGAUUUCAGCAAAUCUGUUUGCUAUGCUUUUGUGUGCAAAGAGGCAUUAUUUUCAUUCGAGGACGUACCUUCCUCUUUGCCUCCUGCUGUCACUAACAUUUUGCAGGAGUUCGCAGACGUCUUUCCACAAGACGUGCCACCAGGAUUACCGCCUAUUCGAGGGAUUGAGCAUCAGAUUGACUUAAUUCCCGGUGCUUCACUGCCAAACCGUGCACCAUACAGUACCAAUCCAGAGGAGACGAAGGAGAUUAUGCGUCAAGUACAAGAGCUUCUCGACAAAGGUUAUAUACGUGAAUCCCUUAGUCCUUGUGUUGUUCCUAUUAUUCUAGUGCCGAAAAAGGAUGGUACAUCACGUAUGUGUGUUGAUUGUAGAGGCAUUAAUAAUAUUACUAUUCGUUAUCGUCAUCCUAUUCCUAGGCUAGAUGAUAUGCUUGAUGAAUUGAGUGGCUCUACAAUAUUCUCCAAAGUUGAUUUGCGUAGUGGAUACCAUCAAAUUCGUAUGAAAUUGGGAGAUGAAUGGAAAACAGCAUUCAAAACUAAGUUUGGAUUAUAUGAGUGGUUAGUCAUGCCUUUUGGGUUAACUAAUGCACCUAGUACUUUCAUGAGAUUAAUGAACGAAGUUUUACGUGCUUUCAUUGGACGAUUUGUGGUAGUUUACUUUGAUGACAUAUUGAUUUAUAGCAGAUCUUUGGAGGAACAUUUGGAACAUUUACGUGCUGUUUUUAUUGCUCUACGUGAUGCACGUUUGUUUGGUAACCUUGGGAAGUGCACCUUUUGCACCGACCGAGUAUCUUUUCUUGGCUAUGUUGUUACUCCACAGGGAAUUGAAGUUGAUAAAGCCAAGAUUGAAGCUAUUGAGAGUUGGCUGCAGCCCAAAACGGUCACACAAGUGAUAGAGGCGGAGGUGUCCCGUCUUUCGAUGAGAUGGUGGAUUUCGCUUUGGUGGAAGUCGACUUUGACGAUCCGACUACGAACGUGCGAGGACGUCGCGCCUUAGCAAUCGCUAAACCAACUCCGAGAGGUUAUUGACCACGCCGGAGCACGAUCAACCUGACCACGAGGGUCUGUUUCCUGCGAGCAAACGAAGAACAAGCAAGAAACUAAGAUUGCAAUCUGGAUAUUGCGAAUAUAAGAUGAAAGCUUUAUUGAUCAAGGUGGGGUUCUGUGACGCCUUUGUCUGGUCGUUGAACACAAACGAAGUACGCGAAGUUGCAGCUAUGGCGAACUUUUAAUCUAAACAAAACCCAAAGUCUAAACGAUGCCCUAAGGGCUGUAUAUAUGGAGGAAGAGGGGGGAAUUUCGUGGCCCUUGGUGGAGGGGUCCGAAAUCAACCCUAUCCCUUGUUUCCCCACACAUACGGACUCUAAAAAUAGCCUAUACUUAUGUAUUUCGAAAUUACAUGGGCCUGGCCCAAUAAUAAGGUGACGCAGCACCUAAAAUAGCCUCGGGACGAAAUUUAUGAAGUGGCAUCUUGUAUAUUUCGUCCAAGGCUUCAUGCACCCAUUAUGGUGGCUUCAAAGUCCUGAAAUCAUCACUUGUAACUCCGUUCUUGUUCCCCUUGCGCAUGCCAUCAUCUCCAUGCUUGUUCUUGCUCCAAUGUUCAUCCUUCUCCAAGCUAGGCCCUUCAUUUGUAAGCAAAACAAAUGUAUCCAAUUUAGGCAGCAUCAUAUUCUCAUGAACAUUAGAAUCAUUACCAAGAAACGAAAGUACCUGGUAAUUUAGUUGGCGUGCACGAGCUCUAGUAAUUGGUCCAGUAUGUAUAGCAGCAGGGGCUGUGGGUGUAACAAUUGUAUUGAUGUGAUACACCACCACCAUUUUCUGGGUGGAUUAAAUAGAGAGAUUCAGACCAUUCUAGACUAUAAGGAGUAUACUAAUAUCACUCGUUUAUUCCAUCUUGCUUGUAAAGCUGAACGUGAAGUGCAGGAUCGACAAGCAUUGGCGCGAACUAACUUUUCUGCAGGCCGACCUUCAUCAUGGACACCACGUGCAUCUUCUACUUCAACUGCGCCAGCACCUCCAUCCGGUGCCACCUCCAGCCGUGAUACAAGAAAACAGGCACAACCACCAUUAUCUGCCAAGAGCGCACCUGCGGGGCCUGCACAGCGUUCUUCUUCUUCCAUGGCAUCAACAGGGCACACAAGUGAUAUUAUUUGUCGUCGUUGUAAGGGAGGAGGUCAUUAUGCGAGGGAAUGCAAAUCUCCGCGUGUGAUGAUUGCUACCGCGGAUGGUGGAUAUGAGUCCGCUAGUGACUAUGAUGAGGAGACAUUGGCUCUUAUUACACGUGAAGAACAUGGUGGAGAUGAUUCUGAUCAUGAGACGCAAUACAUGGCUCCUGAAGACGCUGACAGGUAUGAAUGUUUAGUUGCUCAACGUGUUUUGAGUGUGCAGGUCACACAAGCUGAGCAAUAUCAGAGGCACAAUUUGUUCCAUACCAAGGGAGUUGUGAAGGAACGUUCUGUGCGCGUCAUAAUAGACGGAGGGAGCUGCAACAACUUGGCUAGCAUGGAGAUGGUGGAGAAGCUUUCUCUCACCACAAGACCACAUCCACAUCCUUACUACAUCCAAUGGUUCAACAACAGCGGCAAGGUUAAGGUAACACGUACUGUUCGUGUGCAUUUUAGUAUCUCUACAUAUGCUGAUUAUGUUGAUUGUGAUGUGGUACCUAUGCAAGCAUGUUCCUUAUUACUUGGUAGACCAUGGCAAUUUGAUAAAAAUUCUGUACACCAUGGUAGAAACAAUCACUAUACUCUUGUUCAUAAGGAUAAAAAUAUUACUUUGCUUCCUAUGACUCCUGAUUCCAUUUUGAAAGAUGAUAUUAAUAGAGCUAACAAAGCAAAACAGGAGACGAAUAAGAGUGAAAAUCAGAUUGUGGCAAAAGAAUUUGAGCAACAAAUGAAGCCUAAUAAUAAACCAUCUAGUGUUGCUUCUGAAAUUAAAUUGAAAAGUGCAUGUUUAUUUGCCACCAAAUCUGAUAUUGAUGAGCUAGAUUUCAGCAAAUCUGUUUGCUAUGCUUUUGUGUGCAAAGAGGCAUUAUUUUCAUUCGAGGACGUGCCUUCCUCUUUGCCUCCUGCUGUCACUAACAUUUUGCAGGAGUUCGCUAACGUCUUUCCACAAGACGUGCCACCGGGAUUACCGCCUAUUCGAGGGAUUGAGCAUCAGAUUGACUUAAUUCCCGGUGCUUCACUGCCAAACCGUGCACCAUACCGUACCAAUCCAGAGGAGACGAAGGAGAUUAUGCGUCAAGUACAAGAGCUUCUCGACAAAGGUUAUAUACGUGAAUCCCUUAGUCCUUGUGCUGUUCCUAUUAUUCUAGUGCCGAAAAAGGAUGGUACAUCACGUAUGUGUGUCGAUUGUAGAGGCAUUAAUAAUAUUACUAUUCGUUAUUGUCAUCCUAUUCCUAGGCUAGAUGAUAUGCUUGAUGAAUUGAGUGGCUCUACAAUAUUCUCCAAAGUUGAUUUACGUAGUGGAUACCAUCAAAUUCGUAUGAAAUUGGGAGAUGAAUGGAAAACAGCAUUCAAAACUAAGUUUGGAUUAUAUGAGUGGUUAGUCAUGCCUUUUGGGUUAACUAAUGCACCUAGUACUUUCAUGAGAUUAAUGAACGAAGUUUUACGUGCUUUCAUUGGACGAUUUGUGGUAGUUUACUUUGAUGACAUAUUGAUUUAUAGCAGAUCUUUGGAAGAACAUUUGGAACAUUUACGUGCUGUUUUUAUUGCUCUACGUGAUGCACGUUUGUUUGGUAACCUUGGGAAGUGCACCUUUUGCACCGGCCGAGUAUCUUUUCUUGGCUAUGUUGUUACUCCACAGGGAAUUGAAGUUGAUAAAGCCAAGAUUGAAGCUAUUGAGAGUUGGCCGCAACCCAAAACGGUCACACAAGUGAGGAGUUUUCUUGGCCUCGCUGGAUUCUAUAGGCGUUUUGUGAGAGAUUUCAGCACCAUUGCUGCACUCUCAAUGAGCUUACAAAGAAAGAUGUGCCUUUUCUUUGGGGUACCGCACAGGAAGAAGCCUUCACGGUAUUGAAAGAUAAGUUGACACAUGCUCCUUUACUCCAACUUCCUGAUUUUAAUAAGACUUUUGAGCUUGAAUGUGAUGCUAGUGGAAUUGGAUUAGGCAGUGUGUUAUUACAAGAUGGCAAACCUGUUGCAUACUUUUCUGAAAAAUUGAGUGGGCCUAGUGUGAAUUAUUCUACUUAUGAUAAAGAAUUAUAUGCUAUUGUUCGGACUUUAGAAACAUGGCAACAUUAUUUAUGGCCCAAAGAAUUUGUUAUACAUUCUGAUCAUGAAUCUUUGAAACAUAUUAAAAGUCAAGCUAAACUGAAUCGUAGACAUGCUAAAUGGGUCGAAUUCAUUGAGACUUUUCCUUAUGUCAUUAAACACAAGAAGGGAAAAGAAAAUGUUAUUGCUGAUGCAUUGUCUCGCCGCUAUACUAUGCUUUCACAACUUGACUUCAAAAUAUUUGGUUUGAGACCAUCAAAGAUCAAUAUGUGCAUGAUGCUAAUUUUAAAGAUGUAAUGCAGAAUUGUAAAGAAGGAAGAAUGUGGAACAAGUUCGUCGUUAACUAUGGAUUUGUGUUUCGUGCUAACAAGCUAUGCAUUCCAGCUAGCUCCGUUCGUCUUUUGUUGUUGCAGGAGGCGCAUGGAGGAGGAUUAAUGGGACACUUUGGCGUGAAGAAGACGGAGGACGUACUUGCUACACAUUUCUUUUGGCCAAAGAUGAGACGGGAUGUUGAGCGUUUUAUUGCUCGAUGCACUACAUGUCAAAGAGCUAAGUCACGACUCAAUCCUCAUGGUUUAUAUAUGCCUUUGCCUGUACCUAGUGUUCCUUGGGAGGAUAUAUCUAUGGACUUUGUUUUAGGUUUACCUCGAACAAAGAGGGGGAGGGAUAGCAUAUUUGUUGUCGUGGAUAGAUUCUCGAAAAUGGCACACUUUAUACCAUGUCAUAAAAGCGAUGAUGCUGUUAAUGUUGCUGAUUUGUUCUUUCGUGAAAUUAUUCGCUUGCAUGGUGUGCCAAAUACUAUUGUUUUAGAUCGUGAUACUAAAUUUCUUAGCCACUUUUGGAGAUGUUUAUGGGCUAAGUUGGGGACUAAACUUCUUUUUAGUACUACUUGUCACCCCCAAACUGAUGGACAAACUGAAGUAGUCAAUAGAACGUUGUCUACUAUGCUUAGGGCUGUUUUGAAGAAUAAUAAGAAAAUGUGGGAGGAAUGCUUGCCUCAUAUUGAAUUUGCUUAUAAUCGUUCAUUGCAUUCUACUACUAAGAUGUGCCCUUUUGAAGUUGUGUAUGGUUUCCUACCUCGUGCACCUUUUGAUUUGUUGCCUCUUCCAUCUUCGGAGAAGGUUAAUUUUGAUGCUAAACAACGUGCUGAAUUGAUUUUAAAAAUACAUGAGUUAACUAAGGAAAACAUUGAGCGUAUGAAUGCUAAAUAUAAACUUGCUGGAGAUAAGGGUAGAAAACAUGUUGUGUUUGCACCUGGAGAUCUUGUUUGGUUACAUUUGCGUAAGGAUAGAUUUCCUGAUUUGCGCAAAUCAAAGUUAAUGCCACGUGCUGAUGGUCCCUUUAAGGUGUUAGAGAAAAUAAAUGAUAAUGCAUAUAAACUUGAGCUGCCUGCAGAUUUUGGGGUUAGUCCCACUUUUAACAUUGCAGAUUUGAAGCCUUAUUUGGGUGAGGAAGAUGAGCUUCCGUCGAGGACGACUUCAUUUCAAGAAGGGGAGGAUGAUGAGGACAUCAAUACCAUUGUUACACCCACAGCCCCUACUGCUACAUAUACUGGACCAAUUACUAGAGCUCGCGCACGCCAAUUAAAUUAUCAGGUACUUUCAUUUCUUGGUAAUGAUUCUAAUGUUCAUGAGAAUAUGAUGCUGCCUAAAUUGGAUACAUUUGUUUUGCUUACAAAUGAAGGGCCUAGCUUGGAGAAGGAUGGACAUUGGAGCAAGAGCAAGCAUGGAGAUGAUGCCAUGUGCAAGGGGAACCAGAACGGAGUUACAAGUGAUGAUUUCAGGACUUUGAAGCCACCAUAAGAGUGCAUGAAGCCUUGGACGAAAUAUACAAGAUGCCACUUCAUAAAUUUCGUCCCGAGGCUAUUAUAGGUGCUGCGUCACCUUUUUAUUGGGCCUGGCCCAUUUAAUUUCGAAAUACAUAAGUAUAGGCUAUUUUUAGAGUCCGUAUGUGUGGGGAAACAAGAGAUAGGGUUGAUUUCGGACCCCUCCACCAAGGGCCACGAAAUUCCCCCUCUCUUCCUCCAUAUAUACAGCCCUUAGGGCACCGUUUAGACUUUGGGUUUUGUUUAGAUUAAAGUUCGCCAUAGCUGCAACUUCGCGUACUUCGUUUGUGUUCAACGACCAGACAAAGGCGUCACAGAACCCCACCUUGAUCAAUAAAGCUUUCAUCUUAUAUUCGCAAUAUCCAGAUUGCAAUCUUAGUUUCUUGCUUGUUCUUCGUUUGCUCGCAGGAAAGAGACCCUCGUGGUCAGGUUGAUCGUGCUCCGGCGUGGUCAAUAACCUCUCGGAGUUGGUUUAGCGAUUGCUAAGGCGCGACGUCCUCGCACGUUCGUAGUCGGAUCGUCAAAGUCGACUUCCACCAAAGCGAUAUCCAUCAUCUCAUCGAAAGACGGGACACCUUUGCCUCUAUCAUAAGGUGUUUAGGCUACUUAGGGACCGUGCUUCCAACUCCGACACCGUGUAUAGCCAACCUUAACCUGCACUUCCGCAUUGCCUACUCGUAUAACCCCUCAUUGCACUUCCACAAAACCACCACCGCAUUCCCGCUACCACCAUUUGACAUUUGAGAUUUUGAGUUCGUGAUUUUUCCGUUUCCUAAGGUGUUUCGGCUAGUUAGGGACGAGUCUCCAUCAUCUUGGUAUCUCCAUCAAGAUCACCGCCACUCGUCAUCGCCAAGGACGGUAACCUCCAUAUCAUCUUGGUAUCAUGGUAUCCCUCCAUUGUAUAUUCCCUUGCCAUUGCAUUGAUAACCCCUAGCCCAUUUUGCGUCACUUGCCUAUCGAGACUAGCCAUUUGAGUAUUGUCGGCAACGUUACUUGUGCACAUUAGUGAUCUACACCAUACAUUGCAUACAUACCAUAUCAUAUUGGUAUCAUAUCAUCUCGUGUGCCUCAAGUUUGUUCCCGCAUAUCACAAUUACUAUCUUGGUUUGUGCAUUUUGCAUUGUGGCCAUACAUAAAAAAGAAUAAGCUUUUAAGCAGAAGAGUUAACAAAGAGCUUGUAAGCAAGUGCCAUAGCAUCAUACCACAUUGCAUAAGAUUUUCAUAUCCGAUCAUCUUGGAUCAUACCACCGGAACAUCAUAUACAUAGCAUACCUGGGAUAGAAGUCGUUGCAUUUUUGUCUCCUAUAGGUUGUGCACAAGUGUCGUAUCCGCCUAUUGAGCAAUCGUGCUAGCGUCUCUCUAGAGUUGUGCAACAAGAGCAUUUUCCGUGUAUUCCACAUUUUGAGCUCAUCCCUUGGUUGCAUGGCCCCAUUUAUCUAUCCAUGUGUGUGUUUCCAUGUGCCACAUAUCACUAUUGGUCUGCUUGUUACACUUGCGAAUUUGUGAAUCUCUUUCAACAUUAUUGACUCUUGCUAACAUUUUGCAUUAAAUUUUUCGUGCCACUAUCCUCACCGAGCUCCACCAUAAGCCUUAUUUGUGUAGGUGUGAGAAACCAACAAGAAUUGGUACCAAUUGUGCUAUUUCCUUGUCCACAUUGGAGUGAUCAUUGAUCCACUUUCAACUUCGGUCAAGGUACAUUUGGUAUUCGUUCUUCUCUUUCUACCACUGACAUUUUUCUCUUGGAGUGAUGGAUAGGCAAGGCAUUUCAUCUCCGGUCUUCAACAACAACGACGGCAUGAAGAACUACAUCACCAAAGCGUCACUCUUCGAUCUACAACGACAAAUGCAAGGCGCACAAUCAAGGUUGCGAGAGCGCAUCAAGAACCUCUCCAUUGACAUUCGCCACUCCGAAGCGAGGAAAAGGGACUACAUCGACAACAAACUUUCCACACAAAAGGAGGAGCAAGAUGCAAGGAUGGAGGAGAUUCGGACCUUGUUGAUCAACAGUUCUUCCCCUUCAUCAUCAUCAAGGCGGCGACAUUCCAAUCACAAGUCUUCGGAGCACAAAAAUGAUGCAAGCACAAGUCGUCCACGUCCACAUCUCCUUGGCGACCACCAUCACGUUCGUGAUCCUCCUCGUCAUGAAGGGCAAGUCACCUCCAAGCAACAUGUGCACGACGACGACGAACGACAUCUACUACAAGCUCAAGUGCGACAACGCCAACAUAAUCAUGACGAUGCUCACCAAGCGCAAAUGCACAAGUUCCAUCAAGCUCUACUUCACGCCAAGUCCAAACUUCAUGACCACCACAGAAGACCGCGAGAUGAGCACCACCAAGACGGAGCUACGGCUACAACAACCACUUCGGCAUCUUCGCCAAGUGCUAUCAAGGCAUCUUCGCCUUCGGACGUACGACAUCUUCGCCUACCUCCCAUGAGUUCGCCUACAUCGACAUCUUCACCAAUGAGGCGACCACCUACGAGCGAGGGCAACACUUCCAUCUUCGGAAGCCUCCCAAGGAAGAUGGCCGAGCAUGGGACAUUCCCUUCGGUCAUGGAGACGAGCUAUGAGGUGCCACAUCAUAUGGGCCUCCUACAACAGGUCGGCGACAAGAAGGUCGAGCAAGGGCCAUCCCCUUCGACCACGGUGACGAGCAUGAACCUCUUCAACUACAUGAAGACGGCGCCCCAAAAGGACUCAUUCUCCGAGUCAAGCUACGAGACCACAAAUGAGACCUUAUGUUUGGUCUUCGAGGAGAGUGAUGAUGUGCCAUCUUCGGCCUUCAUCCACGGCUACGACCACGACAUGAUUGAGCAUGGAGACAUUUGCACCUACAUCUCUCCGACACCGACAUGUGAUGAGAUGCCCCAAUUUCCAUGUGAGGAGAGCCACCACACCACGGGUGACAUGAGUGACUCCACCAUAUGUGACAUUGAGUGCAUUUCCUAUGAGAGGAUGAGUGUGACCACCACUAGCCCGACACUUGAGAGCAUGCCACACAUCCUAUGUGAGGUUGAGCGCCAUUUGAGUGACUCCACCAACCAUAUGAGCAAGAGUAUCCAAGAGGGAGUGAGUGAGCCACAACACUUAGUGAGUGAGGUAGUUGAGACGGCAUGUGAGGCCACUUUGAUUUCUAACGACCUAACCUCUACUCCGAGUGUGUUUUCUUCUUUGGUGCUAGGUCUCCUACAUGACGACAUGCCUACCCUCGACGAGUCCAUACCUCCAAUGGAGAUGACGAUGGCCAUGGCCAUGGUGGACGAUGAUGCACCCCCCACAUGGUUUCCAUCAAGAUGAAGAUGACCACGACUUGGUCUUCGACACCUGACCUACAACACAUGAGUGAUGCUCCAAAGGUAUCAUAAGUGAUGGUGCUUCUCAUGUCCCACUAGUGGACUAUUUUACGAAUGAUUGCUUGCAUGAUGUUGACACACCUAUACCCAUGCUUCAUGCUAGUGCGACUUCUUCAUGUCAUGACUUACCUAUUUAUGAUGAAUAUGAUGACGAGCAUGUCGACUUGCCUAGUUGUGAUGCUAUGCUCCAUAGGAUAUCAUGUGAAAAUUCUUUUGGUCACAUCAUGUUUGACAAUCCAUUAACCUUAUCAUAUGCUAUGAGUGAGAUAUCCCAUAUUGCAUCUUUUUAAUCUCAACAUAUUGACUAUGCAUGCCCCGUUCACAUAAAUCCCAUUUGCACUUAUGGCAUAGAUGAUUAGAUGAUGGUCAUUGGCUUUUGUGUUUCCUGUGAUGAUAUUGCUAUGCUUCGUUUACAUGAUUUGCGCAAUUCAUCUACUAUACCAUGCCAUGAUCACAAUGUUCCAAAUAUGCAUUGCUUUGGAUGUUGUCAAUAUUCUCCAUGUGAUGUUUCCACUAAUGAUCAUGAGGAGAUCCCCAUAGUUUCCUCAUUCAUAUUAGGAGAUUUUGAUGCAUUCCAUACUUUGCAUGAUACUCAUAAUUGCUUGCACCAUAUGCAUCCCAUGCAUAACAAUGCUCUAGAUAUUUCCCAUGAUGCAUUACACAACUUGAGUCUCCAUUAUGCUAUACAUAACAACAAACCUAUCAUGAUGGAUGACAUGUUUCUAUAUCACGCAUCUCAUUUAUUUGAUCAUUCGCUAUUUUAUGCUAACCAACACUUGCACGUGUGCAUCAUGAUGGAUGAUGUGUACAUCUACCACGCACACACAAUUUUCCCUUUGUCUUUGUUUUGUGUAGGUACUCACAUAUACUCGUCAACCUCUCAAUCCCAAGAGUUGACGAAACGAGCUCUUGAGAGCACAGAUGACUUGGGAUCCCGUGGACUAUCCUUACCACCAUUCUGUUCGCGCAACGGUGUCGCGCAUUGCUUUUACUUGGCUCUCACACGGCUUUGGGCUAUAUAUCACUUGUUAUGUUAUGCCCAUUUUCUCGUGUUCACUUUGCAUGCUAUGCCUCUUUCUAUUAUUUUGCCAUGCAAUUGUGACCCUUGCUUGCAUCUACCCAUGAUUCACCAUUUUACUAAUCCGAUGUGUAUUUGCAUGCUUGGUGGAGAUCCUUGUUGCUAUUGCCAUGAUUAUCAUGUGCCUCAUGCUAUUGAUGCUAUUUUGCUCAUAUCUUGCCUUCAUGCUUGUGAUAUGUCACGUGCAUUAUUCAUACACACUAUUUGCACACAUGGCAUACUUGACAUGAUUCCUUCUAGUACGUUGCAUCUUCGCACUACUAGCUUGCCUGCCUUGAUUCACAUGAUUGCUUGCUUUGUCGCAUCACCCAUGUUCCAUUCUUACUUGCUUUCUUGGGUUGAUGAUGUGAUAGAGGCAAAGGUGUCCCGAUGUUUCGAUGAGAUGUUGGCUAUCGUUUCUGUGGCAGUCGACCUUAACGAUCCGACUACGAACGUGCGAGACGUCGCGCCUUAGCAAUCGCUGAACCAACUUCUGAGGGGUUAUUGACCAUGCCGGAGCAUGAUCAACCUGACCACGAGGGUCUGUUUCCUGCGAGCAAACGAAGAACAAGCAAGAAACUAAGAUUGCAAUCUGGAUAUUGCGAAUAUAAGAUGAAAGCUUUAUUGAUCAAGGUGGGGUUCUGUGACGUCUUGGUCUGGUUGUUGGACACAAACGAAGUACGCGAAGUUGCAGCUAUGGCAAACUUUUAAUCUAAAUAAAACCCAAAGUCUAAACGAUGCCCUAAGGGCUGUAUAUAUGGAGGAGAAAGGGGGAAUUUCGUGGCCCUUGGUGGAGGGGUCUGAAACCAACCCUAACUCUUGUUUCCCCACACAUACAGACUCUCAAAACAGACUAUACUUAAGUAUUUCGAAAAUACAUGGGCCUGGCCCAAUAAUAAGGUGACGCAGCACCUAGAAUAGCCUCUGGACGAAAUUUAUGAAGUGGCAUCUUGUAUAUUUCGUCCCAUGCUUCAUGCAAUCAUUAUGGUGGCUUCAGAGUCCUGGAAUCAUCACUUGUAACUCCGUUCUUGUUCCCCUUGCGCAUGCCAUCAUCUCCAUGCUUGAACUUGCUCCAAGGUUCAUAUUUCUUGUCCAAGCUAGGCCCUUCGUUUGUAAGCAAGACAAAUGUAUCCAACUUAGGCAGCAUCAUAUUCACAUACACAUUAGAAUCGUUACCAAGAAACGGAAGUACUUGAUAAUUCAAUUGGCGUGCGCGAGCUCUAGUAAUUGGUCCAGUAUGUACAGCAGCAGGGGCUGUGGGUGUAACAAUGGUAUUGAUGUCCUCAUCAUCCUCCCCUUCUUGAAAUGAAGUCGUCCUCGACGAAAGUUCAUCGUCCUCACCCAAAUAAGGCUUCAAAUCUGCAAUGUUAAAAGUGGGACUAACCCCAAAAUCUGCAGGCAGCUCAAGUUUAUAUGCAUUAUCAUUUAUUUUCUCUAACACCUUAAAAGGACCAUCAGCACCUAGCAUUAGCUUUGAUUUGCGCAAAUUAGGAAAUCUAUCCUUACGCAAAUGUAACCUAACAAGAUCUCCAGGUGCAAACGCAACAUGUUUUCUACCCUUAUCUCCAGCAAGUUUAUAUUUAGCAUUCAUACGCUCAAUGUUGUCCUUAGUUAAUUCAUGCAUUUUUAAAAUCAAUUCAACACGUUCUUUAGCAUCAAAAUUAACCUUCUCCGAAGAUGGAAGAGGCAACAAAUCAAUAGGUGCACGAGGUAGGAAACCAUACACAAUUUCAAAAGUGCACAUCUUAGUAGUAGAAUGCAAUGAACGAAUAUAAGCAAAUUCAAUAUGAGGCAAGCAUUCUUCCCACAUUUUCUUGUUAUUCUUCAAAACAGCCCUAAGCAUAGUAGACAAUGUUCUAUUGACUACUUCAGUUUGUCCAUCAGUUUGGGGGUGACAAGUAGUACUAAAAAGCAGUUUAGUCCCCAUCUUAGCCCAUAAACAUCUCCAAAAGUGGCUAAGAAAUUUAGUAUCACGAUCUGAUGAGGACAUCAAUACAAUUGUUACACCCACAGCCCCUGCUGCUAUACAUACUGGACCAAUUACUAGAGCUCGUGCACGCCAACUAAAUUACCAGGUACUUUCGUUUCUUGGUAAUGAUUCUAAUGUUCAUGAGAAUAUGAUGCUGCCUAAAUUGGAUACAUUUGUUUUGCUUACAAAUGAAGGGCCUAGCUUGGAGAAGGAUGAACAUUGGAGCAAGAACAAGCAUGGAGAUGAUGGCAUGCGCAAGGGGAACAAGAACGGAGUUACAAGUGAUGAUUUCAGGACUUUGAAGCCACCAUAAUGGGUGCAUGAAGCCUUGGACGAAAUAUACAAGAUGCCACUUCAUAAAUUUCGUCCCGAGGCUAUUUUAGGUGCUGCGUCACCUUAUUAUUGGGCCAGGCCCAUGUAAUUUCGAAAUACAUAAGUAUAGGCUAGUUUUAGAGUCCGUAUGUGUGGGGAAACAAGAGAUAGGGUUGAUUUCGGACCCCUCCACCAAGGGCCACGAAAUUCCCCCCUCUUCCUCCAUAUAUACAGCCCUUAGGGCAUCGUUUAGACUUUGGGUUUUGUUUAGAUUAAAAGUUCGCCAUAGCUGCAACUUCGCGUACUUCGUUUGUGUUCAACGACCAGACAAAGGCGUCACAGAACCCCACCUUGAUCAAUAAAGCUUUCAUCUUAUAUUCGCAAUAUCCAGAUUGCAAUCUUAGUUUCUUGCUUGUUCUUCGUUUGCUCGCAGGAAACAGACCCUCGUGGUCAGGUUGAUCGUGCUCCGGCGUGGUCAAUAACCUCUCGGAGUUGGUUUAGCGAUUGCUAAGGCGCGACGUCCUCGCGCGUUCGUAGUCGGAUCGUCAAAGUCGACUUCCACCAAAGCGAAAUCCACCAUCUCAUCGAAAGACGGGACACCUCUGCCUCUAUCAAGUGGUAUCAGAUUUCCAGGUUGCUCGGUGAGAUUUUACAGUUUUUCGUAGUUUAGAUCGAGUCUGUUCUUCAUACCUAUAGUCCACGAAAAAGCCAAAAAAAAUUAGGGUUAGUUCAUCCCAUCCGAACCAAUCUGAGCCUUGCAUAAUCUUUUCUGUAUUUGCUUUGUUGAAUUUGCGGUUGCAUCGUCGUGUUCAGUUGCUGGUCUUAGCGUCUAGUCUUUUAGAGUUUCGAGUUCUGUUCACAAGUUGUCACGCCGUCGCCGCACCAUCAUCAUCGCCCCUGCCAUCUACCACCACCGCUCCGAAUCCGUAUCCAUAUACCACCACCAAUCCGUGUCCAUAUACCACCACCGAUCCAUAUCCAUAUACUACCACCGCUGCCAUAUACCACCACCAUAUAUUCACCACCAAUCCGAGUUCCUUGCUUAUUAGGUUUGUUUUCGGGAUCAAUCUAGAUUCCGAUUGAUCAAAACUCUUCUUAGCUCAAACUGACAGGAUGGGCACGAAAUUUUUUUCGACCAAUUUUUUUUUUUUUUACUGCCCGGACCCAAAAACUGGAAACGGGUCAAAAAAAACUUCCUAUAAUGGCACCUGUCUCAAAACACUCAGAAACACCUAAAAAUAGGAUAGCCAGAAAUUUUUUCGAAAAAUGCGUUUUCGAAAAAUUUUGGGCCUAAACGGAGCGUGGCUACCCGACUCCGGCAAGGAAACACGAAUCGGAAUCUAGAUUGAUCCCGAAAACAAACCUAAUAAGCAAGGAACUCGGAUUGGUGGUGAAUAUAUGGUGGUGGUAUAUGGCAGCGGUGGUAGUAUAUGGAUAUGGAUCGGUGGUGGUAUAUGGACACGGAUUGGUGGUGGUAUAUGGAUACGGAUUCGGAGCGGUGGUGGUAGAUGGCAGGGGCGAUGAUGAUGGUGCGGCGACGGCGUGACAACUUGUGAACAGAACUCGAAACUCUAAAAGACUAGACGCUAAGACCAGCAACUGAACACGACGAUGCAACCGCAAAUUCAACAAAGCAAAUAUAGAAAAGAUUAUGCAAGGCUCAGAUUGGUUCGGAUGGGAUGAACUAACCCUAAUUUUUUUUUGGCUUUUUCGUGGACUAUAGGUAUGAAGAACAGACUCGAUCUAAACUACGAAAAACUGUAAAAUCUCACCGAGCAACCUGGAAAUCUGAUACCACUUGAUAGAGGCAAAGGUGUCCCGUCUUUCGAUGAGAUGGUGGAUUUCGCUUUGGUGGAAGUCGACUUUGACGAUCCGACUACGAACGUGCGAGGACGUCGCGCCUUAGCAAUCGCUAAACCAACUCCGAGAGGUUAUUGACCACGCCGGAGCACGAUCAACCUGACCACGAGGGUCUGUUUCCUGCGAGCAAACGAAGAACAAGCAAGAAACUGAGAUUGCAAUCUGGAUAUUGCGAAUAUAAGAUGAAAGCUUUAUUGAUCAAGGUGGGGUUCUGUGACGCCUUUGUCUGGUCGUUGAACACAAACGAAGUACGCGAAGUUGCAGCUAUGGCGAACUUUAAUCUAAACAAAACCCAAAGUCUAAACGAUGCCCUAAGGGCUGUAUAUAUGGAGGAAGAGGGGGGAAUUUCGUGGCCCUUGGUGGAGGGGUCCGAAAUCAACCCUAUCUCUUGUUUCCCCACACAUACGGACUCUAAAAAUAGCCUACACUUAUGUAUUUCGAAAUUACAUGGGCCUGGCCCAAUAAUAAGGUGACGCAGCACCUAAAAUAGCCUCGGGACGAAAUUUAUGAAGUGGCAUCUUGUAUAUUUCGUCCAAGGCUUCAUGCACCCAUUAUGGUGGCUUCAAAGUCCUGAAAUCAUCACUUGUAACUCCGUUCUUGUUCCCCUUGCGCAUGCCAUCAUCUCCAUGCUUGUUCUUGCUCCAAUGUUCAUCCUUCUCCAAGCUAGGCCCUUCAUUUGUAAGCAAAACAAAUGUAUCCAAUUUAGGCAGCAUCAUAUUCUCAUGAACACUAGAAUCAUUACCAAGAAACGAAAGUACCUGGUAAUUUAGUUGGCGUGCACGAGCUCUAGUAAUUGGUCCAGUAUGUAUAGCAGCAGGGGCUGUGGGUGUAACAAUUGUAUUGAUGUCCUCAUCAUACAGUCCACGAAAAAGCCACAAAAAAAUUAGGGUUAGUUCAUCAUAUCCGAACCAAUCUGAGCCUUUGCAUAAUCUUUUUAGGGUUUUGCUUUGUUGAAUUUGCGGUUGCAUCGUCGCGUCUAGUUGCUGGUCUUAGAGUCUAGUCUUUUAGAGUUUCGAGUUCUGGUCAUAAGUUGUCACGCCGCCGCCGCACCAUCAUCAUCGCCCCUGCCAUCUACCACCACCGCUUAUCCGCCACCGCUCCGAAUCCGUAUCCAUAUACCACCACCGAUUCAUAUACCACCACUGAUUCAUAUCCAUAUCCAUAUACUACCACCGCUACCACCACCGCUGCCAUAUACCACCACCAUAUAUCCACCACCAAUCCGAGUUCCUUGCUUAUUAGGUUUGUUUUCGAGAUCCAUCUAGUUUCCGAUUCGUGUUUCCUUGCCGGAGUAGGUUUCGGGAAAAAAAAAAUUGGUCGAAAAAAUUUUCUGGCUAUCCUAUUUUUAGGUGUUUCUGAGUGUUUUGAGACAGGUGCCAUUAUAGGAAGUUUUUUUUGAGCCGUUUCCAGUUUUUGGGUCCGGGCAGUCAAAAAAAAAAAUUGGUCGAAAAAAUUUCGUGCCCAUCCUGUCAGUUUGAGCUACGAAGAGUUUUGAGACACUCGCCAUUAUAGUGAUUUUUCGCAAAAAAAAAGAGCGCAAAAAAAAAGCAGCGCAAAAAAAAAGAGCGAAAAAAAAAAUUCAGAGUGUGCUUUCCCUUGUUUACGUGCCGCGCCGUGAUUUUGUUGGUGUUCUAGGCUCGCGUCUCUAGCACAGUCUAGCCUAGGACCAGCACAGUACCGUCGUUGAGCGUUUAUUCAACUUUGCAUCUCUGAAUUGAUUAUUGCUGACCCUUUUUGCUACCAUACUAUAAGCCUUCCCAGCUCCACAUACAUCUACGUCGUGUGUUUGACUCUCCCUGGUAAUCGCUCUAUCCAAGCUUUGAGAGUUUUUGACUACAACGGUUGCCGAUCACCGCCUGCUGCUGGGUAAGAACUGGUAAGAAUUUGAGAUUUGCUUGACGGAUUUGUGAUACACCACCACCACUUCUUAGUAGUCUGUAGGAUCAUAUUCUUGUGUGUUUCUAUUGCUGCUAACCAUGCCAGGAUCACAAGCCGACGAGAUUGACUGGGAGAAUUUAUCGAACAAGGAGCUUCAUGAUAAGUUUCAGCAAAUGAUGACUGAACAGGUGCAAGAUGUGCUGAACAAUUUUGAAGAGGCCAUGGAGAAGAUCAAUGGCCUUGAGAAGACGUUCGAAACAAAGCUCGAUAACAGAUUUAAUGAAUUGCUCGCGCGUCUUCCACCACCACCACCCGCUGCACCUAACGCACCUCUCCAACAACAACAACAACGACUACCUCCACGUCGCGAAAUAGACCUUCGCCGAGCGAGCCGUGUUCCUCUUGCAUUUGGCCAAACUGUUGGUGCUGCUGUUGAUACUUCUGUGGCUCCUGCUACUGCUGUUGCUGGUACCCAGGAGGAUGCUGAGUAUGCGGGCGAUUAUGAGGAUGAGGUUGAUCAAAAUCAUAUCUACGAGCAGCCACCAGCACCACCACCAGCAGGUCGACCUCAGGUAUAUAUUCGUAAUGGUAGGCCUGCACCACCACCUCAGGUACGAGAUGAUGUCCAUAUUCCUAAACUGAAAUUGAAUAUUCCACCAUUUGAGGGUAGAUAUGUUCCUGAUAUAUAUCUUACUUGGGAGUUAGAAACUGAACAACGAUUUACAUGUUUACAAUAUCCUGAGGAGAGACGAGUUGCUGCUGCCGUUUGUGCUUUCACUAGUUUUGCAUGUGUAUGGUGGUCUGAACAUUGUAGAUUAUAUCCUAUUCCAACUACUUGGGCUGCUUUGAAAACUGCUAUGCGUACGCGUUGGGUUCCACCAUAUUAUCAACGUGAAUUGCUUCAAAAAUUGCAGCGUUUAAGACAAGGAAAAAAUUCUGUAGAAGAAUAUUAUCAGGAAUUACAAACUGGCAUGAUUCGAUGUGGUAUUGUUGAGGAGAAUGAAGCUAUGCUUGCACGUUUUCUGGGUGGAUUAAAUAGAGAGAUUCAGACCAUUCUAGACUAUAAGGAGUAUACUAAUAUCACUCGUUUAUUCCAUCUUGCUUGUAAAGCUGAACGUGAAGUGCAGGAUCGACAAGCAUUGGCGCGAACUAACUUUUCUGCAGGCCGAUCUUCAUCAUGGACACCACGUGCAUCUUCUACUUCAACUGCGCCAGCACCUUCAUCCGGUGCCACCUCCAGCCGUGAUACAAGAAAACAGGCACAACCACCAUUAUCUGCCAAGAGCGCACCUGCGGGGCCUACACAGCGUUCUUCUUCUUCCAUGGCAUCAACAGGGCACACAAGUGAUAUUAUUUAUCGUCGUUGUAAGGGAGGAGGUCAUUAUGCGAGGGAAUGCAAAUCUCCGCGUGUGAUGAUUGCUACCGCGGAUGGUGGAUAUGAGUCCGCUAGUGACUAUGAUGAGGAGACAUUGGCUCUUAUUACACGUGAAGAACAUGGUGGAGAUGAUUCUGAUCAUGAGACGCAAUACAUGGCUCCUGAGGACGCUGACAGGUAUGAAUGUUUAGUUGCUCAACGUGUUUUGAGUGUGCAGGUCACACAAGCUGAGCAAAAUCAGAGGCACAAUUUGUUCCAUACCAAGGGAGUUGUGAAGGAACGUUCUGUGCGCGUCAUAAUAGACGGAGGGAGCUGCAACAACUUGGCUAGCAUGGAGAUGGUGGAGAAGCUUUCUCUCACCACAAGACCACAUCCACAUCCUUACUACAUCCAAUGGUUCAACAACAGCGGCAAGGUUAAGGUAACACGUACUGUUCGUGUGCAUUUUAGUAUCUCUACAUAUGCUGAUUAUGUUGAUUGUGAUGUGGUACCUAUGGAAGCAUGUUCCUUAUUACUUGGUAGACCAUGGCAAUUUGAUAAAAAUUCUGUACACCAUGGUAGAAACAAUCACUAUACUCUUGUUCAUAAGGAUAAAAAUAUUACUUUGCUUCCUAUGACUCCUGAUUCCAUUUUGAAAGAUGAUAUUAAUAGAGCUAAUAAAGCACAACAGGAGAAGAAUAAGAGUGAAAAUCAGAUUGUGGCAAAAGAAUUUGAGCAACAAAUGAAGCCUAAUAAUAAACCAUCUAGUGUUGCUUCUGAAAUUAAAUUGAAAAGUGCAUGUUUAUUUGCCACCAAAUCUGAUAUUGAUGAGCUAGAUUUCAGCAAAUCUGUUUGCUAUGCUUUUGUGUGCAAAGAGGCAUUAUUUUCAUUCGAGGACGUGCCUUCCUCUUUGCCUCCUGCUGUCACUAACAUUUUGCAGGAGUUCGCUGACGUAUUUCCACAAGACGUGCCACCGGGAUUACCGCCUAUUCGAGGGAUUGAGCAUCAGAUUGACUUAAUUCCCGGUGCUUCACUGCCAAACCGUGCACCAUACCGUACCAAUCCAAAGGAGACGAAGGAGAUUAUGCGUCAAGUACAAGAGCUUCUCGACAAAGGUUAUAUACGCGAAUCCCUUAGUCCUUGUGCUGUUCCUAUUAUUCUAGUGCCGAAAAAGGAUGGUACAUCACGUAUGUGUGUUGAUUGUAGAGGCAUUAAUAAUAUUACUAUUCGUUAUCGUCAUCCUAUUCCUAGGCUAGAUGAUAUGCUUGAUGAAUUGAGUGGCUCUACAAUAUUCUCCAAAGUUGAUUUGCGUAGUGGCUACCAUCAAAUUCGUAUGAAAUUGGGAGAUGAAUGGAAAACAACAUUUAAAACUAAGUUUGGAUUAUAUGAGUGGUUAGUCAUGCCUUUUGGGUUAACUAAUGCGCCUAGUACUUUCAUGAGACUAAUGAACGAAGUUUUACGUGCUUUCAUUGGACGAUUUGAGGUAGUCUAUUUUGAUGAUAUACUGAUUUAUAGCAGAUCUUUGGAAGAACAUUUGGAACAUUUACGUGCUGUUUUUAUUGCUCUACGUGAUGCACGUUUGUUUGGUAACCUUGGGAAGUGCACCUUUUGCACCGACCGAGUAUCUUUUCUUGGCUAUGUUGUUACUCCACAGGGAAUUGAAGUUGACAAAGCCAAGAUUGAAGCUAUUGAGAGUUGGCCGCAGCCCAAAACGGUCACACAAGUGAGGAGUUUUCUUGGCCUCGCUGGAUUCUAUAGGCGUUUUGUGAGAGAUUUCAGCACCAUUGCUGCACCUCUCAACGAGCUUACAAAGAAGGAUGUGCCUUUUGUUUGGGGUACCGCACAGGAAGAAGCCUUCACGGUAUUGAAAGAUAAGUUGACACAUGCUCCUUUACUCCAACUUCCUGAUUUUAAUAAGACUUUUGAGCUUGAAUGUGAUGCUAGUGGAAUUGGAUUAGGAGGUGUGUUAUUACAAGAUGGCAAACCUGUUGCAUACUUUUCUGAAAAAUUGAGUGGGCCUAGUCUGAAUUAUUCUACUUAUGAUUCUUUGGGCCAUAAAUAAUGUUGCCAUGUUUCUAAAGUCCGAACAAGAGCAUAUAAUUCUUUAUCAUAAGUAGAAUAAUUCAGACUAGGCCCACUCAAUUUUUCAGAAAAGUAUGCAACGGGUUUGCCAUCUUGUAAUAACACACCUCCUAAUCCAAUUCCACUAGCAUCACAUUCAAGCUCAAAAGUCUUAUUAAAAUCAGGAAGUUGGAGUAAAGGAGCAUGUGUCAACUUAUCUUUCAAUACCGUGAAGGCUUCUUCCUGUGCGGUACCCCAAACAAAAGGCACAUCCUUCUUUGUAAGCUCGUUGAGAGGUGCAGCAAUGGUGCUGAAAUCUCUCACAAAACGCCUAUAGAAUCCAGCGAGGCCAAGAAAACUCCUCACUUGUGUGACCGUUUUGGGCUGCGGCCAACUCUCAAUAGCUUCAAUCUUGGCUUUGUCAACUUCAAUUCCCUGUGGAGUAACAACAUAGCCAAGAAAAGAUACUCGGUCGGUGCAAAAGGUGCACUUCCCAAGGUUACCAAACAAACGUGCAUCACGUAGAGCAAUAAAAACAGCACGUAAAUGUUCCAAAUGUUCUUCCAAAGAUCUGCUAUAAAUCAGUAUAUCAUCAAAAUAGACUACCUCAAAUCGUCCAAUGAAAGCACGUAAAACUUCGUUCAUUAGUCUCAUGAAAGUACUAGGCGCAUUAGUUAACCCAAAAGGCAUGACUAACCACUCAUAUAAUCCAAACUUAGUUUUAAAUGUUGUUUUCCAUUCAUCUCCCAAUUUCAUACGAAUUUGAUGGUAGCCACUACGCAAAUCAACUUUGGAGAAUAUUGUAGAGCCACUCAAUUCAUCAAGCAUAUCAUCUAGCCUAGGAAUAGGAUGACGAUAACGAAUAGUAAUAUUAUUAAUGCCUCUACAAUCAACACACAUACGUGAUGUACCAUCCUUUUUCGGCACUAGAAUAAUAGGAACAGCACAAGGACUAAGGGAUUCGCGUAUAUAACCUUUGUCGAGAAGCUCUUGUACUUGACGCAUAAUCUCCUUCGUCUCCUUUGGAUUGGUACGGUAUGGUGCACGGUUUGGCAGUGAAGCACCGGGAAUUAAGUCAAUCUGAUGCUCAAUCCCUCGAAUAGGCGGUAAUCCCGGUGGCACGUCUUGUGGAAAUACGUCAGCGAACUCCUGCAAAAUGUUAGUGACAGCAGGAGGCAAAGAGGAAGGCACGUCCUCGAAUGAAAAUAAUGCCUCUUUGCACACAAAAGCAUAGCAAACAGAUUUGCUGAAAUCUAGCUCAUCAAUAUCAGAUUUGGUGGCAAAUAAACAUGCACUUUUCAAUUUAAUUUCAGAAGCAACACUAGAUGGUUUAUUAUUAGGCUUCAUUUGUUGCUCAAAUUCUUUUGCCACAAUCUGAUUUUCACUCUUAUUCUUCUCCUGUUGUGCUUUAUUAGCUCUAUUAAUAUCAUCUUUCAAAAUGGAAUCAGGACUCAUAGGAAGCAAAGUAAUAUUUUUAUCCUUAUGAACAAGAGUAUAGUGAUUGUUUCUACCAUGGUGUACAGAAUUUUUAUCAAAUUGCCAUGGUCUACCAAGUAAUAAGGAACAUGCUUGCAUAGGUACCACAUCACAAUCAACAUAAUCAGCAUAUGUAGAGAUACUAAAAUGCACACGAACAGUACGUGUUACCUUAACCUUGCCGCUAAACAUUCAUACCUGUCAGCGUCUUCAGGAGCCAUGUAUUGCGUCUCAUGAUCAGAAUCAUCUCCACCAUGUUCUUCACGUGUAAUAAGAGCCAAUGUCUCCUCAUCAUAGUCACUAGCGGACUCAUAUCCACCAUCCGCGGUAGCAAUCAUCACACGCGGAGAUUUGCAUUCCCUCGCAUAAUGACCUACUCCCUUACAACGACGACAAAUAAUAUCACUUGUGUGCCCUGUUGAUGCCAUGGAAGAAGAAGAACGCUGUGCAGGCCCCGCAGGUGCGCUCUUGGCAGAUAAUGGUGGUUGUGCCUGUUUUCUUGUAUCACGGCUGGAGGUGGCACCGGAUGGAGGUGCUGGUGCAGUUGAAGUAGAAGAUGCACGUGGUGUCCAUGAUGAAGGUCGGCCUGCAGAAAAGUUAGUUCGCCCCAAUGCUUGUCGAUCCUGCACUUCACGUUCAGCUUUACAAGCAAGAUGGAAUAAACGAGUGAUAUUAGUAUACUCCUUAUAGUCUAGAAUGGUCUGAAUCUCUCUAUUUAAUCCACCCAGAAAACGUGCAAGCAUAGCUUCAUUCUCCUCAACAAUACCACAUCUAAUCAUGCCAGUUUGUAAUUCCUGAUAAUAUUAUUCUACAGAAUUUUUUCCUUGUCUUAAACGCUGCAAUUUUUGAAGCAAUUCACGUUGAUAAUAUGGUGGAACCCAACGCGUACGCAUAGCAGUUUUCAAAGCAGCCCAAGUAGUUGGAAUAGGAUAUAAUCUACAAUGUUCAGACCACCAUACACAUGCAAAACUAGUGAAAGCACAAACAGCAGCAGCAACUCGUCUCUCCUCAGGAUAUUGUAAACAUGUAAAUCGUUGUUCAGUUUCUAACUCCCAAGUAAGAUAUAUAUCAGGAACAUAUCUACCCUCAAAUGGUGGAAUAUUCAAUUUUAGUUUAGGAAUAUGGACAUCAUCGCGUACCUGAGGUGGUGGUGCAGGCCUACCAUUACGAAUAUAUACCUGAGGUCGACCUGCUGGUGGUGGUGCUGGUGGCUGCUCGUAGAUCUGAUUUUGAUCAACCUCAUCCUCAUAAUCGCCUGCAUACUCAUCAUCCUCCUGGGUACCAGCAGGAGCAGUAGCAGGAGCCAAAGAAACACCAACAGCAGUAGCAGCGGCACCAGAAUUUUGUCCUAGCUCAAUAGGAACACGAUGUGCUCGUCCAUACUGAUUCGGAAGGGGGCGUAGUUGUUGUUGUUGCAGAGGUGCGACAGGUGCAGCCGGUGGUGGAAGACGCGCAAGCAGUUCAUUAAAUCUGUUAUCGAGCUUUGUUUGGAACGUCUUCUCAAGGCCAGUGAUCUUCUCCAUGGCCUCUUCAAAAUUGUUCAGCACAUCUUGUACCUGAUGAGGACAUCAAUACAAUUGUUACACCCACAACCCCUGCUGCUAUACAUACUGGACCAAUUACUAGAGCUCGUGCACGCCAACUAAAUUACCAGGUACUUUCGUUUCUUGGUAAUGAUUCUAAUGUUCAUGAGAAUAUGAUGCUGCCUAAAUUGGAUACAUUUGUUUUGCUUACAAAUGAAGGGCCUAGCUUGGAGAAGGAUGAACAUUGGAGCAAGAACAAGCAUGGAGAUGAUGGCAUGCGCAAGGGAAACAAGAACGGAGUUACAAGUGAUGAUUUCAGGACUUUGAAGCCACCAUAAUGGGUGCAUGAAGCCUUGGACGAAAUAUACAAGAUGCCACUUCAUAAAUUUCGUCCCGAGGCUAUUUUAGGUGCUGCGUCACCUUAUUAUUGGGCCAGGCCCAUGUGAUUUCGAAAUACAUAAGUAUAGGCUAUUUUUAGAGUCCGUAUGUGUGGGGAAACAAGAGAUAGGGUUGAUUUCGGACCCCUCCACCAAGGGCCACGAAAUUCCCCCCCUCUUCCUCCAUAUAUACAGCCCUUAGGGCAUCGUUUAGACUUUGGGUUUUGUUUAGAUUAAAAGUUCGCCAUAGCUGCAACUUCGCGUACUUCGUUUGUGUUCAACGACCAGACAAAGGCGUCACAGAACCCCACCUUGAUCAAUAAAGCUUUCAUCUUAUAUUCGCAAUAUCCAGAUUGCAAUCUCAGUUUCUUGCUUGUUCUUCGUUUGCUCGCAGGAAACAGACCCUCGUGGUCAGGUUGAUCGUGCUCCGGCGUGGUCAAUAACCUCUCGGAGUUGGUUUAGCGAUUGCUAAGGCGCGACGUCCUCGCACGUUCGUAGUCGGAUCGUCAAAGUCGACUUCCACCAAAGCGAAAUCCACCAUCUCAUCGAAAGACGGGACACCUUUGCCUCUAUCACGAUCUGGAACAAUAGUAUUUGGCACAUCAUGCAAGCGAAUAAUUUCACGAAAGAACAAAUCAGCAACAUUAACAGCAUCAUCGCUUUUAUGACAUGGUAUAAAGUGUGCCAUUUUCGAGAACCUAUCCACGACAACAAAUAUGCUAUCCCUCCCCUUCUUUGUUCGAGGUAAACUUAAAACAAAGUCCAUAGAUAUAUCCUCCCAAGGAACACUAGGUAUAGGCAAAGGCAUAUAUAAACCAUGAGGAUUGACUCGUGACUUAGCUUUUUGACAUGUAGUGAAGCGAGCAACAAAACGCUCAACAUCCCGUCUCAUCUUUGGCCAAAAGAAAUGUGUAGCAAGUAUAUCCUCCGUCUUCUUGACGCCAAAGUGUCCCAUCAAUCCUCCUCCAUGCGCCUCCUGCAACAACAAAAGACGAACGGAGCUAGCUGGCAUGCAUAGCUUGUUAGCACGAAACACAAAUCCAUCAUUAAGAACGAACUUGUUCCAAGUUCUCCCUUCCUUACAAUUCUGCAAUACAUCUUUAAAUUCAGCAUCAUGAACAUAUUGAUCUUUGAUGGUCUCCAAACCAAAUAUUUUGAUGUCAAGUUGUGAAAGCAUAGUAUAACGACGAGACAAUGCAUCAGCAAUGACAUUUUCUUUACCCUUCUUGUGUUUAAUGACAUAAGGGAAAGUCUCAAUGAAUUCAACCCAUUUAGCAUGUCUACGGUUCAGUUUUGCUUGACUUUUAAUGUGUUUCAAAGAUUCAUGAUCAGAAUGUAUAACAAAUUCCUUGGGCCAUAAAUAAUGUUGCCAUGUUUCUAAGCUCCGAACAAGAGCAUAUAAUUCUUUGUCAUAAGUAGAAUAAUUCAGACUAGGCCCACUCAAUUUUUCAGAAAAGUAUGCAACAGGUUUGCCAUCUUGUAAUAACACACCUCCUAAUCCAAUUCCACUAGCAUCACAUUCAAACUCAAAAGUCUUAUUAAAAUAAGGAAGUUGGAGUAAAGGAGCAUGUGUCAACUUAUCUUUCAAUACCGUGAAGGCUUCUUCCUGUGCGAUACCCCAAACAAAAGGCACAUCCUUCUUUGUAAGCUCGUUGAGAGGUGCAGCAAUGGUGCUGAAAUCUCUCACAAAACGCCUAUAGAAACCAGCGAGGCCAAGGAAACUCCUCACUUGUCUGACCGUUUUGCGCUGCGGCCAACUCUCAAUAGCUUCAAUCUUGGCUUUAUCAACUUCAAUUCCAUGUGGAGUAACAACAUAGCCAAGAAAAGAUACUCGGUCGGUGCAAAAGGUGCACUUUCCAAGGUUACCAAACAAACGUGCAUCACAUAGAGCAGUAAAAACAACACGUAAAUGUUCCAAAUGUUCCUCCAAAGAUUUGCUAUAAAUCAAUAUGUCAUCAAAGUAAACUACCACAAAUCGUCCAAUGGAAGCACGUAAAACUUCGUUCAUUAACUUCAUGAAAGUAGUAGGUGCAUUAGUUAACCCAAAAGGCAUGACUAACCACUCAUAUAAUCCAAACUUAGUUUUAAAUGCUGUUUUCCAUUCAUCUCCCAAUUUCAUACGAAUUUGAUGAUAUCCACUACGCAAAUCAACUUUGGAGAAUAUUGUAGAGCCACUCAAUUCAUCAAGCAUAUCAUCUAGCCUAGGAAUAGGAUGACGAUUACGAAUAGUAAUAUUACUAAUGCCUCUACAAUCAACGCACAUACACGACGUACCAUCCUCUUUCGGCACUAAAAUGAUAGGAACAACACAAGGAUUAAGGGAUUCGCGUAUAUAACCUUUGUCGAGUAGUUCUUGUACUUGCCGCAUAAUCUCUUUCGUCCCCCCUGGAUUGGUACGGUAUGGUGCACGGUUGGGUAAUGAUGCACUGGGAAUUAAGUCAAUUUGAUGCUCAAUCCCUCGAAUAGGUGGUAAUCCCGGUGGCACAUCUUCUGGAAAGACGUCAGCGAACUCCUGCAAAAUGUUAGUGACAGCAGGAGGCAAAGAGGAAGGCACGUCCUCGAAUGAAAAUAAUGCCUCUUUGCACACAAAAGCAUAGCAAACGGAUUUUGUGGCAAGUAAACAUGCACUUUUCAAUUUAAUUUCCGAAGCAGCACUAGAUGGUUUGUUAUUAGGUUUCAUUUGUUGCACAAAUUCUUUUGCCAUAAUCUGAUUUUCACUCUUAUUUUUCUCCUGUUUUGCUUUAUUAGCUCUAUUAAUAUCAUCUUUCAAAAUGGAUUCAGGAGUCAUAGGAAGCAAAGUAAUAUUUUUAUCCUUAUGAACAAGAGUAUACUGAUUGUUUCUCCCAUGGUGUACAUAAUUUUUAUCAAGUUGCCAUGGUCCACCAAGUAAUAAGGAACAUGCUUGCAUAGGUACCACAUCACAAUCAACAUAAUCAGCAUAUGUAGAGAUACUAAAAUGCACACGAACAGUACGUGUUACCUUAACCUUGUCGCUGUUUUUGAACCAUUGGAUGUAGUAAGGAUGUGGAUGUGGUCUUGUGGUGAGAGAUAGCUUCUCCACCAUCUCCAUGCUAGCCAAGUUAUUGCAACUCCCUCUAUCUAUGAUGACGCGAACAGAACGUUCCUUCACAACUCCCUUUGUAUGGAACAAAUUAUGCCUCUGAUUUUGCUCAGCUUGUGUGACCUGCACUCUCAAAACACGUUGAGCAACUAAACAUUCAUACCUAUCAGCAUCUUCACGAGCCAUCUAUUGCGUCUCAUGAUCAGAAACAUCUCCAUCAUGUUCUUCACGUGUAAUAAGAGCCAAAGUCUCCUCAUCAUAGUCACUAGCGGACUCAUACCCACCAUCCUCAGUAGCAAUCAUCACACACUGAGAUUGGCAUUCUCUCGCAAAAUGUCCUCUUCCCUUACAAUAACGACAAAUAAUAUCACUUGUGUGCCCUGUUGAUGCCAUGGAAGAAGAAGAGCUCUGCGCAGGUCCGGCAGGUGUGCUCUUGGCAGAUAGUGGUGGUUGUGCCUGCUUCUUGUAUCACGGCUGGAGGUGGCACCUGAUGGAGGUGCUGGUGGAGUGGAAGUAGAGGAUGCACGUGGUGUCCAUGAUGAAGAUCGACCUGCAGAAAAGUUAGUUCGCGCCAAUGCCUGUCGAUCCUGCACUUCAUGUUCAGCUUUACAAGCAAGAUGGAAUAAACGAGUGAUGUUAGUAUACUCAUUAAUCCACCCAUAAAACAUGCAAGCAUAGCUUCAUUCUCCUCAACAAUAACACAUCUAAUCAUGCCAGUUUGUAAUUCCUGAUAAUAUUCUUCUACAGAAUUUUUUCCUUGUCUUAAGCGCUGCAAUUUUUGAAGUAAUUCACGUUGAUAAUAUGGUGGAACCCAACGAGUACGCAUAGCAGUUUUCAAAGCAGCCCAAGUAGCUGGAAUAGGAUAUAAUCUACAAUGUUCAGACCACCAAACACAUGCAAAGCUAGUGAAAGCACAAAUAGCAGCAAGAACACGUCUCUCCUCAGGAUAUUGUAAACAUGUAAAUCGUUGCUCAGUUUCUAACUCCCAAGUAAGAUAUAUAUCAGGAACAUAUCUACCCUCAAAUGGUGGAAUAUUCAAUUUUAGUUUAGGGAGAUGGUCAUGAUCUCGUACCUGAGGGUGAGCCCUACCAUUGCCAUUAUUUGCAUGUGGACGACCUGGUGGUUGCGGUGCUGGUGGUGGCACGUAGUUCUGAUUUUGUUCAACCUCAUCCUCGUAAUCUCCUGCAAAAUCAUCCUCCUCCGCAUCAGCAGCAGGAGCCACAGAAGUAUCAACAACAUCACAAACAGUUUGGCCAGGUGCAAGAGGGAGACGGCUCGAUCGGCGGAGGGCUGUUUCGUGAUGUGGAGGUAGUCAUUGUUGUUGUUGUUGUAGAGGUGCGUUAGGUGCAGCCGGUGGUGGUGGUGGAAGACGCGCGAGCAAUUCAUUAAACCUGUUAUCGAGCUUUGUUUCGAACGUCUUCUCCAUGCCAUCUAUCUUCUCCAUGGCCUCUUCAAAUCUGUUUAGCACAUCUUGCACAUGUCCACUCAUCAUUUGCUGAAAUUUAUCAUGCAACUCCUUAUUCAUCAACUCAUGAUUUUUCAUUUUUUGUUUGUGAAAUCAUUCUUUAGUUGUCAAUACUUCUAAUAGCAUUACCCUCACUAAUUAAUAUUUGUGUACACGAGGUGAUGAAAACAAUACCUAAUAAUCUACAAUUGACAAUGCUCCUAUGGAUUAACCAGCACACGUUUUCCUUUCCUUUACUUUACAAUCACACACUUCCCUUUCCUUUACAAUCACAUACAUAUGUACAACACCAAUUAUCAUAGUAAAAGGGGUGGGUAUACAUAUAGGUACAUGAUAGAAACACUUCUUCAUCAUUGUUAGCUAUUUGACUUUAUGUUCAAGGCAUCCCUAAGACCGACACUAAGGUUAUACUGAUGGCCUUUCUUCCCAAAACCUACGGUCGAUUUUUGCAUCAUAGCCACAAACUCAUUGUAAUCUAUGCGUCCAUCCUGCAGGAACAUUUCCCACCAAAUAUGUUUGUCAGAUUCAAAAGACAUGAUUGAAUGAUAUUUUGUUGUUAUAGAUAAAAUCAUGGUUAAUAAAACUACAAGUGUAUUGUUGAUUGUUUAUAUUUGGUGAUCUUACAUUGUCCUGAUCUACUUCGCCUAUCAUGUCCUCAAGUCGAACAUCCUCAAUCCCAAACUCGUCGCAAGCCUGUUGGAGCUCGUCAGCCGUGAUGUAUCCACUGCCAUCCUUGUCAAAGUAUUGGAAGGCAGCAUAUAGAUGGUUGAUAGAGGCGGGGUGUCCCGAUCUUUCGAUGAGAUGAUAACUAUCGAUUUGGUGGAGACGACUUUGAUGAUCCGACUGCAAACGUGCACGACGUUGCGCCUUAGCAAUCGCUAAACCAAUCUCCUGAGGUUACUGACGAUGCUGGAAGCACGGUCAGCCUGACCACGAAGGUCUAUUCCUGCAAGCAAUCAAAGAACGAGCAAGAAUAUGAUAAAGCAAUCUGAAUAUUGCAAAUAUAUAUGAAGUAUUGAUAAUGGUGGGGAUCCGGAAGCGGUCUUGGUCUGGUCGUUGGACACAAACGAAGUACACGAAGUUGCAAUGGCUAACUUUUAACUAAACAAAUCCCAAGAAAAAGCUACUAGAUGGAUCUACUUAUAUAGGAGCAAGGGGUGGCGGACAAGGAGGUGGGACGACGUCCCAAGGCAGCCUAAAACUAAAUCUAGGUCGUACAAGGCCAAUGGGCCCAAGUGGAGGUGAUGUAACACCUUUGGACUUGUAGUUUGACUCGGAUUCUGCUGCAGCAUCAGAUUGUUUCGUCCACAACUCAACGCUCCGGACGAAUUUGAAGGUGAUUCCAAUUGGGUUGGAAAGUGCACGAAAUCUAGUUUCCAACAAAAAAAGAAUCACCCAAUUUGGAGUCCGUAUGAAAAACUUGUGUGCGUUUUGAGUCAGGUGUGUCUCUGCAGUCCGAAUCUGAAUCCAGAACGUGAGAGACUUGGACUCUAUCUUCUCUUGGGCCAAAAGUGACGUGAGAGAACUUUUUGGACAACAAAUAAACAUCUCUUUCUUCCUUAUCUUCAUAUGUGGAUUGUACAAAUGUCCCAUACACCUGCAAUUAGACAAAACACAAAAGUGUGUGAAGUAUUUUUGUUCUGGAUAACAUAAAUAGAUUAUUGAAUAGUUUGCACUAGAAAUCACCUGACAAAUAUGCAUAUAUGCAAUAUUUUUGGUCAUAUCCAAGGUAGUCAUGUCCUCAUCAUCCUCCCCUUCUUGAAAAUAAAGCCGUCCUCGGCGUUGCUUAAUCUGAAAUGUGGCUAACAAAAGAGACAAGGUGUACAUGUUGUAUAUGUAUAUGUCAUCCAUUUUUACUUCCCUUGAUUUUUGCAUAUAUGACACAUGAAUAGAUGAGUAACUUGCAUAGUUCAUAAAAUCUAAAGCCAAAAAAUUAGCACAAGAAGUAGAAGGCAUGAAAAUAUUGCAACUCAGUUUGCACAUAUAAGUGAAGCUCUUAUUCAUUUCAAAAGAUUGACAAUGUUCAUCAUUAAACCAUCCCAACAUUGGUGAAUAAACCUUACUUGCAUCAAAUUUACAUGCUACAACAUGCUUAAAUAAGAAACAUGCAAUAAGUCAUUCAACACAGAAUCAUCACCAAGAUUAGAGGUCAUAUCAAAAUGAUUAAACAUUGGUUCUUUUGCAUCAAUAGUUAAUUCAAUGGGUGCACUCAAAAUUGUUGGUAUUUCAGUUGUUUGAUCACAUGGCAAAGUCAAAUUAUCAACAUAGUACUCGAAAAUAGGUGGUGUGAUCAAAGUAGUGGGUAGCUCAUCAGAUGGUGCAUUCAAAUUGACAAGGCAUUCAUCAUUCUCAUGUAGAGAUGGAAGAUCAGUACCUUUGUCAUUACCUCUUAUGAUCAACUCAGAUGAUGUAGCCACUCUCGGGGGCGAUGUGUCACAUGGUGGAGGUGAUGUAGUCCUGACAACAACGGAUGAGGUUGUCAUAGUAUGCCUAGUAGUUGAAGGAACAAUCAUAUCAACUCUUGGAAUGUGCACCGUGCGCUUGUUCUCCUCGUGGCCAACACGUCGUUUUAUUUCCUGUUCAGCUUUGCAAGCAAGAUGAAACAAAUGGUCCAUAAGAUAACACUCUUCAUGAAUUAGUAUCUCUUGAAUAUCACGGUUUAAUCCUCCCCAAAAUCUAUCCAUAAAAUCAUCUUCACUUUCUUCUAAAGAGGAAUGCAACAAGGUAGUUUGUAAAUCAUCAUAAUAUUUUGUUACAGUUUCACUACCUUGUUUUAAGUGUUGCAACUUCUUAAUCAUGUCACGAGUAUAAUAAGCAGGGACGAAAGUAUGUCGCAUGGCAAGUUUCAAAUCAUCCCAAGUAGUAGGUAUAUAAUCAAGGUGUAACCGACAAUAUUCACUCCACCAAACCAAAGCAUAACAGUGAAAGAACCAACCGCAACCUUAACCUUUUUAUGUUCAUUGAAAUUAUGGGAAGCAAAUAUAUGUUUUAUGUCGAACUCCCAUUCAAUAUAUAAAGCAGGUUUAAAACGGCCAUUAAAUGGUGGUAUAGAUACAUUAACCUGAUCAUGUGCAUUUGGAUGUUUGUGCACCUCUCGUGACGGUUGUGGUAUUUGCAAAGGUGGUGGCACGUCUCCCGCGAUCGACAAAGUCCAUGAAUUGACUAUGGAUCCUGUCAUGAUUAGUAGAACAAGAAACAAAACCCAAAAAUAAUGUUCCUAUAACUACUAGGAUGUGGUGGUAAAACGCUCACAGUAAAGCAAAUAUCAAUGUCUUACAAGUUCUUACCAUGCAGCAGGCGGUGAUCGGCAACCAGCGGUGUCAAGUAACUCCGAAUAUUGAGUAAAGCGAUUGCCAGGGGAGUGUACGUAUACACGAUGUAGAAAUAUGUGGAGCUGGGUUGGCUAUAUAUGGUAGCAAAAGAUUAGCAAUAAUCAAUUCAAAGAUGCAAUGUUGAAUAAACGCUCAACGACGGUACUGUGCUGGUCCUAGGCUAGACCGGACUAGAGACGCGAGCCUAGAACACUAAUGAGGUCACGGCGUAGCACAACUAGCAUCAAUGAAGGAUACUAAGUAGCUCUUGACAGCAAGAUAUAAGUGAAGAUCACAACGACAGUGAAGAUAAUGAUGAAAAACAACUGCCAAGCAGGAUAUACAACAACUCUCUCUCCAACUUUCCUCUUGAAAAGUUUGAGACAAUUUUCUGAUAAAUUCUUUCAAAGAAUGCUACUAACUCAAGCUUUCCAAUGCAAAAAGAAUCACUCAAUUCCGAGUUGAUAUGAGGAGUCAAAGAAUUCUAAAACUGGCCUGAAAAAUUGGAACAAGCUGUGUUCAUGAACUUCAGAGGGCAAAAAGACCUAUUUAGAAGCCGAUUUUGAGGUGUCAAAUAUUGACCUAGUUUCUGCAACUAUUUAGAUGCGGCUCGUCUCUAGCUUCAAUUUGAGUACUCACGGAGCCAAAACGGACUUCGUAUGAUGAAGAUACACCUGUUUUACUGAACAGUGCGCAAAACAGAUUCCAAUCCAAAUUCAGGUACGAGAUUGAUUCUAGAUAGAUCCAUUUUUUUUUCUUCUCUCUUUUUUUUCUCACGCUUUUUUUUUCUUUUUCUUCUCUCUCUUUUUCUUUUUUUUUCCUUUUUUCUCUUUUUUUUCUCUAUCUUUUUUUUUCCCAAGACAAACUAGAUAAGAUGCAGAUUGGAUCAGGCGAAGAUGUGAAUGACCUCAACUAUGAUUAUGACAAUGAACAGUGCGUAGCACGUGGUGGAAAUUAAUAGAUGGGAUGGUGGACAGCGGAAGGGAUAAUGAUGCAGCGGCGGCGUGACUAAUGUGAACAGAACUCGAAACUCUAAAGGAACUAGACGCUAAGACCAGCAACUUACACGACAAUGCAACCGAUAAUUCAACUAUGCAAGCAAUGAAUAGAAAAUUGCAAAGGCUCAGACUGGCUUGGAUAAAGGAUGAACAGAUCUAACUUUUUUUUGUGUGGCUUUUUCUUGGACAAUAGGUAAGAAAAUAAAUAUAAUCUAGGAAAAACUGGAAAUUCUCACCGAGCAACCUGAAAACUGAUACCAAUUGAUAGAGGCGGGGUGUCCCGAUCUUUCGAUGAGAUGAUAACUAUCGAUUUGGUGGAGACGACUUUGAUGAUCCGACUACAAACGUGCACGACGUUGCGCCUUAGCAAUCGCUAAACCAAUCUCCUGAGGUUACUGACGAUGCUGGAAGCACGGUCAGCCUGACCACGAAGGUCUAUUCCUGCAAGCAAUCAAAGAACGAGCAAGAAUAUGAUAAAGCAAUCUGAAUAUUGCAAAUAUAUAUGAAGUAUUGAUAAUGGUGGGGAUCCGGAAGCGGUCUUGGUCUGGUCGUUGGACACAAACGAAGUACACGAAGUUGCAAUGGCUAACUUUUAACUAAACAAAUCCCAAGAAAAAGCUACUAGAUGGAUCUACUUAUAUAGGAGCAAGGGGUGGCAGCCAAGGAGGUGGGAGGACGUCCCAAGGCAGCCUAAAACUAAAUCUAGGUCGUACAAGGCCAAUGGGCCCAAGUGGAGGUGAUGUAACACCUUUGGACUUGUAGUUUGACUUGGAUUCUGCUGCAGCAUCAGAUUGUUUCGUCCACAACUCAACGCUCCGGACGAAUUUGAAGGUGAUUCCAAUUGGGUUGGAAAGUGCACAAAAUCUAGUUUCCAACAAAAAAAGAAUCACCCAAUUCGGAGUCCGUAUGAAAAACUUGUGUGCGUUUUGAGUCAGGUGUGUCUCUGCAGUCCGAAUCUGAAUCCAGAACGUGAGAAACUUGGACUCUAUCUUCUCUUGGGCCAAAAGUGACGUGAGAGAACUUUUUGGACAGCAAAUAAACAUCUCUUUCUUCCUUAUCUUCAUAUGUGGAUUGUACAAAUGUCCCAUACACCUGCAAUUAGACAAAACACAAAAGUGUGUGAAGUAUUUUUGUCCUGGAUAACAUAAAUAGAUUAUUGAAUAGUUUGCACUAGAAAUCACCUGACAAAUAUGCAUAUAUGCAAUAUUUUUGGUCAUAUCCAAGGUAGUCAUGUCCUCAUCAAUGGUGAUAGAGGCAAAGGUGUCCCGUCUUUCGAUGAGAUGAUGGAUAUCGCUUUGGUGGCAGUCGACUUUGACGAUCCGACUACGAACGUGCGAGGACGUCGCACCUUAGCAAUCGCUAACCAACUCCGAGAGGUUAUUGACCACGCCGGAGCACGAUCAACCUGACCACGAGGGUCUGUUUCCUGCGAGCAAACGAAGAACCAGCAAGAAACUGAGAUUGAACUCUGGAUAUUGCGAAUAUAAGAUGAAAGCUUUAUUGAUCAAGGUGGGGUUCUGUGACGCCUUUGUUUGGUCGUUGAACACAAACGAAGUACGCGAAGUUGCAGCUAUGGCGAACUUUUAAUCUAAACAAAACCCAAAGUCUAAACGGUGCCCUAAGGGCUGUAUAUAUGGAGGAAGAGAGGGGGAAUUUCGUGGCCCUUGGUGGAGGGGUCCGAAAUCAACCCUAUCUCUUGUUUCCCCACACAUACGGACUCUAAAAAUAGCCUAUACUUAUGUAUUUCGAAAUUACAUGGGCCUGGCCCAAUAAAAAGGUGAUGCAGCACCUAUAAUAGCCUCGGGACGAAAUUUAUGAAGUGGCAUCUUGUAUAUUUCGUCCAAGGCUUCAUGCACCCAUUAUGGUGGCUUCAAAGUCCUGAAAUCAUCACUUGUAACUCCGUUCUUGUUCCCCUUGCGCAUGGCAUCAUCUUCAUGCUUGUUCUUGCUCCAAUGUUCAUCCUUGUCCAAGCUAGGCCCUUCAUUUGUAAGCAAAACAAAUGUAUCCAAUUUAGGCAGCAUCAUAUUCUCAUGAACAUUAGAAUCAUUACCAAGAAACGAAAGUACCUGAUAAUUUAAUUGGCCUGCGCGAGCUCUAGUAAUUGGUCCCGUAUAUGUAGCAGUAGGGGCUGUGGGUGUAACAAUGGUAUUGAUGUCCUCAUCAUCCUCCCCUUCUUGAAAUGAAGUCGUCCUCGACGGAAACUCAUCUUCCUCAUCCAAAUAAGGCUUCAAAUCUGCAAUGUUAAAAGUGGGACUAACCCCAAAAUCUGCAGGCAGCUCAAGUUUAUAUGCAUUAUCAUUUAUUUUCUCUAACACCUUAAAGGGACCAUCAGCACGUGGCAUUAGCUUUGAUUUGCGCAAAUCAGGAAAUCUAUCCUUACGCAAAUGUAACCAAACAAGAUCUCCAGGUGCAAACACAACAUGUUUUCUACCCUUAUCUCCAGCAAGUUUAUAUUUAGCAUUCAUACGCUUAAUGUUUUCCUUAGUUAACUCAUGCAUUUUUAAAAUCAAUUUAGCACGUUGUUUAGCAUCAAAAUUAACCUUCUCCGAAGAUGGAAGAGGCAACAAAUCAAUUGGUGCACGAGGUAGGAAACCAUACACAACUUCAAAAGGGCACAUCUUAGUAGUAGAAUGCAAUGAACGAUUAUAAGCAAAUUCAAUAUGAGGCAAGCAUUCCUCCCACAUUUUCUUAUUAUUCUUCGAAACAGCCCUAAGCAUAGUAGACAACGUUCUAUUGACUACUUCAGUUUGUCCAUCAGUUUGGGGGUGACAAGUAGUACUAAAAAGCAGUUUAGUUCCCAACUUAGCCCAUAAACAUCUCCAAAAGUGGCUAAGAAAUUUAGUAUCACGAUCUGAAACAAUAGUAUUUGGCACACCAUGCAAGCGAAUAAUUUCACGAAAGAACAAAUCAGCAACAUUAACAGCAUCAUCGCUUUUAUGACAUGGUAUAAAGUGUGCCAUUUUCGAGAAUCUAUCCACGACAACAAAUAUGCUAUCCCUCUGAUAGAGGCAAAGGUGUCCCGUCUUUCGAUGAGAUGAUGGAUAUCGCUUUGGUGGAAGUUGACUUUGACAAUCCGACUACGAACGUGCGAGGACGUCGCGCCUUAGCAAUCGCUAAACCAACUCCGAGAGGUUAUUGACCACGCCGGAGCAUGAUCAACCUGACCACGAGGGUCUGUUUCCUGCGAGCAAACGAAGAACAAGCAAGAAACUGAGAUUGCAAUCUGGAUAUUGCGAAUAUAAGAUGAAAGCUUUAUUGAUCAAGGUGGGGUUCUGUGACGCCUUUGUCUGGUCGUUGAACACAAACGAAGUACGCGAAGUUGCAGCUAUGGCGAACUUUUAAUCUAAACAAAACCCAAGGAAAAGCUACUAGAUGGAUCUACUUAUAUAGGAGCAAGGGGUGGCGGCCAAGGAGGUGGGAGGACGUCCCAAGGCAGCCUAAAACUAAAUCUAGGUCGUACAAGGCCAAUGGGCCCAAGUGGAGGUGAUGUAACACCUUUGGACUUGUAGUUUGACUCGGAUUCUGCUGCAGCAUCAGAUUGUUUCGUCUACAACUCAACGCUCCGGUCGAAUUUGAAGGUGAUUCCAAUUGGGUUGGAAAGUGCACGAAAUCAUGUUUCCAACAAAAGAAGAAUCACCCAAUUCGGUGUCCGUAUGAAAAACUUGUGUGCAUUUUGAGUCAGGUAUGUCUGUGCAGUCCGAAUCUGAAUCCAGAACGUGAGAGACUUGGACUCUAUCUUCUCUUGGGCCAAAAGUGACGUGAGAGAACUUUUUGGGCAGGAAAUAAACAUCUCUUUCUUCCUUAUCUUCAUAUGUGGAUUGUACAAAUGUCCCAUACACCUGCAAUUAGACAAAACACAAAAGUGUGUGAAGUAUUUUUGUUCUGGAUAACACAAAUAGAUUAUUGAAUAGUUUGCACUAGAAAUCACCUGACAAAUAUGCAUAUAUGCAAUAUUUUUGGUCAUAUCCAAGGUAGUCAUGUCCUCAUCAUCCUCCCCUUCUUGAAAAUAAAGCCGUCCUCGGCAUUGCUUAAUCUGAAAUGUGGCUAACAAAAGAGACAAGAUGUACAUGUUGUAUAUGUAUAUGUCAUCCAUUUUUACUUCCCUUGAUUUUUGCAUAUAUGACACAUGAAUAGAUGAGUAACUUGCAUAGUUCAUAAAAUCUAAAGCCAAAAAAUUAGCACAAGAAGUAGAAGGCAUGAAAAUAUUGCAACUCAGUUUGCACAUAUAAUUGAAGCUCUUAUUCAUUUCAAAAGAUUGACAAUGUUCAUCAUUAAACCAUCCCAACACUGGUGAAUAAACCUUACUUGCAUCAAAUUUACAUGCUACAACAUGCUUAAAUAAGCAAACAUGCAAUAAGUCAUUCAACACAGAAUCAUCACCAAGAUUAGAGGUCAUAUCAAAAUGAUUAAACAUUGGUUCUUUUGCAUCGAUAGUUAAUUCAAUGGGUGCACUCAAAAUUGUUGGUAUUUCAGUUGUUUGAUCACAUGGCAAAGUCAAAUUAUCAACGUAGUCCUCUAAAAUAGGUGGUGUGAUCAAAGUAGUGGGUAGCUCAUCAGAUGGUGCAUUCAAAUUGACAAGGCAUUCAUCAUUCUUAUGUAGAGAUGGAAGAUCAGUACCUUUGUCAUUACCUCUUAUGAUCAACUCAGAUGAUGUAGCCACUCUCGGGGGUGAUGUGUCACAUGGUGGAGGUGAUGUAGUCCUGACAACAACGGAUGUGGUUGUCAUAGUAUGCCUAGUAGUUGAAGGAACAAUCAUAUCAACUCUUGGAAUGUGCACCGUGCGCUUGUUCUCCUCGUGGCCAACACGUCGUUUUAUUUCCUGUUCAGCUUUGCGAGCAAGAUGAAACAAAUGGUCCAUAGGAUAACACUCUUCAUGAAUUAGUAUCUCUUGAAUAUCACGGUUUAAUCCUCCCCAAAAUCUAUCCAUAAAAUCAUCUUCACUUUCUUCUAAAGAGGAAUGCAACAAGGUAGUUUGUAAAUCAUCAUAAUAUUUUGUUACAGUUUCACUACCUUGUUUUAAGUGUUGCAACUUCUUAAUCAUGUCACGAGUAUAAUAAGCAGGGACGAAAGUAUGUCGCAUGGCAAGUUUCAAAUCAUCCCAAGUAGUAGGUAUAUAAUCAGGGUGUAACCGACAAUAUUCACUCCACCAAACCAAAGCAUAACCAGUGAAAGAACCAACCGCAACCUUAACCUUUUUAUGUUCAUUGAAAUUAUGGGAAGCAAAUAUAUUUUUUAUGUCGAACUCCCAUUCAAUAUAUAAAGCAGGUUUAAAACGGCCAUUAAAUGGUGGUAUAGAUACAUUAACCUCAUCAUGUGCAUUUGGAUGUUUGUGCACCUCUCGUGACGGUUGUGGUAUUUGCAAAGGUGGUGGCACGUCUCCCGCGAUCGACAAAGCCCAUGAAUUGACUCUGGAUCCUGUCAUGAUUAGUAGAACAAGAAACAAAACCCAAAAAUAAUGUUCCUAUAAUUACUAGGAUGUGGUGGUAAAACGCUCACAGUAAAGCAAAUAUCAAUGUCUUACAAGUUCUUAUCAUGCAGCAGGCGGUGAUCGGCAACCAGCGGUGUCAAGUAACUCCGAAUAUUGAGUAAAGCGAUUGCCAGGGGAGCGUACGUAUACACGGUGUAGAAAUAUGUGGAGCUGGGUUGGCUAUAUAUGGUAGCAAAAGAUUAGCAAUAAUCAAUUCAAAGAUGCAAUGUUGAAUAAACGCUCAACGACGGUACUGUGCUGGUCCUAGGCUACACCGGACUAGAGACGCGAGCCUAGAACACUAAUGAGGUCAUGGCGUAGCACAACUAGCAUCAAUGAAGGAUACUAAGUAGCUCUUGACAGCAAGAUAUAAGUGAAGAUCACAACGGCAGUGAAGAUAAUGAUGAAAAACAACUGCCAAGCAGGAUAUACAACAACUCUCUCUCCAACUUUCCUCUUGAAAAGUUUGAGACAAUUUUCUGAUAAAUUCUUUCAAAGAAUGCUACUAACUCAAGCUUUCCAAUGCAAAAAGAAUCACUCAAUUCCGAGUUGAUAUGAGGAGUCAAAGAAUUCUAAAACUGGCCUGAAAAAUUGGAACAUGUUGUGUUCACGAACUUCGGAGGGCAAAAAGACCUAUUUAGAAGCCGAUUUUGAGGUGUCAAAUAUUGAACUAGCUUCUGCAACUAUUUAGAUGCGGCUCGUCGCUAUCUUCAAUUUGAGUACUCAUGGAGCCAAAACUGACUUCGUAUGACGAAGAUACACCUGUUUUACUGAACAGUGCGCAAAACAGAUUCCAAUCCGAAUUCAGGUACGAGAUUGAUCCUAGAUAGAUCCAAUUUUUUUUCUUCUCUCUUUUUUUUCUCACGCCUUUUUUUUCUUUUUCUUCUCCCUCUUUUUCUUUUUUUUUCUUUCCUUUUUUCUCUUUUUUUUCUUUAUCUUCUUUUUCUCCCUCUUUCCAAGACAAACUAGAUAAGAUGCAGAUUCGAUCAGGCGAAGAUGUGAGUGACCUCAACUAUGAUUAUGACAAUAAACAGUGCAUAGCAUAUGGUGGAAAUUGGUGGAUGGGAUGGUGGACAGCGGAUGGGAUAAUGAUGCAGCGGCUGCGUGACUAAUGUGAACAGAACUCGAAACUCUAAAGGAACUAGACACUAAGACCAGCAACUCGACACGGUGAUGCAACCGAUAAUUCAAUAAUGCAAACAAUGAAAAGAAAAUUGCAAAGGCUCAGUCUGGCUAGGAGAAAGGAUGAAUAGAUCUAACUUUUGUUUUGUGGCUUUUUCUUGGACAAUAGGUAAGAAAAUAAAUCUAAUCUAGGAAAAACUGGAAAUUCUCACCGAGCAACCUGAAAACUGAUACCACUUGAUAGAGGCAAAGGUGUCCCGUCUUUCGAUGAGAUGAUGGAUAUCGCUUUGGUGGCAGUCGACUUUGACGAUCCGACUACGAACGUGCGAGGACGUCGUGCCUUAGCAAUCGCUAAACCAACUCCGAGAGGUUAUUGACCAUGCCGGAGCACGAUCAACCUAACCACGAGGGUCUGUUUCCUGCGAGCAAACGAAGAACAAGCAAGAAACUGAGAUUGCAAUCUGGAUAUUGCGAAUAUAAGAUGAAAGCUUUAUUGAUCAAGGUGGGGUUCUGUGACGCCUUUGUCUGGUCGUUGAACACAAACGAAGUACGCGAAGUUGCAGCUAUGGCGAACUUUUAAUCUAAACAAAACCCAAGGAAAAGCUACUAGAUGGAUCUACUUAUAUAGGAGCAAGGGGUGGCGGCCAAGGAGGUGGGAGGACGUCCCAAGGCAGCCUAAAACUAAAUCUAGGUCGUACAAGGCCAAUGGGCCCAAGUGGAGGUGAUGUAACACCUUUGGACUUGUAGUUUGACUCGGAUUCUGCUGCAGCAUCAGAUUGUUUCGUCCACAACUCAACGCUCCGGACGAAUUUGAAGGUGAUUCCAAUUGGGUUGGAAAGUGCACGAAAUCUUGUUUCCAACAAAAAAAGAAUCACCCAAUUCGGUGUCCGUAUGAAAAACUUGUGUGCGUUUUGAGUCAGGUAUGUCUGUGCAGUCCGAAUCUGAAUCCAGAACGUGAGAGACUUGGACUCUAUCUUCUCUUGGGCCAAAAGUGACGUGAGAGAACUUUUUGGGCAGCAAAUAAACAUCUCUUUCUUCCUUAUCUUCAUAUGUGGAUUGUACAAAUGUCCCAUACACCUGCAAUUAGACAAAACACAAAAGUGUGUGAAGUAUUUUUGUUCUGGAUAACACAAAUAGAUUAUUGAAUAGUUUGCACUAGAAAUCACCUGACAAAUAUGCAUAUAUGCAAUAUUUUUGGUCAUAUCCAAGGUAGUCAUGUCCUCAUCAAGAGUGGCAGCUAUGAACUCUCCAUAGUCUAUGGUACCACUGUUGUCAAUAUCGGCCUAAAGAAUGAAGUGAAAAAAAUGAAAAAUUACAUCACUUUUGGGUUACAAGUAGUAGCGAAGUUAAUCAAUAUACCAAUGUUCCAUCAUCUUUACAAUUACCAUAACAUGUAAUACUUUGAUUGAUCAAUACCUACUACCAAAUGCAAGAACUUGACUCGUAAUUAUUUUGUGUGAGCUGAAUUAGCUAUAAUUUAGAUGAUGCAUCAUAUUGGUUAUUGUGUUUGUUUGAUUCUUCUCUAUAAUUUAAAUGGAAGACUAUGAGUCCUAAAGGAUUAUGAACAUCCUAAUACACAAGCACACACACCCACCCACCCACCCCGUCUGCAUGUUGUCACUUCAUGCCUCCAAACGUCCAGCUACUACUUGUGUCGCUAUAUUUACUUCUCUUGUUGUUGAUAGAUCAAUAUGCAAGCAGGCAAGAGAAAGUGGAGAGGAAUACAUCCACUAAGUCGUCCUGAGUCAACAAUGGGAAGAUGUAACUGUUGGAACCAAAAAAACUAUUGGAAUGUGCCCACAUCCCGCUCGUUAGGUGGCUAGCCAUGUAGUCAGCGUCAUCCGCAUCUCCAACAACUGCAUGCAGUUCGUCCUUAUCUUCUCCUGCAUGCUAUUGAUAACCGGCUAAUGCCGUUGUACUCUCCCACGCCUCACUUCCUUCUCUCAAGUAAAUUGUAUAUAUGUACGCCUGAUGCAUGAAUACAACCAGCGUGUGAGAGCGCAUAACUCAACUUGGUAUCAGACGCAGGUACCUCCGAUCCUCCUCUCUCUCAACACUUCUGCCAUGCAUGGCCUUCUUUGCCGCACUCGUUCGGCCGACUUCGACGCGCUGGCUUCCGAUCAGUUCGCCCCCGUCCCGCUCGCCACCGCUGCACCCGCCGCGGUCACCCAGUCCCAGGCCGCGUUGUCACCGCGGCCCCAGCUCCGCGCCAUGUGCACCUCGGCGAUCUAGGCAAGGCACCUAUGUCUGAAGGCUCUGCGGCCCCUUCCUCCCCCGCGCGGCGCCCCCUGCGGCGCCUCUCGCCUCCGCGCCGCCCACGGGCGACCUCCGGACUGCCGGUAGCACCCCUGCCCCGCGUCUUGGCAACCUCGACAAUGUCAUCAUUCCCCACCUUGGCCUUGGCAGCUUUGACGCCCGUCCUUCCUCCUCUGCCGGCCUCCCGCCCUUGAUCGCGCAUUACUUCACCACCAGACUACACCUCGAGUCCGGUAACUACUCGCGUUGGCGUCAACUUUUUUACAUCAUUACUUGCAAGCACGAGGUGCAACACCACCUCGACGCCGCUACCGAGCCACUUGGCCAGAGCGCCGUGUGGCGCAACGACAAUUUGACGUUGGUGCUGUGGCUGCAUGCGUCAUCGCCGAGGAGCUCAUGGACAUCGUGGCGUCUCCGGCCAGCUCCGCCCACGACAUCUAGACCCAGCUUCACGUCCUCUUCAUCGACAACCAGCUGGGUCAUGCCGUCAUCCUCGACGCUGAGAUUCGAAACAUCGUCCAGGGUGACCUCUCCGUCGCCGAGUAUAGCCGCAGGUUCAAGUCCCUAGCUGACGCGCUCGAAGAUGUUGGCGAGCACAUCUCCAAUCAGGCCCUCACUCCACAGCUCAUCCGCGGGCUCAACAGCAAGUUCCAGAUCAUGGCGGCGCUCCUCCCAAUGCAGUCGCCAUUCCCCACCUUCUUGCAGGCUCGCUCUCGCCUCCUCGUGGAGGAAAUCUCUGCCAAUGAGAGGCCUCAGCUGGACGGCCAUCCGAAGCUCCCCGCCGCUGCGCUCAACAUCAGGCACGGGCCGAGCGGCGGCUCCUCCUCCUCUGAUUGCGGAUCGGGUGGUGACUCUGCCAACAAGGGCAAAGGCCCUGCUGCCUCCAACCAGCGACAAGGGCAGCACCGUCAUCAUCCUCGAGCGGGCCCACCUCGGAGCAGUACAACCAGCUGUAUGCUUCUCUCCAGGGCCUCUCCAUGCAACAGCAGCACGUCGGCGGCACGCCGGACUGGUUCCUCGACACGGGUGCUACGUCGCACAUCGUUGGUAAGAUGGACCUCCUCACCUUGUUUGGUUCUCCUUCAUUGCGUCAUUCCACUAGCAUCUUAGUAGGCAACGGUUCUCAUCUCCCCAUUAUUGUCGUAGGCUCUACCUCUCUUUCUAAUUUUACACUGAAUGACGUACAUAUAUCUCCUACCAUCAUCAAGAACUUAAUUUCUGUACAUCAUUUCACUCAUGAUAAUUUUUGCUCCAUCACUUUUGACCCCUUCGGUUUUUUCGUGAAGGACCUAGCCAUGGGGAAGCUAAUCAUGAGGUCCAAUAGCCAUGGGGACCUCUAUCCUUUCUUCAACAACUCCGGCGUCCAAGCGGUGCUCUCGGUCGUCACCGAUGACAUAUGGCAUCUUCGUUUAGGGCAUGCUAGCAAUAAAUCAGUUUCCCUCCUAGCACGUGAUUUCCUUCCAAAUUGUAAUAAAGAUAUGCCUAGUACUUCCAUUUGCUCGUCAUGUAAACUAGGCAAGCAGCCUCGGCUACCCUUUUCCCAUUCCAUAUCAAAAACAAGUGCACCUUGUCAAUUAGUACAUUGUGACUUGUGGACCUCGCCAGUGCAUAGUUUUUCUAGUUUUCAGUAUUAUCUAGUGAUUCUCGAUGACUACUCACACUACUCCUGGACGUUCCCAUUGCGCGGCAAAUCUGACACCACCGACACCAUCACUCGCUUAUUUGCGUAUGUUCUCACACAAUUUCACGUUACAAUUCAAUGUAUGCAAUGCGACAACGGGGGCGAGUUUCUCACUUCUUCCUUGCGUGAGCUCUUCUUUAGAUACGGUGCUUCCUUCCGUUUAUCUUGUCCCCACACCUCUCCGCAAAACGGGAAGGACGAACGCCUUAUACGCACAACCAACGAUGUUCUCUGUGUGCUCCUCAUCCACGCCCACCUCCCAUCCCAUUUUGGGUCCAAGCACUCCAUACCGCCACCUACAUCCUCAACUGUCCUCCCUCGUCGGCCAUCAAUUUCGUGACGCUGCACUUCGCUCUUCUUGGCCAACAUCCCACAUACGACCACAUGCAUGACUUUGGGUGUCUUUGUUUCCCCAACACCAUGGCCACUAGUCCGCAUAAACUCGCUCCACAUUCAUCCCGUUGUGUUUUCCUCGGGUAUCCUCUAGAGCACAAGGGCUACCAGUGUCUUGACCUAUCUACUCGCAAGGUGAUUAUUUCCCGGCACGUUACGUUCGACGAGAGUGUUUUCCCCUACUUCUCUGUCGAUCACCCAUGCUCCUCCGUGCUUCCCUUGGACAUAGAAAAUCCCACCCCGAUCUGCCCCGUAACCUAUGCGCCAACCUCGUACGGACCACCGGGAUCCAUGCGUGUCCUUCCUACCAGCUCCACCUCUUAGCCAAUCCCUCGGACGCCCCUGCCCUCACCAACCGCACCACGGGACCCGCCCCCCAUGCAUGCCUCCUCUCCACCACUCAGCCGACUGCAAAACCCCCGCACACCAGCCCGCUGGACCCGCCACCCACGCCCCCAGCUGCCAGCCCUCUGGCCUCCUCGCCUCGCACGCCUCACUCCCCACCUGCGCCUGACCCUACAUGCAAACGCGCCACCCCACCAGUACCUGCCCCAGAGACCUCCCAUGCAGCCAGUCCAUGCGCACCACUUGUCGAUUCUCUCCCCCCACGCGUUGUUCCAAUUGCACCACCGGAGAACCUCCAUCGUAUGCGCACCCGCGGCAAAUCUGGCUUUGCCCAGCCCAAGGCACUUCACGCCUCGACACCCUCCAUCAGUCCCACUCCCUCCUCCUACCGUGCUGCCCUUCGAGACCCAAACUGGUAUGUUGCGAUGCUAGAGGAAUAUAACACACUGAUGCAGGAUAAUACUUGGUGGUUAGUGUCUCGUCCUGAAGGUGCCAAUGUUGUUACAUGGAAGUGGAUUUUCCGGUACAAGUUUCAUCCAGACGGCAUGCUCACCUGGUACAAGGCGCGGUGGGUACUUCGCAGUUUCAUGCAACAGGACGGCAUCGACUACGCCGAGACUUUCAGUCCCAUGGUCAAACCGGCAACCAUUCAGACUGUUCUGAGCCUCGCCGCCGGCAAGGCGUGGCCCAUAGAUCAGCUGGACGUCAAGAACGCCUUCCUCGGCCAUCUUGUGGAGACGGUCUACAGCCGCCAGCCUUCCGGCUUCGUCAACACCUCCUCGCCCUCGCAUGUGCACCGGCUGAACCAUUCUCUCUACGGUAUCAAGCAGGCGCCUUGGGCGUGGUUCACUAGGUUCACGAUGUACUUGCGGACGGUUGGCUUCAUCGCGUCACGGGCGGACUCGUCGCUCUUCGUCCUUCGGCGUGGUGCUCACCUCACCUACUUGCUCCUCUACGUCAACGGCAUCAUCCUCACCGCCAGCUCGGGCGCGGUACUCAACUCUGUCAUCCAGGCUCUUCACCGCGAGUUCUCUAUGACCGAUCUCGGUGCAUUCCACCACUUCCUUAGCAUCAACGUCACCGCCACCGCGCGCGGCUUGUUCCUUUCCCAGGAACAAUACGCCCUAGAGAUCCUCGACCGUGCCGGCAUACUCAACUGCAAGCCCAUCUCCACUCCGGUCGACACGCUGGCCAAGCUCUCCACCGACACUGGCCCGCUCUUCCACAACCCGUCGCUCUACCAUAGCCUGGCCGGGGCACUACAGUACAUCACGUUGACGCGGCCCGAUCUCUCUUAUGCCGUCCAACAGUGUUGUAUGUUCAUGCAUGCCCCCCACGAUUGCCACUUUCAGCUCGUGAAGCGCAUUCUUCGGUACCUGUGUGGCACGACUCAUCUCAGGCUUCGGAUCCAUCGCGACGCCGGCACUGAGCUCGUGGCUUACUCUAACGCCGACUGGGCUGGCUGCCCAGACACGCGCAAGUCCACAUUAGGCUAUUGUGUCUUCCUCGACUCCAACCUCCUCACAUGGUCAUCCAAACGGCAGAGCACCGUUUCUCGUUCGAGUGCCAAGGCCGAGUACAGGGCGGUCGCCAACGCGGUCGCCGAGUCGGUAUGGCUCCGCCAGCUACUUGGUGAGCUUCACCAACCGCCAUCCCGUGCCACGGUCAUCUACUAAGACAAGAUCAGUGUUGUGUACAUGUCGAGCAACCCGGUGCAACACGAACGCACGAAGCACAUCGAGAUCGAUCUCCACUUUGUGCGCGAGCGUGUGGCUCUGGGUGAGAUCCGCGUUCUCCACGUACCGACGAGCUCGUGGUUCGCCGACAUCUUCACCAAGGGGCUACCAACGGGCGUCUUCCUCGACNNNNNNNNNNNNNNNNNNNNNNNNNNNNNNNNNNNNNNNNNNNNNNNNNNNNNNNNNNNNNNNNNNNNNNNNNNNNNNNNNNNNNNNNNNNNNNNNNNNNNNNNNNNNNNNNNNNNNNNNNNNNNNNNNNNNNNNNNNNNNNNNNNNNNNNNNNNNNNNNNNNNNNNNNNNNNNNNNNNNNNNNNNNNNNNNNNNNNNNNNNNNNNNNNNNNNNNNNNNNNNNNNNNNNNNNNNNNNNNNNNNNNNNNNNNNNNNNNNNNNNNNNNNNNNNNNNNNNNNNNNNNNNNNNNNNNNNNNNNNNNNNNNNNNNNNNNNNNNNNNNNNNNNNNNNNNNNNNNNNNNNNNNNNNNNNNNNNNNNNNNNNNNNNNNNNNNNNNNNNNNNNNNNNNNNNNNNNNNNNNNNNNNNNNNNNNNNNNNNNNNNNNNNNNNNNNNNNNNNNNNNNNNNNNNNNNNNNNNNNNNNNNNNNNNNNNNNNNNNNNNNNNNNNNNNNNNNNNNNNNNNNNNNNNNNNNNNNNNNNNNNNNNNNNNNNNNNNNNNNNNNNNNNNNNNNNNNNNNNNNNNNNNNNNNNNNNNNNNNNNNNNNNNNNNNNNNNNNNNNNNNNNNNNNNNNNNNNNNNNNNNNNNNNNNNNNNNNNNNNNNNNNNNNNNNNNNNNNNNNNNNNNNNNNNNNNNNNNNNNNNNNNNNNNNNNNNNNNNNNNNNNNNNNNNNNNNNNNNNNNNNNNNNNNNNNNNNNNNNNNNNNNNNNNNNNNNNNNNNNNNNNNNNNNNNNNNNNNNNNNNNNNNNNNNNNNNNNNNNNNNNNNNNNNNNNNNNNNNNNNNNNNNNNNNNNNNNNNNNNNNNNNNNNNNNNNNNNNNNNNNNNNNNNNNNNNNNNNNNNNNNNNNNNNNNNNNNNNNNNNNNNNNNNNNNNNNNNNNNNNNNNNNNNNNNNNNNNNNNNNNNNNNNNNNNNNNNNNNNNNNNNNNNNNNNNNNNNNNNNNNNNNNNNNNNNNNNNNNNNNNNNNNNNNNNNNNNNNNNNNNNNNNNNNNNNNNNNNNNNNNNNNNNNNNNNNNNNNNNNNNNNNNNNNNNNNNNNNNNNNNNNNNNNNNNNNNNNNNNNNNNNNNNNNNNNNNNNNNNNNNNNNNNNNNNNNNNNNNNNNNNNNNNNNNNNNNNNNNNNNNNNNNNNNNNNNNNNNNNNNNNNNNNNNNNNNNNNNNNNNNNNNNNNNNNNNNNNNNNNNNNNNNNNNNNNNNNNNNNNNNNNNNNNNNNNNNNNNNNNNNNNNNNNNNNNNNUAACACCUUAAAGGGACCAUCAGCACGUGGCAUUAGCUUUGAUUUGCGCAAAUCAGGAAAUCUAUCCUUACACAAAUGUAACCAAACAAGAUCUCCAGGUGCAAACACAACAUGUUUUCUACCCUUAUCUCCAGCAAGUUUAUAUUUAGCAUUCAUACGCUCAAUGUUUUCCUUAGUUAACUCAUGCAUUUUUAAAAUCAAUUCAGCACGUUGUUUAGCAUCAAAAUUAACCUUCUCCGAAGAUGGAAGAGGCAACAAAUCAAUAGGUGCACGAGGUAGGAAACCAUACACAACUUCAAAAGGGCACAUCUUAGUAGUAGAAUGCAAUGAACGAUUAUAAGCAAAUUCAAUAUGAGGCAAGGAUUCCUCCCACAUUUUCUUAUUAUUCUUCAAAACAGCCCUAAGCAUAGUAGACAACAUUCUAUUGACUACUUCAGUUUGUCCAUCAGUUUGGGGGUGACAAGUAGUACUAAAAAGCAGUUUAGUCCCCAACUUAGCACAUAAACAUCUCCAAAAGUGGCUAAGAAAUUUAGUAUCACGAUCUGAAACAAUAGUAUUUGGCACACCAUGCAAGCGAAUAAUUUCACGAAAGAACAAAUCAGCAACAUUAACAGCAUCAUCGCUUUUAUGACAUGGUAUAAAGUGUGCCAUUUUCGAGAAUCUAUCCACGACAACAAAUAUGCUAUCCCUCCCCUUCUUUGUUCGAGGUAAACCUAAAACAAAGUCCAUAGAUAUAUCCUCCCAAGGAACACUAGGUAUAGGCAAAGGCAUAUAUAAACCAUGAGGAUUGAGUCGUGACUUAGCUUUUUGACAUGUAGUGCAUCGAGCAAUGAAACGCUCAACAUCCCGUCUCAUCUUUGGCCAAAAGAAAUGUGUAGCAAGUACGUCCUCCGUCUUCUUCACGCCAAAGUGUCCCAUUAAUCCUCCUCCAUGCGCCUCCUGCAACAACAAAAGACGAACGGAGCUAGCUGGAAUGCAUAGCUUGUUAGCACGAAACACAAAUCCAUCGUUAACGACAAACUUGUUCCACAUUCUUCCUUCUUUACAAUUCUGCAUUACAUCUUUAAAAUCAGCAUCAUGCACAUAUUGAUCUUUGAUGGUCUCCAAACCAAAUAUUUUAAAGUCAAGUUGUGAAAGCAUAGUAUAGCGACGAGACAAUGCAUCAGCAAUAACAUUUUCUUUGCCCUUCUUGUGUUUAAUGACAUAAGGGAAAGUCUCAAUGAAUUCAACCCAUUUAGCAUGUCUACGAUUCAGUUUAGCUUGACUUUUAAUAUGUUUCAAAGAUUCAUGAUCAGAAUGUAUAACAAAUUCUUUGGGCCAUAAAUAAUGUUGCCAUGUUUCUAAAGUCCGAACAAGAGCAUAUAAUUCUUUAUCAUAAGUAGAAUAAUUCAGACUAGGCCCACUCAAUUUUUCAGAAAAGUAUGCAACAGGUUUGCCAUCUUGUAAUAACACACCUCCUAAUCCAAUUCCACUAGCAUCACAUUCAAGCUCAAAAGUCUUAUUAAAAUCAGGAAGUUGGAGUAAAGGAGCAUGUGUCAACUUAUCUUUCAAUACCGUGAAGGCUUCUUCCUGUGCGGUACUGAUAGAGGCAAAGGUGUCCCGUCUUUCGAUGAGAUGGUGGAUUUCGCUUUGGUGGAAGUCGACUUUGACGAUCCGACUACGAACGUGCGAGGACGUCGCGCCUUAGCAAUCGCUAAACCAACUCCGAGAGGUUAUUGACCACGCCGGAGCACGAUCAACCUGACCACGAGGGUCUGUUUCCUGCGAGCAAACGAAGAACAAGCAAGAAACUGAGAUUGCAAUCUGGAUAUUGCGAAUAUAAGAUGAAAGCUUUAUUGAUCAAGGUGGGGUUCUGUGACGCCUUUGUCUGGUCGUUGAACACAAACGAAGUACGCGAAGUUGCAGCUAUGGCGAACUUUUAAUCUAAACAAAACCCAAAGUCUAAACGAUGCCCUAAGGGCUGUAUAUAUGGAGGAAGAGGGGGGAAUUUCGUGGCCCUUGGUGGAGGGGUCCGAAAUCAACCCUAUCUCUUGUUUCCCCACACAUACGGACUCUAAAAAUAGCCUAUACUUAUGUAUUUCGAAAUUACAUGGGCCUGUGAUAGAGGCAAAGGUGUCCCGUCUUUCGAUGAGAUGAUGGAUAUCGCUUUGGUGGAAGUCGACUUUGACGAUCCGACUACGAACGUGCGAGGACGUCGCGCCUUAGCAAUCGCUAAACCAACUCCGAGAGGUUAUUGACCACGCCGGAGCACGAUCAACCUGACCACGAGGGUCUGUUUCCUGCGAGCAAACGAAGAACAAGCAAGAAACUGAGAUUGCAAUCUGGAUAUUGCGAAUAUAAGAUGAAAGCUUUAUUGAUCAAGGUGGGGUUCUGUGACGCCUUUGUCUGGUCGUUGAACACAAACGAAGUACGCGAAGUUGCAGCUAUGGCGAACUUUUAAUCUAAACAAAACCCAAAGUCUAAACGAUGCCCUAAGGGCUGUAUAUAUGGAGGAAGAGGGGGGAAUUUCGUGGCCCUUGGUGGAGGGGUCCGAAAUCAACCCUAUCUCUUGUUUCCCCACACAUACGGACUCUAAAAAUAGCCUAUACUUAUGUAUUUCGAAAGUACAUGGGCCUGGCCCAAUAAUAAGGUGACGCAGCACCUAAAAUAGCCUCGGGACGAAAUUUAUGAAGUGGCAUCUUGUAUAUUUCGUCCAAGGCUUCAUGCACCCAUUAUGGUGGCUUCAAAGUCCUGAAAUCAUCACUUGUAACUCCGUUCUUGUUUCCCUUGCGCAUGCCAUCAUCUCCAUGCUUGUUCUUGCUCCAAUGUUCAUCCUUCUCCAAGCUAGGCCCUUCAUUUGUAAGCAAAACAAAUGUAUCCAAUUUAGGCAGCAUCAUAUUCUCAUGAACAUUAGAAUCAUUAGCAAGAAACGAAAGUACCUGGUAAUUUAGUUGGCGUGCACGAGCUCUAGUAAUUGGUCCAGUAUGUAUAGCAGCAGGGGCUGUGGGUGUAACAAUUGUAUUGAUGUCCUCAUCAUCCUCCCCUUCUUGAAAUGAAGUCGUCCUCGACGGAAGUUCAUCUUCCUCACCCAAAUAAGGCUUCAAAUCUGCAAUGUUAAAAGUGGGACUAACCCCAAAAUCUGCAGGCAGCUCAAGUUUAUAUGCAUUAUCAUUUAUUUUCUCUAACACCUUAAAGGGACCAUCAGCACGUGGCAUUAGCUUUGAUUUGCACAAAUCAGGAAAUCUAUCCUUACGCAAAUGUAACCAAACAAGAUCUCCAGGUGCAAACACAACAUGUUUUCUACCCUUAUCUCCAGCAAGUUUAUAUUUAGCAUUCAUACGCUCAAUGUUUUCCUUAGUUAACUCAUGCAUUUUUAAAACCAAUUCAGCACGUUGUUUAGCAUCAAAAUUAACCUUCUCCGAAGAUGGAAGAGGCAACAAAUCAAUAGGUGCACGAGGUAGGAAACCAUACACAACUUCAAAAGGGCACAUCUUAGUAGUAGAAUGCAAUGAACGAUUAUAAGCAAAUUCAAUAUGAGGCAAGCAUUCCUCCCACAUUUUCUUAUUAUUCUUCAAAACAGCCCUAAGCAUAGUAGACAACGUUCUAUUGACUACUUCAGUUUGUCCAUCAGUUUGGGGGUGACAAGUAGUACUAAAAAGCAGUUUAGUCCCCAACUUAGCCCAUAAACAUCUCCAAAAAUGGCUAAGAAAUUUAGUAUCAUGAUCUGAAACAAUAGUAUUUGGCACACCAUGCAAGCGAAUAAUUUCACGAAAGAACAAAUCAGCAACAUUAACAGCAUCAUCGCUUUUAUGACAUGGUAUAAAGUGUGCCAUUUUCUAAAGUCCGAACAAGAGCAUAUAAUUCUUUAUCAUAAGUAGAAUAAUUCAGACUAGGCCCACUCAAUUUUUCAGAAAAGUAUGCAACAGGUUUGCCAUCUUGUAAUAACACACCUCCUAAUCCAAUUCCACUAGCAUCACAUUCAAGCUCAAAAGUCUUAUUAAAAUCAGGAAGUUGGAGUAAAGGAGCAUGUGUCAACUUAUCUUUCAAUACCGUGAAGGCUUCUUCCUGUGCGGUACCCCAAACAAAAGGCACAUCCUUCUUUGUAAGCUCGUUGAGAGGUGCAGCAAUGGUGCUGAAAUCUCUCACAAAACGCCUAUAGAAUCCAGCGAGGCCAAGAAAACUCCUCACUUGUGUGACCGUUUUGGGCUGCGGCCAACUCUCAAUAGCUUCAAUCUUGGCUUUGUCAACUUCAAUUCCCUGUGGAGUAACAACAUAGCCAAGAAAAGAUACUCGGUCGGUGCAAAAGGUGCACUUCCCAAGGUUACCAAACAAACGUGCAUCACGUAGAGCAAUAAAAACAGCACGUAAAUGUUCCAAAUGUUCUUCCAAAGAUCUGCUAUAAAUCAGUAUAUCAUCAAAAUAGACUACCUCAAAUCGUCCAAUGAAAGCACGUAAAACUUCGUUCAUUAGUCUCAUGAAAGUACUAGGCGCAUUAGUUAACCCAAAAGGCAUGACUAACCACUCAUAUAAUCCAAACUUAGUUUUAAAUGUUGUUUUCCAUUCAUCUCCCAAUUUCAUACGAAUUUGAUGGUAGCCACUACGCAAAUCAACUUUGGAGAAUAUUGUAGAGCCACUCAAUUCAUCAAGCAUAUCAUCUAGCCUAGGAAUAGGAUGACGAUAACGAAUAGUAAUAUUAUUAAUGCCUCUACAAUCAACACACAUACGUGAUGUACCAUCCUUUUUCGGCACUAGAAUAAUAGGAACAGCACAAGGACUAAGGGAUUCGCGUAUAUAACCUUUGUCGAGAAGCUCUUGUACUUGACGCAUAAUCUCCUUCGUCUCCUUUGGAUUGGUACGGUAUGGUGCACGGUUUGGUAGUGAAACACCGGGAAUUAAGUCAAUCUGAUGCUCAAUCCCUCGAAUAGGCGGUAAUCCCGGUGGCACGUCUUGUGGAAAAACGUCAGCGAACUCCUGCAAAAUGUUAGUGACAGCAGGAGGCAAAGAGGAAGGCACGUCCUCAAAUGAAAAUAAUGCCUCUUUGCACACAAAAGCAUAGCAAACAGAUUUGCUGAAAUCUAGCUCAUCAAUAUCAGAUUUGGUGGCAAAUAAACAUGCACUUUUCAAUUUAAUUUCAGAAGCAACACUAGAUGGUUGAUUAUUAGGCUUCAUUUGUUGCUCAAAUUCUUUUGCCACAAUCUGAUUUUCACUCUUAUUCUUCUCCUAUUGUGCUUUAUUAGCUCUAUUAAUAUCAUCUUUCAAAAUGGAAUCAGGAGUCAUAGGAAGCAAAGUAAUAUUUUUAUCCUGAUGAACAAGAGUAUAGUGAUUGUUUCUACCAUGGUGUACAGAAUUUUUAUCAAAUUGCCAUGGUCUACCAAGUAAUAAGGAACAUGCUUGCAUAGGUACCACAUCACAAUCAACAUAAUCAGCAUAUGUAGAGAUACUAAAAUGCACACGGACAGUACGUGUUACCUUAACCUUGCCGCUGUUGUUGAACCAUUGGAUGUAGUAAGGAUGUGGAUGUGGUCUUGUGGUGAGAGAAAGCUUCUCCACCAUCUCCAUGCUAGCCAAGUUGUUGCAGCUCCCUCCGUCUAUUAUGACGCGCACAGAACGUUCCUUCACAACUCCCUUGGUAUGGAACAAAUUGUGCCUCUGAUUUUGCUCAGCUUGUGUGACCUGCACACUCAAAACAUGUUGAGCAACUAAACAUUCAUACCUGUCAGCGUCUUCAGGAGCCAUGUAUUGCGUCUCAUGAUCAGAAUCAUCUCCACCAUGUUCUUCACGUGUAAUAAGAGCCAAAGUCUCCUCAUCAUAGUCACUAGCGGACUCAUAUCCACCAUCCGCGGUAGCAAUCAUCACACGCGGAGAUUUGCAUUCUCUCGCAUAAUGACCUCCUCCCUUACAACGACGACAAAUAAUAUCACUUGUGUGCCCUGUUGAUGCCAUGGAAGAAGAAGAACGCUGUGCAGGCCCCGCAGGUGCGCUCUUGGCAGAUAAUGGUGGUUGUGCCUGUUUUCUUGUAUCACGGCUGGAGGUGGCACCGGAUGGAGGUGCUGGUGCAGUUGAAGUAGAAGAUGCACGUAACGUCCAUGAUGAAGGUCGGCCUGCAGAAAAGUUAGUUCGCCCCAAUGCUUGUCGAUCCUGCACUUCACGUUCAGCUUUACAAGCAAGAUGGAAUAAACGAGUGAUAUUAGUAUACUCCUUAUAGUCUAGAAUGGUCUGAAUCUCUCUAUUUAAUCCACCCAGAAAACGUGCAAGCAUAGCUUCAUUCUCCUCAACAAUACCACAUCUAAUCAUGCCAGUUUGUAAUUCCUGAUAAUAUUCUUCUACAGAAUUUUUUCCUUGUCUUAAACGCUGCAAUUUUUGAAGCAAUUCACGUUGAUAAUAUGGUGGAACCCAACGCGUACGCAUAGCAGUUUUCAAAGCAGCCCAAGUAGUUGGAAUAGGAUAUAAUCUACAAUGUUCAGACCACCAUACACAUGCAAAACUAGUGAAAGCACAAACAGCAGCAGCAACUCGUCUCUCCUCAGGAUAUUGUAAACAUGUAAAUCGUUGUUCGGUUUCUAACUCCCAAGUAAGAUAUAUAUCAGGAACAUAUCUACCCUCAAAUGGUGGAAUAUUCAAUUUCAGUUUAGGAAUAUGGACAUCAUCUCGUACCUGAGGUGGUGGUGCAGGCCUACCAUUACGAAUAUAUACCUGAGGUCGACCUGCUGGUGGUGGUACAGGUGGCUGCACGUAGUGUUGAUUUUGAUCAACCUCAUCCUCAUAAUCUCCCACAUAAUCAUCCUCCUCCGCAUCAGCAGCAGGAGCCACAGAAGUAUCAACAGCAGCACCAACAGUUUGGCCAAACGUAAGAGGAACACGGCUUGCUCGGCGGAGGUCUGCUUCGUGACGUGGAGGUAGUCGUUGUUGUUGUUGUUGGAGAGGUGCGUUAGGUGCAGCGGGUGGUGGUGGUGGAAGACGCGCGAGCAAUUCAUUAAACUUGUUAUCGAGCUUUGUUUCGAACGUCUUCUCAAGGCCAGUGAUCUUCUCCAUGGCCUCUUCAAAAUUGUUCAGCACAUCUUGCACCUGUUCAGUCAUCAUUUGCUGAAACUUAUCAUGAAGCUCCUUGUUCGAUAAAUUUUCCCAGUCAAUCUCGUCGGCUUGUGAUCCUGGCAUGGUUAGCAGCAAUAGAAACACACAAGAAUAUGAUCCUACAGACUACUAACAAGUGGUGGUGGUGGGUGUCACAAAUCCGUCAAGCAAAACUCAAAUUCUUACCAGUUCUUACCCAGCAACAGGCGGUGAUCGGCAACCGUUGUAGUCAGAACUCUCAAAGCUUGGAUAGAGCGAUUACCAGGGAGAGUCAAACGCACGACGUAGAUGUAUGUGGAGCUGGGAAGGCUUAUAAUAUGGUAGCAAAAAGGGUCAGCAAUAAUCAAUUCAGAGAUGCAAAGUUGAAUAAACGCUCAACGACGGUACUGUGCUGGUCCUAGGCUAGACUGUGCUAGAGACGCGAGCCUAGAACACCAACAAAAUCACGGUGCGGCACGUAAACAAGGGAGGAGCACACUCUGAAUUUUUUUUCUCUUUUUUUUUGCACUUUUUUUUUCUCUUUUUUUUGCUCCGCAACAAAUUUUUUUCGAAAAAGUCUACAAAUGGUCUAAAAACUGCCUAGCCAGAAUUUCCAGACUUUUUUUUUUUGAAAUUGGAACUAUUUUUCUUCUGCGGAUGGCUCGGAAGUUGGGGAGUCCUUCUCUGUCACGACUCGGAGUAUCGCGUGAUCUGGAAAUCGAGAACAAUGCAACAAUUACUAGACUCGGACUAGGACUGGUGGCGGAGAUGAAUCUGGUGGAACUCGGACUGUUGGCGGAGAUGAAUCUGGUGGAACACGGACAGGUGGCGGAUAUAUGUUGUAGGUGAACUCGGAUUGGCGUGAUGGCGGCGGAUAUGUGGUGGCGUAUAUGGAUUCGGAUUGGCGGUGAAUAUGUGGUGGUGGUAUAUGGCAACAGCGACGAUGAUGAUGCGGUGGUGAUAUAUGCCAGCGGCGACGUGACAACCUGUGAACAGAACUCGAAACUCUAAAAGACUAGACGCUAAGACCAGCAACUGGACACGACGAUGCAACCACAAAUUCAACAAAGCAAAUACAGAAAAGAUUAUGCAAGGUUCAGAUUGGUUCGGAUGGGAUGAACUAACCCUAAUUUCUUUUUUGGCUUUUUCGUGGACUAUAGGUAUGAAGAACAAACUCGAUCUAAACUACGAAAAACUGUAAAAUCUCACCGAGCAACCUGGAAAUCUGAUACCACUUGAUAGAGGCAAAGGUGUCCCGUCUUUCGAUGAGAUGAUGGAUAUCGCUUUGGUGGCAGUCGACUUUGACGAUCCGACUACGAACGUGUGAGGACGUCGCGCCUUAGCAAUCGCUAAACCAACUCCGAGAGGUUAUUGACCACGCCGGAGCACGAUCAACCUGACCACGAGGGUCUGUUUCCUGCAAGCAAAUGAAGAACAAGGAAGAAACUGAGAUUGCAAUCUGGAUAUUGCGAAUAUAAGAUGAAAGCUUUAUUGAUCAAGGUGGGGUUCUGUGACGCCUUUGUCUGGUCGUUGAACACAAACGAAGUACGCGAAGUUGCAGCUAUGGCGAACUUUUAAUCUAAACAAAACCCAAAAUCUAAACGGUGCCCAAAGGGCUGUAUAUAUGGAGGAAGAGAGGGGAAUUUCGUGGCCCUUGGUGGAGGGGUCCGAAAUCAACCCUAUCUCUUGUUUCCCCACACAUACGGACUCUAAAAAUAGCCUAUACUUAUGUAUUUCGAAAUUACAUGGGCCUGGCCCAAUAAAAAGGUGACGCAGCACCUAUAAUAGCCUCGGGACGAAAUUUAUGAAGUGACAUCAUGUAUAUUUCGUCCAAGGCUUCAUGCACCCAUUAUGGUGGCUUCAAAGUCCUGAAAUCAUCACUUGUAACUCCGUUCUUGUUCCCCUUGCGCAUGGCAUCAUCUCCACGCUUGUUCUUGCUCCAAUGUUCAUCCUUCUCCAAGCUAGGCCCUUCAUUUGUAAGCAAAACAAAUGUAUCCAAUUUAGGCAGCAUCAUAUUCUCAUGAACAUUAGAAUCAUUACCAAGAAACGAAAGUACCUGAUAAUUUAAUUGGCGUGCGCGAGCUCUAGUAAUUGGUCCCGUAUAUGUAGCAGUAGGGGUUGUGGGUGUAUCAAUGGUAUUGAUGUCCUCAUCAGAAUCCAAGAGAAGAUCUGAUGAGGACAUCAAUACCAUUGUUACACCCACAGCCCCUACUGUUACAUAUACUGGACCAAUUACUAGAGCUCGCGCACGCCAAUUAAAUUACCAGGUACUUUCGUUUCUUGGUAAUGAUUCUAAUGUUCAUGAGAUUAUGAUGCUGCCUAAAUUGGAUACAUUUGUUUUGCUUACAAAUGAAGGGCCUAGCUUGGAGAAGGAUGAACAUUGGAGCAAGAACACGCAUGGAGUUGAUGGCAUGCGCAAGGGGAUCAAGAACGGAGUUACAAGUGAUGAUUUCAGGACUUUGAAGCCGCCAUAAGGAGUGCAUGAAGCCUUGGACGAAAUAUACAAGAUGCCACUUCAUAAUAUUCGUCCAUAGGCUAUUCUAGGUGCUGCGUCACCUUAUUAUUGGGCCAGGCCCAUGUAAUUUCGAAAUACAUAAGUAUAGGCUAUUUUUAGAGUCCGUAUGUGUGGGGAAACAAGAGAUAGGGUUGAUUUCGGACUCCUCCACCAAGGGCCACGAAAUUCCCCCCCUCUUCCUCCAUAUAUACAGCCCUUAGGGCAUCAUUUAGACUUUGGGUUUUGUUUAGAUUAAAAGUUCGCCAUAGCUGCAACUUCGCGUACUUCGUUUGUGUUCAACGACCAGACAAAGGCGUCACAGAACCCCACCUUGAUCAAUAAAGCUUUCAUCUUAUAUUCGCAAUAUCCCGAUUGCAAUCUCAGUUUCUUGCUUGUUCUUCGUUUGCUCGCAGGAAACAGACCCUCGUGUUCAGGUUGAUCGUGCUCCGACGUGGUCAAUAACCCUCGGAAGUUGGUUUAGCGAUUGCUAAGGCGCGACGUCUCGCACGUUCGUAGUCAGAUCGUCAAGGUCGACUCCCACAGAAAACGAUAGACACCAUCUCAUCGAAACAUCGGGACACCUUAGCCGCUACCAAGUGGUAUCAGAUUUCCAGGUUGCUCAUUAAGAUUUUACAGUUUUUCGUAGAUUAGAUUGAGUUGUUCUUCAUACCUACAGUCCACGAAAAAGCCAGAAAAAGUUUUUUAGGGUUAGUUCAUCAUAUCCGAACCAAUCUGAGCCUUUGCAUAAUCUUUUUAGGGUUUUUGCUUUGUUGAAUUUGCGGUUGCAUCGUCGUGUCAAGUUGCUGGUCUUAGAGUCUAGUCUUUUAGAGUUUCGAGUUCUGGUCAUAAGUUGUAACGCCGCCGCCGCACCAUCAUCAUCGGCCAUCUACCACUUUUGCUUAUCCGCCACCGCUCUGAAUCCAUAUCCAUAUACCACCACCAAUCCGUAUCCAUAUACCACCACCAAUCUGUAUCCAUAUACCACCACCGCUACCAUAUACCACCACCGCUGCCAUAUACCACAACCAUAUAUCCACCACCAAUCCGAGUUCUUCUCAUAUUAGGUUUGUUCUUGAGAUCAAUCUAAAUUCUGAUUCGUGUUUCCUUGCCUGUGUAUGUCUCGGAAAAAAAAAGAGUGGAGACCCCCGGGCAAUUUUUAGGCCAAAAUUUUCACGGGCAAAUUUUUUUCCCUAUCCUAUUUUGAGGCUUUUCUGAGUCUUUUGAGCCACGUGCCAUCAUAGUGAUUUUUUGUCGCACUUUUCCGUCGUCGCUGCUGAUGAGGACAUCAAUACAAUUGUUACACCCACAGCCCCUGCUGCUAUACAUACUGGACCAAUUACUAGAGCUCGUGCACGCCAACUAAAUUAUCAGGUACUUUCGUUUCUUGGUAAUGAUUCUAAUGUUCAUGAGAAUAUGAUGCUGCCUAAAUUGGAUACAUUUGUUUUGCUUACAAAUGAAGGGCCUAGCUUGGAGAAGGAUGAACAUUGGAGCAAGAACAAGCAUGGAGAUGAUGGCAUGCGCAAGGGGAACAAGAACGGAGUUACAAGUGAUGAUUUCAGGACUUUGAAGCCACCAUAAUGUGUGCAUGAAGCCUUGGACGAAAUAUACAAGAUGCCACUUCAUAAAUUUCGUCCCGAGGCUAUUUUAGGUGCUGCGUCACCUUAUUAUUGGGCCAGGCCCAUGUAAUUUCGAAAUACAUAAGUAUAGGCUAUUUUUAGAGUCCAUAUGUGUGGCGAAACAAGAGAUAGGGUUGAUUUCGGACCCCUCCACCAAGGGCCACGAAAUUCCCCCCUCUUCCUCCAUAUAUACAGCCCUUAGGGCAUCGUUUAGACUUUGGGUUUUGUUUAGAUUAAAAGUUCGCCAUAGCUGCAACUUCGCGUACUUCGUUUGUGUUCAACGACCAGACAAAGGCGUCACAGAACCCCACCUUGAUCAAUAAAGCUUUCAUCUUAUAUUCGCAAUAUCCAGAUUGCAAUCUUAGUUUCUUGCUUGUUCUUCGUUUGCUCGCAGGAAACAGACCCUCGUGGUCAGGUUGAUCGUGCUCCGGCGUGGUCAAUAACCUCUCGGAGUUGGUUUAGCGAUUGCUAAGGCGCGACGUCCUCGCACGUUCGUAGUCGGAUCGUCAAAGUCGACUUCCACCAAAGCGAUAUCCAUCAUCUCAUCGAAAGAUCGGGACCCUCGCCUCUAUCAAUUAUCAUUUAUUUUCUCUAACACCUUAAAGGGACCAUCAGCACGUGGCAUUAACUUUGAUUUGCGCAAAUCAGGAAAUCUAUCCUUACGCAAAUGUAACCAAACAAGAUCUCCAGGUGCAAACACAACAUGUUUUCUACCCUUAUCUCCAGCAAGUUUAUAUUUAGCAUUCAUACGCUCAAUGUUUUCCUUAGUUAACUCAUGCAUUUUUAAAAUCAAUUCAGCACGUUGUUUAGCAUCAAAAUUAACCUUCUCCGAAGAUGGAAGAGGCAACAAAUCAAUAGGUGCACGAGGUAGGAAACCAUACACAACUUCAAAAGGGCACAUCUUAGUAGUAGAAUGCAAUGAACGAUUAUAAGCAAAUUCAAUAUGAGGCAAGCAUUCCUCCCACAUUUUCUUAUUAUUCUUCAAAACAGCCCUAAGCAUAGUAGACAACGUUCUAUUGACUACUUCAGUUUGUCCAUCAGUUUGGGGGUGACAAGUAGUACUAAAAAGCAGUUUAGUCCGCAACUUAGCCCAUAAACAUCUCCAAAAGUGGCUAAGAAAUUUAGUACCACGAUCUGAAACAAUAGUAUUUGGCACACCAUGCAAGCGAAUAAUUUCACGAAAGAACAAAUCAGCAACAUUAACAGCAUCAUCGCUUUUAUGACAUGGUAUAAUGAUAGGGGAAAAGGUGUCCCGUCUUUCGAUGAGAUGGUGGAUUUCGCUUUGGUGGAAGUCGACUUUGACGAUCCGACUACGAACGUGCGAGGACGUCGCGCCUUAGCAAUCGCUAAACCAACUCCGAGAGGUUAUUGACCACGCCGGAGCACGAUCAACCUGACCACGAGGGUCUGUUUCCUGCGAGCAAACGAAGAACAAGCAAGAAACUAAGAUUGCAAUCUGGAUAUUGCGAAUAUAAGAUGAAAGCUUUAUUGAUCAAGGUGGGGUUCUGUGACGCCUUUGUCUGGUCGUUGAACACAAACGAAGUACGCGAAGUUGCAGCUAUGGCGAACUUUUAAUCUAAACAAAACCCAAAGUCUAAACGAUGCCCUAAGGGCUGUAUAUAUGGAGGAAGAGGGGGGAAUUUCGUGGCCCUUGGUGGAGGGGUCCGAAAUCAACCCUAUCUCUUGUUUCGCCACACAUAUGGACUCUAAAAAUAGCCUAUACUUAUGUAUUUCGAAAUUACAUGGGCCUGGCCCAAUAAUAAGGUGACGCAGCACCUAAAAUAGCCUCGGGACGAAAUUUAUGAAGUGGCAUCUUGUAUAUUUCGUCCAAGGCUUCAUGCACACAUUAUGGUGGCUUCAAAGUCCUGAAAUCAUCACUUGUAACUCCGUUCUUGUUCCCCUUGCGCAUGCCAUCAUCUCCAUGCUUGUUCUUGCUCCAAUGUUCAUCCUUCUCCAAGCUAGGCCCUUCAUUUGUAAGCAAAACAAAUGUAUCCAAUUUAGGCAGCAUCAUAUUCUCAUGAACAUUAGAAUCAUUACCAAGAAACGAAAGUACCUGAUAAUUUAGUUGGCGUGCACGAGCUCUAGUAAUUGGUCCAGUAUGUAUAGCAGCAGGGGCUGUGGGUGUAACAAUUGUAUUGAUGUCCUCAUCAAAACAUGUUGUGUUUGCACCUGGAGAUCUUGUUUGGUUACAUUUGCGUAAGGAUAGAUUUCCUGAUUUGCGCAAAUCAAAGCUAAUGCCACGUGCUGAUGGUCCCUUUAAGGUGUUAGAGAAAAUAAAUGAUAAUGCAUAUAAACUUGAGCUGCCUGCAGAUUUUGGGGUUAGUCCCACUUUUAACAUUGCAGAUUUGAAGCCUUAUUUGGAUGAGGAAGAUGGACUUCCGUCGAGGACGACUUCAUUUCAAGAAGGGGAGGAUGAUGAGGACAUCAAUACAAUUGUUACACCCACAGCCCCUGCUGCUAUACAUACUGGACCAAUUACUAGAGCUCGUGCACGCCAACUAAAUUACCAGGUACUUUCGUUUCUUGGUAAUGAUUCUAAUGUUCAUGAGAAUAUGAUACUGCCUAAAUUGGAUACAUUUGUUUUGCUUACAAAUGAAGGGCCUAGCUUGGAGAAGGAUGAACAUUGGAGCAAGAACAAGCAUGGAGAUGAUGGCAUGCGCAAGGGGAACAAGAACGGAGUUACAAGUGAUGAUUUCAGGACUUUGAAGCCACCAUAAUGGGUGCAUGAAGCCUUGGACGAAAUAUACAAGAUGCCACUUCAUAAAUUUCGUCCCGAGGCUAUUUUAUGUGUUGCGUCACCUUAUUAUUGGGCCAGGCCCAUGUAAUUUCGAAAUACAUAAGUAUAGGCUAUUUUUAGAGUCCGUAUGUGUGGGGAAACAAGAGAUAGGGUUGAUUUCGGACCCCUCCACCAAGGGCCACGAAAUUCCCCCCUCUUCCUCCAUAUAUACAGCCCUUAGGGCAUCGUUUAGACUUUGGGUUUUGUUUAGAUUAAAAGUUCGCCAUAGCUGCAACUUCGCGUACUUCGUUUGUGUUCAACGACCAGACAAAGGCGUCACAGAACCCCACCUUGAUCAAUAAAGCUUUCAUCUUAUAUUCGCAAUAUCCAGAAUUGCAAUCUUAGUUUCUGGCUUGUUCUUCGUUUGCUCGCAGGAAACAGACCCUCGUGGUCAGGUUGAUCGUGCUCCGGCGUGGUCAAUAACCUCUCGGAGUUGGUUUAGCGAUUGCUAAGGCGCGACGUCCUCGCACGUUCGUAGUCGGAUCGUCAAAGUCGACUUCCACCAAAGCGAAAUUCACCAUCUCAUCGAAAGACGGGACACCUUUGCCUCUAUCAAGUGGUAUCAGAUUUCCAGGUUGCUCGGUGAGAUUUUACAGUAUUUCGUAGUUUAGAUCGAGUCUGUUCUUCAUACCUACAGUCCACGAAAAAGCCACAAAAAAAAUUUAGGGUUAGUUCAUCAUAUCCGAACCAAUCUGAGCCUUUGCAUAAUCUUUUUAGGGUUUUGCUUUGUUGAAUUUGCGGUUGCAUCGUCGUGUCUAGUUGCUGGUCUUAGAGUCUAGUCUUUUAGAGUUUCGAGUUCUGGUCAUAAGUUGUCACGCCGCCGCCGCACCAUCAUCAUCGCCCCUGCCAUCUACCACCACCGCUCCGAAUCCGUAUCCAUAUACCACCACCAAUCUGUGUCCAUAUACCACCACCGAUCCAUAUCCAUAUACUACCACCGCUACCACCACCGCUGCCAUAUACCACCACCAUAUAUCCACCACCAAUCCGAGUUCCUUGCUUAUUAGGGUUGUUUUCGAGAUCCAUCUAGAUUCCGAUUCGUGUUUUCUUGCCGGAGUAGGUUUCGGAAAAAAAAAGAGUCGGGUAGCCACGCUCCGUUUAGGCCCAAAAUUUUUCGAAAACGCAUUUUUCGAAAAAAAUUCUGGCUAUCCUAUUUUUAGGUGUUUCUGAGUGUUUUGAGACAGGUGCCAUUAUAGGAAGUUUUUUUUGACCCGUUUCCAGUUUUUGGGUCCGGGCAGUCGAAAAAAAAAAAAUUGGUCGAAAAAUUUCGUGCCCAUCCUGUCAGUUUGAGCUAGGAAGAGUUUUGAGACACUCGCCAUUAUAGUGAUUUUUCGCAAAAAAAAAGCAGCGCAAAAAAAUAAGAGCGCAAAAAAAAAGAGCGAAAAAAAAAUUCAGAGUGUGCUUUUCCCUUGUUUACGUGCCGCGCCGUGAUUUUGUUGGUGUUCUAGGCUCGCGUCUCUAGCACAGUCUAGCCUAGGACCAGCACAGUACCGUCGCUGAGCGUUUAUUCAACUUUGCAUCUCUGAAUUGAUUAUUGCUGACCCUUUUUGCUACCAUAGUAUAAGCCUUCCCAGCUCCACAUACAUCUACGUGGUGCGUUUGACUCUCCCUGGUAAUCGCUCUAUCCAAGCUUUGAGAGUUUUGACUACAACGGUUGCCGAUCACCGCCUGUUGCUGGGUAAGAACUGGUAAGAAUUUGAGUUUUGCUUGACGGAUUUGUGACACCCACCACCACCACUUGUUCGUAGUCUGUAGGAUCAUAUUCUUGUGUGUUUCUAUUGCUGCUAACCAUGCCAGGAUCACAAGCCGACGAGAUUGACUGGGAGAAUUUAUCGAACAAGGAGCUUCAUGAUAAGUUUCAGCAAAUGAUGACUGAACAGGUGCAAGAUGUGCUGAACAAUUUUGAAGAGGCCAUGGAGAAGAUCACUGGCCUUGAGAAGACGUUCGAAACAAAGCUCGAUAACAGAUUUAAUGAAUUGCUCGCGCGUCUUCCACCACCACCACCCGCUGAUGAGGACAUCAAUACAAUUGUUACACCCACAGCCCCUGCUUCUAUACAUACUGGACCAAUUACUAGAGCUCGUGCACGCCAACUAAAUUACCAGGUACUUUCAUUUCUUGGUAAUGAUUCUAAUGUUUAUGAGAAUAUGAUGCUGCCUAAAUUGGAUACAUUUGUUUUGCUUACAAAUGAAGGGCCUAGCUUGGAGAAGGAUGAACAUUGGAGCAAGAACAAGCAUGGAGAUGAUGGCAUGCGCAAGGGGAACAAGAACGGAGUUACAAGUGAUGAUUUCAGGACUUUGAGGCCACCAUAAUGGGUGCAUGAAGCCUUGGACGAAAUAUACAAGAUGCCACUUCAUAAAUUUCGUCCCGAGGCUAUUUUAGGUGCUGCGUCACCUUAUUAUUGGUCCAGGCCCAUGUAAUUUCGAAAUACAUAAGUAUAGGCUAUUUUUAGAGUCCGUAUGUGUGGGGAAACAGGAGAUAGGGUUGAUUUCGGACUCCUCCACCAAGGGCCACGAAAUUCCCCCCUCUUCCUCCAUAUAUACAGCCCUUAGGGCAUCGUUUAGACUUUGGGUUUUGUUUAGAUUAAAAGUUCGCCAUAGCUGCAACUUCGCGUACUUCGUUUGUGUUCAACGACCAGACAAAGGCGUCACAGAACCCCACCUUGAUCAAUAAAGCUUUCAUCUUAUAUUCGCAAUAUCCAGAUUGCAAUCUCAGUUUCUUGCUUGUUCUUCGUUUGCUCGCAGGAAACAGACCCUCGUGGUCCGGUUGAUCGUGCUCCGGCGUGGUCAAUAACCUCUCGAAGUUGGUUUAGCGAUUGCUAAGGCGCGACGUCCUCGCACGUUCGUAGUCGGAUCGUCAAAGUCGACUUCCAACAAAGCGAUAUCCAUCAUCUCAUCGAAAGACGGGACACCCUCGCCUCUAUCAAGUGGUAUCAGAUUUCCAGGUUGCUCGGUGAGAUUUUACAGUUUUUUAGUAGUUUAGAUCGAGUCUGUUCUUCAUACCUAUAGUCCACGAAAAAGCCACAAAAAAAAUUUAGGGUUAGUUCAUCAUAUCCGAACCAAUCUGAGCCUUGCAUAAUCUUUUUAGGGUUUUGCUUUGUUGAAUUUGCGGUUGCAUCGUCGUGUCUAGUUGCUGGUCUUAGAGUCUAGUCUUUUAGAGUUUCGAGUUCUGGUCAUAAGUUGUCACGCCGCCGCCGCACCAUCAUCAUCGCCCCUGCCAUCUACCACCACCGCACCGAAUCCGUAUCCAUAUACCACCACCAAUCCGUGUCCAUAUACCACCACCGAUCCAUAUCCAUAUACAACCACCGCUACCACCACUGCUGCCAUAUACUACCACCAUAUAUCCACCACCAAUCCGAGUUCUUUGCUUAUUAGGUUUGUUUUCGGGAUCCAUCCAGAUUCCGAUUCGUGUUUCCUUGCCGGAGUAGGUUUCGGAAAAAAAAAGAGUCGGGUAGCCACGCUCCGUUUAGGCCCAAAAUUUUUCGAAAACGCAUUUUUCGAAAAAAUUUCUGGCUAUCCUAUUUUUAGGUGUUUCUGAGUGUUUUGAGACAGGUGCCAUUAUAGGAAGUUUUUUUUGACCCGUUUCUAGUUUUUGGGUCCGGGCAGUCGAAAAAAAAAAUUGGUCGAAAAAAUUUCGUGCCCAUCCUGUCAGUUUGAGCUAGGAAGAGUUUUGAGACACUCGCCAUUAUAGUGAUUUUUCGCAAAAAAAAAGCAGCGCAAAAAAAAAAGAGCGCAAAAAAAAAUUCAGAGUGUGCUUUUCCCUUGUUUACGUGCCGCGCCGUGAUUUUGUUAGUGUUCUAGGCUCGCGUCUCUAGCACAGUCUAGCCUAGGACCAGCACAGUACCGUCGUUGAGCGUUUAUUCAACUUUGCAUCUCUGAAUUGAUUAUUGCUGACCCUUUUUGCUACCAUAUUAUAAGCCUUCCCAGCUCCACAUACAUCUACGUCGUGCGUUUGACUCUCCCUGGUAAUCGCUCUAUCCAAGCUUUGAGAGUUUUUGACUACAACGGUUGCCGAUCACCGCCUGCUGCUGGGUAAGAACUGGUAAGAAUUUGAGAUUUGCUUGACGGAUUUGUGACACCCACCACCACCACUUGUUCGUAGUCUGUAGGAUCAUAUUCUUGUGUGUUUCUAUUGCUGCUAACCAUGCCAGGAUCACCAGCCGACGAGAUUGACUGGGAGAAUUUAUCGAACAAGGAGCUUCAUGAUAAGUUUCAGCAAAUGAUGACUGAACAGGUGCAAGAUGUGCUGAACAAUUUUGAAGAGGCCAUGGAGAAGAUCACUGGCCUUGAGAAGACGUUCGAAACAAAGCUCGAUAACAACUUUAAUGAAUUGCUCGCGCGUCUUCCACCACCACCACCCGCUGCACCUAACACACCUCUCCAACAACAACAACAACGACUACCUCCACGUCGCGAAGCAGACCUCCGCCGAGCAAGCCGUGUUCCUCUUGCGUUUGGCCAAACUGUUGGUGCUGCUGUUGAUACUUCUGUGGCUCCUGCUGCUGAUGCGGAGGAGGAUGAUUAUGUGGGAGAUUAUGAGGAUGAGGUUGAUCAAAAUCAACACUACGUGCAGCCACCUGUACCACCACCAGCAGGUCGACCUCAGGUAUAUAUUCGUAAUGGUAGGCCUGCACCACCACCUCAGGUACGAGAUGAUGUCCAUAUUCCUAAACUGAAAUUGAAUAUUCCACCAUUUGAGGGUAGAUAUGUUCCUGAUAUAUAUCUUACUUGGGAGUUAGAAACUGAACAACGAUUUACAUGUUUACAAUAUCCUGAGGAGAGACGAGUUGCUACUGCCGUUUGUGCUUUCACUAGUUUUGCAUGUGUAUGGUGGUCUGAACAUUGUAGAUUAUAUCCUAUUCCAACUACUUGGGCUACUUUGAAAACUGCUAUGCGUACGCGUUGGGUUCCACCAUAUUAUCAACGUGAAUUGCUUCAAAAAUUGCAGCGUUUAAGACAAGGAAAAAAUUCUGUAGAAGAAUAUUAUCAGGAAUUACAAACUGGCAUGAUUAGAUGUGGUAUUGUUGAGGAGAAUGAAGCUAUGCUUGCACGUUUUCUGGGUGGAUUAAAUAGAGAGAUUCAGACCAUUCUAGACUAUAAGGAGUAUACUAAUAUCACUCGUUUAUUCCAUCUUGCUUGUAAAGCUGAACGUGAAGUGCAGGAUCGACAAGCAUUGGGGCGAACUAACUUUUCUGCAGGCCGACCUUCAUCAUGGACACCACGUGCAUCUUCUACUUCAACUGCACCAGCACUUCCAUCAGGUGCCACCUCCAGCCGUGAUACAAGAAAACAGGCACAACCACCAUUAUCUGCCAAGAGCGCACCUGCGGGGCCUACACAGCGUUCUUCUUCUUCCAUAGCAUCAACAGGGCACAUGAUAGAGGCGGAGGUGUCCCGUCUUUCGAUGAGAUGGUGGAUUUCGCUUUGGUGGAAGUCGACUUUGACGAUCCGACUACGAACGUGCGAGGACGUCGCGCCUUAGCAAUCGCUAAACCAACUCCGAGAGGUUAUUGACCACGCCGGAGCACGAUCAACCUGACCACGAGGGUCUGUUUCCUGCGAGCAAACGAAGAACAAGCAAGAAACUAAGAUUGCAAUCUGGAUAUUGCGAAUAUAAGAUGAAAGCUUUAUUGAUCAAGGUGGGGUUCUGUGACGCCUUUGUCUGGUCGUUGAACACAAACGAAGUACGCGAAGUUGCAGCUAUGGCGAACUUUUAAUCUAAACAAAACCCAAAGUCUAAACGAUGCCCUAAGGGCUGUAUAUAUGGAGGAAGAGGGGGGAAUUUCGUGGCCCUUGGUGGAGGGGUCCGAAAUCAACCCUAUCUCUUGUUUCGCCACACAUAUGGACUCUAAAAAUAGCCUAUACUUAUGUAUUUCGAAAUUACAUGGGCCUGGCCCAAUAAUAAGGUGACGCAGCACCUAAAAUAGCCUCGGGACGAAAUUUAUGAAGUGGCAUCUUGUAUAUUUCGUCCAAGGCUUCAUGCACACAUUAUGGUGGCUUCAAAGUCCUGAAAUCAUCACUUGUAACUCCGUUCUUGUUCCCCUUGCGCAUGCCAUCAUCUCCAUGCUUGUUCUUGCUCCAAUGUUCAUCCUUCUCCAAGCUAGGCCCUUCAUUUGUAAGCAAAACAAAUGUAUCCAAUUUAGGCAGCAUCAUAUUCUCAUGAACAUUAGAAUCAUUACCAAGAAACGAAAGUACCUGAUAAUUUAGUUGGCGUGCACGAGCUCUAGUAAUUGGUCCAGUAUGUAUAGCAGCAGGGGCUGUGGGUGUAACAAUUGUAUUGAUGUCCUCAUCAUCCUCCCCUUCUUGAAAUGAAGUCGUCCUCGACGGAAGUUCAUCUUCCUCACCCAAAUAAGGCUUCAAAUCUGCAAUGUUAAAAGUGGGACUAACCCCAAAAUCUGCAGGCAGCUCAAGUUUAUAUGCAUUAUCAUUUAUUUUCUCUAACACCUUAAAGGGACCAUCAGCACGUGGCAUUAACUUUGAUUUGCGUAAAUCAGGAAAUCUAUCCUUACGCAAAUGUAACCAAACAAGAUCUCCAGGUGCAAACACAACAUGUUUUCUACCCUUAUCUCCAGCAAGUUUAUAUUUAGCAUUCAUACGCUCAAUGUUUUCCUUAGUUAACUCAUGCAUUUUUAAAAUCAAUUCAGCACGUUGUUUAGCAUCAAAAUUAACCUUCUCCGAAGAUGGAAGAGGCAACAAAUCAAUAGGUGCACGAGGUAGGAAACCAUACACAACUUCAAAAGGGCACAUGAUAGCGGCAAAGGUGUCCCGUCUUUCGAUGAGAUGGUGGAUUUCGCUUUGGUGGAAGUCGACUUUGACGAUCCGACUACGAACGUGCGAGGACGUCGCGCCUUAGCAAUCGCUAAACCAACUCCGAGAGGUUAUUGACCACGCCGGAGCACGAUCAACCUGACCACGAGGGUCUGUUUCCUGCGAGCAAACGAAGAACAAGCAAGAAACUAAGAUUGCAAUCUGGAUAUUGCGAAUAUAAGAUGAAAGCUUUAUUGAUCAAGGUGGGGUUCUGUGACGCCUUUGUCUGGUCGUUGAACACAAACGAAGUACGCGAAGUUGCAGCUAUGGCGAACUUUUAAUCUAAACAAAACCCAAAGUCUAAACGAUGCCCUAAGGGCUGUAUAUAUGGAGGAAGAGGGGGAGAAUUUCGUGGCCCUUGGGGGAGGGGUCCGAAAUCAACCCUAUCUCUUGUUUCCCCACACAUAGGGACUCUAAAAAUAGCCUAUACUUAUGUAUUUCGAAAUUACAUGGGCCUGGCCCAAUAAUAAGGUGACGCAGCACCUAAAAUAGCCUCGGGACGAAAUUUAUGAAGUGGCGUCUUGUAUAUUUCGUCCAAGGCUUCAUGCACCCAUUAUGGUGGCUUCAAAGUCCUGAAAUCAUCACUUGUAACUCCGUUCUUGUUUCCCUUGCGCAUGCCAUCAUCUCCAUGCUUGUUCUUGCUCCAAUGUUCAUCCUUCUCCAAGCUAGGCCCUUCAUUUGUAAGCAAAACAAAUGUAUCCAAUUUAGGCAGCAUCAUAUUCUCAUGAACAUUAGAAUCAUUACCAAGAAACGAAAGUACCUGGUAAUUUAGUUGGCGUGCACGAGCUCUAGUAAUUGGUCCAGUAUGUAUAGCAGCAGGGGCUGUGGGUGUAACAAUUGUAUUGAUGUCCUCAUCAAACAGGUACAAGAUGUGCUGAACAAUUUUGAAGAGGCCAUGGAGAAGAUCACUGGCCUUGAGAAGACGUUCGAAACAAAGCUCGAUAACAGAUUUAAUGAACUGCUUGCGCGUCUUCCACCACCGGCUGCACCUGUCGCACCUCUGCAACAACAACAACUACGCCCCCUUCCGAAUCAGUAUGGACGAGCACAGCGUGUUCCUAUUGAGACAGGACAAACUUCUGGUGCCGCUGCUACUGCUGUUGGUGCUUCUUUGGCUCCUGCUACUGCUCCUGCUGGUACCCAGGAGGAUGAUGAGUAUGCGGGUGAUUAUGAGGAUGAGGUUGAUCAAAAUCAGAUCUACGAGCAGCCACCAGCACCACCACCAGCAGGUCGACCUCAGGUAUAUAUUCGUCAUGGUAGGCCUGCACCACCACCUCAGGUACGAGAUGAUGUCCAUAUUCCUAAACUGAAAUUGAAUAUUCCACCAUUUGAGGGUAGAUAUGUUCCUGAUAUAUAUCUUACUUGGGAGUUAGAAACUGAACAAUGAUUUACAUGUUUACAAUAUCCUGAGGAGAGACGAGUUGCUGCUGCUGUUUGUGCUUUCACUAGUUUUGCAUGUGUAUGGUGGUCUGAACAUUGUAGAUUAUAUCCUAUUCCAACUACUUGGGCUGCUUUGAAAACUGCUAUGCGUACGCGUUGGGUUCCACCAUAUUAUCAACGUGAAUUGCUUCAAAAAUUGCAGCGUUUAAGACAAGGAAAAAAUUCUGUAGAAGAAUAUUAUCAGGAAUUACAAACUGGCAUGAUUAGAUGUGGUAUUGUUGAGGAGAAUGAAGCUAUGCUUGCAUGUUUUCUGGGUGGAUUAAAUAGAGAGAUUCAGACCAUUCUAGACUAUAAGGAGUAUACUAAUAUCACUCGUUUAUUCCAUCUUGCUUGUAAAGCUGAACGUGAAGUGCAGGAUCGACAAGCAUUGGGGCAAACUAACUUUUCUGCAGGCCGACCUUCAUCAUGGACACCACGUGCAUCUUUUACUUCAACUGCACUAGCACCUCCAUCAGGUGCCACCUCCAGCCGUGAUACAAGAAAACAGGCACAACCACCAUUAUCUGCCAAGAGCGCACCUGCGGGGCCUACACAGCGUUCUUCUUCUUCCAUAGCAUCAACAGGGCACACAAGUGAUAUUAUUUGUCGUCGUUGUAAGGGAGGAGGUCAUUAUGCGAGAGAAUGCAAAUCUCCGCGUGUGACGAUUGCUACCGCGGAUGGUGGAUAUGAGUCCGCUAGUGACUAUGAUGAGGAGACUUUGGCUCUUAUUACACGUGAAGAACAUGGUGGAGAUGAUUCUGAUAAUGAGACGCAAUACAUGGCUCCUGAAGACGCUGACAGGUAUGAAUGUUUAGUUGCUCAACGUGUUUUGAGUGUGCAGAUCACACAAGCUGAGCAAAAUCAGAGGCACAAUUUGUUCCAUACCAAGGGAGUUGUGAAGGAACGUUCUGUGCGCGUCAUCAUAGACGGAGGGAGCUGCAACAACUUGGCUAGCAUGGAGAUGGUCGAGAAGCUUUCUCUCACCACAAGACCACAUCCACAUCCUUACUACAUCCAAUGGUUCAACAACAGCGGCAAGGUUAAGGUAACACGUACUGUUCGUGUGCAUUUUAGUAUAUCUACAUAUGCUGAUUAUGUUGAUUGUGAUGUGGUACCUAUGCAAGCAUGUUCCUUAUUACUUGGUAGACCAUGGCAAUUUGAUAAAAAUUCUGUACACCAUGGUAGAAACAAUCACUAUACUCUUGUUCAUAAGGAUAAAAAUAUUACUUUGCUUCCUAUGACUCCUGAUUCCAUUUUGAAAGAUGAUAUUAAUAGAGCUAAUAAAGCAAAACAGGAGACAAAUAAGAGUGAAAAUCAGAUUGUGGCAAAAGAAUAUGAGCAACAAAUGAAGCCUAAUAAUAAACCAACUAGUGUUGCUUCUGAAAUUAAAUUGAAAAGUGCAUGUUUAUUUGCCACCAAGUCUGAUAUUGAUGAGCUAGAUUUCAGCAAAUCUGUUUGCUAUGCUUUUGUGUGCAAAGAGGCAUUAUUUUCAUUCGAGGACGUGCCUUCCUCUUUGCCUCCUGCUGUCACUAACAUUUUGCAGGAGUUCGCUGACGUCUUUCCACAAGACGUGCCACCGGGAUUACCGCCUAUUCGAGGGAUUGAGCAUCAGAUUGACUUAAUUCCCGGUGCUUCACUGCCAAACCGUGCACCAUACCGUACCAAUCCAGAGGAGACGAAGGAGAUUAUGCGUCAAGUACAAGAGCUUCUCGACAAAGGUUAUAUACGCGAAUCCCUUAGUCCUUGUGCUGUUCCUAUUAUUCUAGUGCCAAAAAAGGAUGGUACAUCACGUAUGUGUGUUGAUUGUAGAGGCAUUAAUAAUAUUACUAUUCGUUAUCGUCAUCCUAUUCCUAGGCUAGAUGAUAUGCUUGAUGAAUUGAGUGGCUCUACAAUAUUCUCCAAAGUUGAUUUACAUAGUGGAUACCAUCAAAUUCGUAUGAAAUUGGGAGAUGAAUGGAAAACCGCAUUCAAAACUAAGUUUGGAUUAUAUGAGUGGUUAGUCAUGCCUUUUGGGUUAACUAAUGCACCUAGUACUUUCAUGAGAUUAAUGAACGAAGUUUUACGUGCUUUCAUUGGACGAUUUGUGGUAGUUUACUUUGAUGACAUAUUGAUUUAUAGCAGAUCUUUGGAAGAACAUUUGGAACAUUUACGUGCUGUUUUUAUUGCUCUACGUGAUGCACGUUUGUUUGGUAACCUUGGGAAGUGCACCUUUUGCACCGACCGAGUAUCUUUUCUUGGCUAUGUUGUUACUCCACAGGGAAUUGAAGUUGAUAAAGCCAAGAUUGAAGCUAUUGAGAGUUGGCCGCAACCCAAAACGGUCACACAAGUGAGGAGUUUUCUUGGCCUCGCUGGACUCUAUAGGCAUUUUGUCAUAGAUUUCAGCACCAUUGCUGCACCUCUCAAUGAGCUUACAAAGAAAGAUGUGCCUUUUCUUUGGGGUACCGCACAGGAAGAAGCCUUCUCGGUAUUGAAAGAUAAGUUGACACAUGCUCCUUUACUCCAACUUCCUGAUUUUAAUAAGACUUUUGAGCUUGAAUGUGAUGCUAGGGGAAACAAGAGAUAGGGUUGAUUUCGGACCCCUCCACCAAGGGCCACGAAAUUCCCCCCUCUUCCUCCAUAUAUAUAGCCCUUAGGGCAUCGUUUAGACUUUGGGUUUUGUUUAGAUUAAAAGUUCGCCAUAGCUGCAACUUCGCGUACUUCGUUUGUGUUCAACGACCAGACAAAGGCGUCACAGAACCCCACCUUGAUCAAUAAAGCUUUCAUCUUAUAUUCGCAAUAUCCAGAUUGCAAUCUUAGUUUCUUGCUUGUUCUUCGUUUGCUCGCAGGAAAUAGACCCUCGUGGUCAGGUUGAUCGUGCUCCGGCGUGGUCAAUAACCUCUCGGAGUUGGUUUAGCGAUUGCUAAGGCGCGACGUCCUCGCACGUUCGUAGUCGGAUCGUCAAAGUCGACUUCCACCAAAGCGAUAUCCAUCAUCUCAUCGAAAGAUCGGGACCCUCGCCUCUAUCAAGUGGUAUCAGAUUUCCAGGUUGCUCGGUGAGAUUUUACAGUUUUUCGUAGUUUAGAUCGAGUCUGUUCUUCAUACCUAUAGUCCACGAAAAAGCCAAAAAAAAAAUUAGGGUUAG